rnacentral:lncRNA from 1 species
GGAUUUGGAAGUACGAAGUCUUUUUCAUUCUGACUUUAUCCACUUUCUUGAGGAUAUACCAUUGCUAACCACUAAAUUGAAAGCAACUAUAGAUAUUAAAGCUCUGCUCAAUGAGACAGGAAGUUUAUUAGAUUUCUUCAUUUUCACCAAGAAUGAUCAAGUGACGGAGACAGGAAUGUUGGAUCUUCCUCUUUCUGAUCUGUUAGCAAAGUUUGAGACCUUGAAAACGAAGAUCAAGGAGCACUGCAUCACAGUCUCAAAGAUGCCAAGUGAUACGAUUCCAAAGACUGGUGUGGUUUCACUCUUCAUUGUUGAUUCCGUCAUCGAUGAUCUCAUGGAUCUAAUAAAUAACAAGUCUGACUCAAUUGUUGUUGUGAAUGAUCAAAUUGUAACGCUCCACGAGGAGCUAAUGUUUUGGGAUCAUCCAUCACAGAUAUAGCAUUGCAGCACGAAGCAGAACAUGAAGAACUUGUGAUACGGAGCAGAGACAUAGCAUAUGAAGUUGAAUAUGUUAUCAACUCAUUACCUCAUGUUUGGUAUCUUUCUCUCCGGCUCCCUCAACUCAUUGACAAGAUUCAGCUUAUUAUGAUGGCUGUCAAAGGAAUGAAGAACAAUAUUGAUGUAGCUAGAAUGUCAAUUGUUUCAAAACAUCCACAUGAUCACGUAGAUCCACAGUCAGAAGAUCUCCCAUUUUGGAAGACUUUGUUGUGGGAUUUGACAAUGUAACAACUGAAAUUGUAGAACAACUUGUUCGAGGAACAGACAAGCUACAAAUUAUUUCCAUCUUUGGGAUGCCUGGACUUGGUAAGACGACCUUGGCAAAUAAAUUAUAUAAUCAUCCCUUCGUUUUACAGCAUUUUGACAAGCGUGGCUGGUGUGUUGUUUCUCAAAUGUAUAAUAAGGAAAAUGUUUUGAUUGAAAUUUUGAGCUCAAUGAGUAACAGUAACAGGGACACAUACAUGAAUAUGGACGAAAAAAGCUUGGCUACAAAUCUUUACCAAAACAUAAUAGGAAGCCGAUACUUCAUUGUGAUAGAUGAUAUAUGGGAUAUCAAUGUGUGGAUUGAUUUGAAAAGAUAUUUUCCAGAUGACGGAAAUGGAAGCAGAAUCUUAUUCACUACUCGAAAUAAAGAAGUGGGUUUGAAAGCUUUACCUCGUAGUGUCAUAAAGGAACUUCCUUUUCUGUCAGAAGUUGAAUGUUGGGAAAUAUUACAAGAAAAAGUGUUCCAAGAUAAAAAUUGUCCUCAAGAAUUGCUAGACAUUGGCAAGCAAAUUGCAAAAAACUGUCAUGGCCUACCACUUGCAGUGGUCGUGAUAGCUGGAGUUCUUGCAAACAUGGAGAAGAAAAAACAUUUGUGGGAAAAAGUUGCAAGAAAUUUAAGUUCACAUAACUCCGAAAUACCAGAGAAGUGCAUCCAAAUAUUGCAGCUUAGCUACAACCAUUUACCAAUGCUUUUGAAACCAUGUUUUCUUUACUUCGGAGCAUUCAAAGAAGACAGGAAGAUCCCUGUGCGGAAGUUGAUUUAUCUCUGGGUUGCCGAAGGAUUUAUAAAGAAGGAAGAACAGAAGAACAUAGAGGACGUGGCACGAGAAUAUCUAAUGAAACUAAUUGAUAGGAGCCUAGUACUUGUUGUUGGAAGCACAUAUAAUGGAGAAGUCGAAGCAUGCAAGAUUCAUGAUCUAUUGCGUGAAAUGUGCUUGAAAAUAGCUAAUGAAAAUAACUUUUUGAAGUUGAUCGAACGGUAAGUUCAAUGUUUCUCUUCUUUUCUCUUUCCUUUUCGUCCAUUUUUUAUUUUAGCUUACUAAGAAUGGUUAUUAUAUUUGAUAACCAUAACAAUUAUGUGAUAUGUUGCUUUGUUACCAGUAAUGAUGAUGAUGAACAACGUUUCUUCAGUCAAGUAUCAACGUAUCAGCAGCACCAUCGUCUGAGUAUCAACUGUGCAAAAUCUUCUAGUUCACUACCCGUUGGCCUACACGUACGCUCUCUUCUAUUUGAUUCGGAUUUUUUGAGUGCCAUCAGGUUUAUCUCAUCCAGCUACAAAGUUCUUAGGGUCUUUUGGGGAUGGUCACGGAAUGAUAUUCUAAUAGGACUUGAACAUCUAGUUCACUUGAGGUACUUGGAAAUUUCAUGUAUGCUGCCACCAAUGGAAAACUUCCGCAAAUUAGAAUUUCUUGUUGUGUACAAUCAUGAUGAAAUUGAAAUACCUGAGAUCCUUCUUAAUAUGGUGAGUUUGAGACACAUGGAGUUUAAGGGCGGUGCAUACUUCAGUGAAUCUAGCCGUCAGCUAGCAAGUAACAGUAAGAGUUUCCAAAUAAAUAACCUACAAAGUAUUUUUGUACUCUCAAUUUAUGAUGAAAUGGAUGAGAAAAUUUUGAGCAGUUCACCCAACCUUUGCAGACUGGAAGGCAAGGUUGGAAAGUCAUUAAAUCUCUCCUUAGGCUUCCUUAAAAAGCUCGAAUCACUGCUGCUAUGUAAUCCACGUUUUUAUCCUUCCAGUUUGAUCAGUUUGCCCUUGAAUUUGAAAGAAUUGGGACUGAAUGCUUUAGUCGUGUCUCAAAAAGAAAUGGAGAUAAUUGGAGGAUUGCCUUACCUCGAGGUUCUCAAAUUAGUAGACGUUGCCUUUGAGGGAGAACAAUGGGACACGAGUGAAGUUGAAUUCCCACGACUUGAAUACUUGAAACUUGAAGAUAUAAAAAUUGCAGAAUGGAAUGCCUCAAGUGAUAAUUUCCCGAGACUUCAACAAUUGUUGGAAAAAAUAAUUAGUUGCAGUAGUAAUCAGAACAAUAUAAUGCAGAAAUAUAAAACUUAUCGUCCGAUCGAGUCUCGUGACAGCACGAUGUCCUAAAGUGAAAUUGCCCGUCAAUAAUUGCUGCGACCUCCGUGGACAAUCACUCCCAGGAUACAACGAUCGUAAACCAUUUGUGCAGCAAUCACGAAUGGUUUUUCUAGAACUCUCAAUUAUACUCCAGAAUAGAUAUAAAAACCCGAAUAUAAGAAAUUCACAAUAUGAAAAGAGUGAUUGAUGCAAGAUGAUUUUUUUAUUUGCUUUGUGUGUGUCUUUUCCCAAAACGAGAUAUGGGUCUAUAUAGGCAAGAUGGUAAUAACAGUUUUCACCAUGUUAAUGCAGAAUUUUAAUGACUGAGUAGUGGGUCUUUUAAUGGCAGUUAGUGAGUUGUUACAAAAACAAACAGUCAUAAAAUAUUGGCUAGUUUUACCCAUUAUAUAAUAAAAAAAAAGAAAAAAAAUAUUUAUUUUAGUCAAGGAAGUCCAAGAGCCCAAGGCCCCAAGGCCCCAAAUCAAGACAUUUUAAUAUUUGCGUGGAGAGUGAUUCGAACCCCUGACGUCCCACACAAAUGUCACAUUUCCCACCACUUUGACACUUUAUCUAAUUUGAUUAUUUCUUUCACAUUUUAUAUUUAUAUCAUAAAUAUAUAACAACAAUUAGUAUUGAAACAUUGCCGGAAUCUUGAGAUGAUCCCUUCCAGUUUAGGUGAUAUUCCAACGUUACGGAAGAUUCGGGUAUAUAUGUGUGCAAAAACUACCAACGAAUCAGCUAGGAAAAUUAAGGACGAACAAGAAAAGAUGGGCAACGAAGAGCUUCAAGUCAUAAUCACUGACAAAUAUUGGUCAGCGAGGAAAUUUAGAAGGUAAUAAUGAGAGAGAUUCUCUUUUUUAAACCUCUUUCGCAUUCUCAGCUUGGUCCUAGGUAUUUUAUGUUAUAUUAAAAUGAAACAUAAAAAACAAAUCCUACUGUAAUUUUUGCUGGCAUUGAAAUUAGGGAAAAUUUCAUAACUAAGAAAUUAAUUAUGGCACAUUUCAAAAACAAGAAAACAAGUUUCAAAUUUCCAAAAUCAGAUUUUUAUUAAAAAUUAUUUAUAAUUUAAUUAGUUAAUUAAUUAUUUUAUUAAUUAAAUAUAUUUAGGUCACAGAUCUAUACAAUUUGGUCACAAAUUAACAAUAUAAUUAGUCACUUAUUAUUUUUUGGUCACAAAUCAAAAAUUUUAUGUCACAAAAUUUUUGAAAAUUUUUUUACGAUCACUUUUCAAAAAUUUUGUAAGUCACGGUUUGUUUAUUGGUCACAAAUCCAAAAAUAAUUAGUCACGGAUUAAUUUUUAGUCACGACUUAUCAUAUUAUUGGUCACAACUUAUUUUUCAGUCACAAGUUAAAAAUUUUAUAAGUCACAUAUUAUUUUUAGAUCACGAAUCAAAAAUUUUAUAGGUCACAGAUUAAUUUUUCGGUCACAACUCAAUAAAUUAUAAGUCACAAACACAAAUUUUAUAGGUCACAUAUUAUUUUUCGAUCACGAAUCAAAAAUUUUAUAGGUCACGAAAUCAAAAUUGUUAUUAGUCACAUCUAAUUUGUCGGCCACAAAUCAAAAAUUUCUUAUGUCACAAUUCAUUGAUUAGUCACAAAAUCAAAAUUUUAAUUGGUCACAAUUCAUUUGUCAGUCACAAAUUAUAUCAAAAUAAUUGGUCACAAUUCAUUUGUCAGUCACAAAUUAUAUCAAAAUAAUUGGUCACAAUUAAUUUUAUAGUCACAAAUUAAUAAAUUACAAGUCACAAACCAAUUUAUUGGUCACAAAUAACCAAAAAAUUGGUCACAAAUACCCCGUCCAAUGCAAGUCACAAAUCGAGAGUCACAGGCGCAGUCACCAUCACCACCGCCACGAUCCAAUUAUUAGUCACAAAUCAACCAAACCGCCACGAUCACCGACACGACCACCACAAUCACCGCCACGACCAACUGUGACACCCAAAUUGUGAGUCACAAAUUGAAAGUCACAGUCACAAUUUUCAGGUCACGAGUCCAAUUAUGUGUCACAAAAUCAACCAGCAGUCACGACCACCGCCAAUCCACCACAACCACCUCGUCACCAAAAAAUCGUGCAUAUCACCACCAUCGGCCCACUAUUGUCAAACUCUGUCAAUAACAAAAACAUCCCCAUAUCCACCACCAUUUUCAUUACAAAAAACUACCACAAAAAAAGGACCAGCAACACCACCGGAUCCGCCUUUGCCAAAGUUCAGAGCCACCAUCUCAAUCACACAACCACCACCAUACCAACCAAAAAAUUCCAAACCCACGAAAACAUCCCCAUAUCCACCACCAUCACCAUUUUCAAUACAAAAACCACCACAGAAAAAAGGACCAGCAACACCACCGGAUCCGCCUUUGAAAAAGUUCAGAGCCACCAUCUCAAUCACACAACCACCACCAUACCAACCAAAAAAUUCCAAACCCGAUUCAGUCGUCGCCGCCACUGCAUCUCUACCCGUCGCCUUAUGCGUUGCUCAUGACGACGACGAGAAAGGUGAGAGAGACAGAAUGUGUUUGGGGGAUCUGCAGCCUCGCGUCACCAUCACCUAGAUUAAAUCGAAAAAUUAAAACGAGGCGGCACAGACCACAGCCUCGUCGAUUCUAUCUACUCCGUCCACAUCGGGGCGGCACCGCGCCUCAUUGCUCGCAGCUCCGCCAUCUACAGUAAGAAAUGCGACGCUGUGCUGCACCAAUUCGACAACAGGAGCAUCACGUUGCCGCCGUCGACGAUGGAGGGAGGCGCCGUUGCGGGGAGAAAUGUAGAGAGGGAUGGUUGUGGGAGAAAUGUAGGGUAGGGAGGCUUUGGUUGUUGGGAGAUAGGAUUAGGGUUUGUGAUUAAAAAUAUUUAUUUCAUAAAAAUAUUAAUUAGAAUAAAAUUUCUGACUAUUGAAAUGUCAAACCUCUGCCCUGAUUUUAGAAUUGAUGAUUUUAAUGAUAGGGUUUCGUGUAAUUUCCACUUGAAAUUAAGCCACUGUUUGGUAUGAAUUAAAUUAAGAUUUUUAGUAUUUGGGACCAAACUGGGGCUAAGUUGAUUCUAUUUUAUGAGCUUGUUGAUGUUAUUCUAGGAAUUACUAAACCAUAAGCUUCUAUGUUUGGACAUUGAUCUAUAUUAUUUCUGCAUUUCACAUUUUUUUUACCGUAAAAUCGAUUUUACAUAAAAUCCCAAUGGUCACAAUUUCACUUCUAGUUUGAUUUAGUAGUCGGAAUGAUUUGAUUGUUUAGCCCAAGUCCUCAGCUAAUUGCAUGGGAGGUCCUUCAACUUCUAAACUUGUUAUCUUGGUCCUUGAUUCUAGAUUCCAUCCAACUUCCAUUCUUCUCGAUCAAAUAUCGUCCCUUUUUAUUGUUUCCUAUUCAAUACUGGUUUUUCUCCUAAAAUAAUAAUCAAAUACACAAAAUUAAGUAUAUGCUCAUAAAAGUAUUUCCAAACCCCCUCUUUUGAUUCCUUGGAUAAGUAUAAAAUCACACUUAUCGUAGAUAUGCAAUUUCAAGAGUCGAGUGAUUUUUUCAGGGGUAAAUAGUGAUUUAAUCAUUUGUAUUGCACGUUUGUGUUCAGACAAUUUACUAAAGGACAAGUGAAUUCAAUUGUGUGAGUAAUAUGUUAAAGAUUUUAAACCAAUAGAGAUCUUGGCAUUGAUGAUCAAAUUUAGACAUGUAUUAUUGAUAUGCACACUCUAGAGAUUUUAAUAGGGUUCGAAGACCUUAAUAAUCUUGCAGAAAAAUUUGUUCUGUCUUAAAAAGGCGAACCCAUUACUUUACAGACUUGUAAUAUUGGUGUUAAUUAUUUCAGAUGCUAGAGGUGGUACGUUCUUGGCAAACAAGAUGAUCAAGAAUCGAUUGCAUAAUUGGAAGCUAGAUCAAUGGUUGAACGACACUUUGGUGGCGUAUAUUAGUACGAUGUAUUUGAUGAUAUUGAUAACGAUAAUUAUACAAUGUUUUCAAAGUAUGAAAACUUGUAGGCUACAAUUGUAGUGAUCUAUUGGCUAUUUUUAAUUAAUACGUUGUUUUAGAAAAAUUAUAUUUUAAUUUUUAAUCCUACAAUGAAAAAUGUGAGGCUUCGCAAUCAUAUUAGGCUUGACAAAACCAAUUAUCUUCAGUGGGAAAACCAAUUUCUGAAUGUCGUCAUGGCUAGUGGAUUAGAAGGUUUUAUAGAUGGUACAUCUACUUUUCCAUCAAAGUUUGUUGUACAGCUGCUCAUUGGGUCGAAAUUUUUAUUAACUUUUCAGUAUUAUGACUUCAAGCUUUUCAUUUCCCAUCUCUUCUUGUUCUUCCUGAAUUUGCUUAUCAGAUUCUUAAAUUGCUUGCUCAGACCCUCUACCAGAGAAGUUUCCCAAUCAAGAAUUUGCUCAUAAGAUUGUUGGUUAAGGGAUUCCUUCAAAUAAAAUAGAAGAAGAUGGUAAAUUUUCAUGUAUAUCAAAUUGAAACAGCAAUCUCUACAUAUAGAUGUUAGUACGCCUUUCCAAGGCGUUACAAUAUUUCUAGAACCAGCCUAGUUGAUACGAAACAAAUACAAAAAGAAAAUUUUAUUAUUCGAAAAUCUUCCACCCUGUCUAUCCCCAAAGUUCAAAACAGGAGGGGGUGUUUCUCCUUCUUCAGUAUUAUUAUGUAAUUGACUCUUCUUUUAAAGAGUUGAUUGAAUUGAUUGACUUAGACGGAUAAUAAUAUACAUGGGGGCGCCAACAAUAAAUGAUUAUGUAAUUAUACUUGCUAAUGCAAAAUAAGUAUAACUUCAUUGACAUAAACGAUAGGCAUCAUUUUUUACUGCUAUGCCAUCGAUUUCCAAGUGACAAACUAGACUAAGAGCAUUUAAACAUCUGAAUUCUUGAACACGCCAUUCUUUCAAAAGAUUUUCAAUGUGUCAAAUUUGAAUAAGGUUCCUUACUAUUCAUCAAAUUAAACUAUUGGCUCUAUCACAUUUAUCGACCUUUAGUUCAUUCUUCUGGAUGUACUCCUUAAGGGUUAUCUAACAUAUUAGGCCAAUAUUGUAGAUUACAUACUUGUCCAUGUAAAUUGAUUUAUCAAAUGAUCUUGUAAUUGUCCACCCUCAACUCCUCAAGUAAUUUGUCUUGAAUGUCCUAUAUUUCAAAAGCGUUAAAGCGUCCCUUGUGGUAUCCAGGUUCGAACAAGUAGCCAUGGACGUGUCUUCGAUUUGACAUUGAAGUACCAAGAAAUGAAAUUAAAUUGCUUACAAACUAAUUAACUCACGUCUACUCUUCUACAAUAUAAAGAUAGCUUACUUGAGCUUGGUAUUUUUCGCAACAUAUUCCAACUAAUCCAAUUUUGAAGUCAAAAAAACUGCAAAAUUGUCUAUCAACUCAAGUACAUAUUUUCUUUGAUUAAAUGUAUGCUUUAGGAAAAAAAUAAAUUGUCACGAGUUGUGUUAUCUAAUCAUACCACACUUGCCACGAUGAAAUCAAAACUUAUCGCGACCAAACUACUGUUAUACGCAACAUCAUGCACAUAAGAUCAUGAAUUUUAUACACAAAUCUUUCAGAAGUCUGCAGCUUCGAUUUUCAAACCAUAUCUGGAGGAAGCAUGAUCCACGUCUUGAAAACAUAUUAAGUGCUUUCAAAAUUGCUUUGAGCAAACCUAUCAAACGAAAUAACACGCAAUCUAAUAAAUGUUUUCUUGAUAUGAUCUGGAACCUGAGAUGUUAACCGGCAUAAUACCUUAGACAAUUGAGACAUAAAAACUAUUGUUUCGAAAGCCAGUGUCACAAGAUGGAAGUACUCUUGACCUCCUAGCUAGACAGAGGAUCAGGAUUCGUCUUCGUCCUUAUCUUCGUCCUCGUCUUCAACUUCAACUUCAUCUUCAAAAUCUACAUAAUCGACCUUUGCAACAGGAGAUGCUCACCAAAACUUGUUCAACUGUUUCAGAAUCUGAAGUCCUUUGUCAAUGACAGUGUUGAAAAUUGACCAGAUCACCAUUCUUUUCAGCUUCGGCGAUUUUUCUAUCAAAAGCUUAGUGACUGCCAUCUCAGCAACUGUGCCUAAAAUAAAAGCAGCUUCACUUUUUGAAGUCGAUUUGAAGUUACAUCUGCGUAGUCUUGCACUUACAUAAAAUCUAGAAUAGGACUAGCAUCAGCAUUUGCACUCUCACAAAUCUAGACAAUAAGGCAAGAUAUCACUCAGCUUAAACUUUUGUUUUAAAAUGGAGAAUUGAAGAUGUAAAUUGUAAUGGUCAUAUCCAUCACUUACCUCGAAUCUCAGUUCCUAAAGGUUGGGGGCGCUGCUGAUCAAACACAAAACACAAGAGAGUUCAUCCAAUAAAUUAAAAAAUAUAUAAAAUAACCUCUGAUCAAGCACAGAACACAAGAGAGUUCAUCCAAUAAACUAAAAAAUAUAUAAAAUAACCUCAGAACUUUAAGGUGGAUUAAAGUAGCUGGAAGCCUUUCUUGGACUUGACCUGCAGCCAAAAUCUUGAAAGCAGUGGUAAAAGCAUGAUCUAAUGUAGUUAACUUGACGAUUACAAGGGAUUGUAUUUAUAAUCAAAAAUACCUUAAUGACAGUAUAGUUCAAGUACACUUUCUGAAGGCCAGGCAGAGAAUAAAAAAAUGAAUGAAGUUACAUUUCCCAUCUUCCAAAAUAUUGUCAACCACCCAAUCAUUAUGUGAAGCAACCAAAAUUAUUGCAAGAAGAGUGAAUUUCUUAAAACAAAACAAUGAUGUAGGGAAACAUGUCAAUUCAAAGUGUUUUAGCAUAGGAGCAUCAAUUUCUAAGUAGUCAAAUUUGUUUGAAACAUUCAGCAACAGUUUCUCCAGUAAUGGGCAGCUAGAUAUCAAACUUCCUAAUACAUACAUCAUAAUCAAUUGUCACGUCAAGCAAUUCCAGCCAAAUCAUCCUAUUAAAUCCUUCAAAGCUUGGUGGAGGUGGAUUGAUCAAACAAGACAACAGCUUCAAAUGUUUCAAAUGUAAACACAUAAAUAGUGAAGAAGGCAAUGUGUACAGUUCUCCGCUCUUGAUUUUAAAGGUGAAUUCUUCAACACUGUUCUUCCAUAAGAUAUGUAUCAAGUCGUCAAUUUCUGAGCAAUUUUAAGUUUCAGAAUAACGAAGCUCAAUUUUGUUAUGGGUCCUUUACGAAGCAAAAGAACCUUGUAAAGGAUCAACAAGAACUUCAUUCUAGCUGAUUCUAGGUUUCCCUCAUAUUCUUGCCAUAGCGUCUCAUCAAAUCUCAGUUGGGGUAGUUUGACCCAUUUAUACCUCCAUUGUUUUGAAUACUUGUCUUUGCAGCAUCAUGUAAAGUCAAAUGCAUUAGAAUGCUAUCAGCUACAUUGUCAGUAAGGUUGCUUAUCCUAUCAACAGGUUGGAACUGGGUAAUAUCCAUUCUGCAGUGUUAUUGAAACGACAACCCUUUAAUGACACCUCACAAGUAAUAAAUAUAUAAAAAUUACCUUAGAAGUAAUAAGCAUGCACACAGUAGAUAUUAAAGAUCCAACAUGAAGGUUCCCCAUUUUCUUGCAUUAUUUUAAUAAUCCUACGCAAAAGUUUUAUCAUUUGUAUUUUCCUUAUUUUAUAUCCCAAAAUUUGAAAAAUUGGGGAUUAUAGUUUCUCAAGCAUGGAGACACUUGCCCUCAUGCGUUAGAAAUUAAAAAAUUAAAAAAUAUUGGACAACAUGUGGUGUGUUGAACACAUCUGCCUCAAGUCUCGGAAAUUUAAAAAUGAUAUAUAAAAGAAUAUACGCCAAGUGACAUAUUGGUAGUAGAAUGAGUGUCAUCCUUCAUAGCUGGUUAAAUUACCGAAACAUUCAUAUGUUACCCACCAGGAAAAUAGAGACAGGUUUCACAAUUGAAAUUUACAUUUGUACAUGCCCUCGACAAAGUGGUUGUUAAGGGAUAUAAACCCACAUCGAAUAAAGAUAAAAAUAUAGAUCAACUUAUAAGAUUUUGCGCUACUCCUGUUUAUAAGGUUGACCUUUUAAGAUGGAAUUCCCAAUCUUAACAUAUCGAAGACAUUAAGCUCUAUCAAACAAUUCGAUCCGAUUAAGAAUAAAAAAAAAAUGAGCAUACGGAUACCAAGAUUGGUUUGCUCAAAAGAGCCACAAUCUUGCGGUGGGCUUGUUAAGGAAUAUAAUCUCAUAUCGAAUAAAGAUGUAAACUUGGACUAAUUUAUAAGUUUUGGACUACUUCUCUUAACAAAGUUAACAUUUCAAGAUGGACCCAAGUCUUAAAAUGGUAUGUUAAGGGAUAUAAUCCUACAUCAAAUAAAGAUGGGAACAUAGACCAACUUAUAAGGCUCUGGACUACUCCUCUUAACAAGAUUGACCUUUUAAGAUGGACAUAAAUCUUAACAUGGUAUUAAAGCUCAUUAAGCUCCAACGAGCGAUUCGAUCCGAUUAAAACUAAAAAAUGAGUACACGAAUUUCAUGAUUGGUUUACUCAAACGAGCUAUCAUUUUGCGGGGGGUAUGUUAAGAAAUAUAAUCACAUAUAAAAUAAAGAUGAAAAUAUAGACCAACUUAUAAGGUCUUGGAUCACUCCUCUUAACAAGGUUGACCUUUUAAGAAGAAACCCAAAAUCUAAACAGUGGCAACAAAAUAUUCAUGUAGUCAAUCCCAAAUUUAUUGGGAUUAAAGUUUAGUUUGUAGUCAUAGAUGCAAAUCUAACAUAAAAAUGUGUACUGCUCUUCACAUAGUAUGCUUGAUGAUGCAGUAGUGCCUACCUGUUAUAAUUCGAUGGUUAAACUAGUUGUGAAUCCUGAUGACAGAAAGUGUGCUAGGAUAAUAGUUUGUAGAGUGUUCUAAAAAAAAAUUCUCUCUUGUAUAUGACCUAGGCGCCACUUUAUAGGUAGAGACUACUUAUGCAGAUGGUGUGUUUCUUCAUUUUAAUAAACCCGUUGCUCGAGUUUUCUCGAAAUUGAGUCUACCGUAAAAUAGGUGAUCGAAUGGAUUGACUCAGUCAGAGAAUUGAUUUAGAUAAGGAAAGAGUCUGGUCGAAUAUCUAUGUCCAGUCUGACCAUAAGUUAAGAAACAAAAAAGAAAAUCAAAAUACCGUCUAUAGCUACAAUGUAACUGCUCAGAAAAAUCUAUUGUUUGAAAAUUAGAAAAGCAAAAUAUCAAGGAAAGUUAAACUUAACAAACUGACUAAUUGCUAAACUAAUUCUAUUUACAGUAGCCUACAGAGUUGAGGGUCAUUUUUAGGAUUUUUCUUCCAUCCUCAUCAUCACCAAAGAAGUCAAUCUUUAUAUAAUGUAUGUAUCAAUAGACUAUGCAUUUUCCAUUCAACCCCACCCCAUUAAAAGAAAGAAGGCAUCUUCUGGUAGUAUACACUACUUCUGAAUCCUCUUUUAUCCUGUCAUAAUACUAAAGAUUUCACUCAUAAAUAAAACACUACACAUUUCUACAAAUAUUUCAUAUAAAAAGUUAAUGGGAGGGACCGUACAAAAACUGUUUCAAUUUAAGAAAAUAGAAUCGUACCUGUAAUGGAGAGAGUGAUGGCACCGCGGCGGAGAGGGUUUUGGGUUGCAAUCUCAAAGGAAAUUAACGCGCAAAGGGGAGCUGAACCUUCAAUGGUGGAUUAAAACACUUGGGUCUAACUUAAAAGUUGCUGACAUUUUUUGCUAACUGCUAAACUUGAUUAAAAUUUUGGGAUGUACUCAGAUUGAGAUCGUAAUGAAUUUUAAAAGUCAUUCUAAAUUUAGAUCCUUGUUUGAGCCCUAUUUUUGCCAAGAAAAUACAUUUUUAAAUAGUAUAAUGAUGUGAAAUGUAUGGUUAAAAAAUAAGGAAAAGUUUUAGAUUUUCGUGUAAUAUUAUUUUAUUGAAGAAUGUGUGGUUGAAAUGAUGUCAAAAUAUAGUUUAAGAAUGUAUUUUGUCAAAAAAAUGGGGCUCAAACAAGGGCUAGGUAUCUUCAAUUGAGAUUUUAUUGGAUUUUAAUUAAAUUCAUUAAAAUUUAGGUGUCCCCAAUUGAAAUUUUAAUGAAAUUCUUAAAAAUUUAGAUAUCCUCAAUAAUUAGUGGAUUUAUAAAGAUUUCAUUGAUAGAAGGAUUUUAGAAGAUUUGGAUGGAUUUCAAGCUUAAAAAUACAUAUAAGUAAAUCUUUUGAAAUUUCACCAUAUUUAAUUAGAUUUUUUUUUUUUUGAAAUUUGUAAGAAUCUAUUUAAAUCCACCAAAGUCAUUAGAAUUUAUAAUCAUUUAAAAUUCAUUAAAAUCUUAGUUGAGAACACCUCCGUUAAUUUUAAAUUUUAAAUAACUUCAUUUUGAAAUAUAACUAAAGACCUUGUUUAGUAGGGAUUAAAAUCAGUUUUUUAGUAAAUUUUGAUAAAAGUCAUUGAAAUGUAGCUAAAAAGUUGUAGAUCCCUUAAAAUGUUUGAUUAAAAAUAGUUAUUCACUUUGACUCAAAUAAAAAUCUAAAUUUUAAUUUGUAUCAAACAAGUUUUUAAAUAAUUAAUUACUUUUUUCUUAAUUAAAAGCAUUUAGCCCCUGGUUGGUGGGUAUUAAAAUCGAAUUUUGAGUAGGUUUUAAUAAAAGUUAACGAAAUGUAUGGUUCAAAAGUUGUGGGUCCCUUAAAAUUAAUUUUUGGUUAAAAUUAGUUAUUAACUUUGAUUUGUAUUAAAAUCUGAAUUUAUGUAUAAAAUAGGGGCUCAGUAUAAAAGUAACUUUUAUUUUACUAUAAACACAACAUGUUUGCUAGUGAGAAUGAAAAGAAAAAAGAAUAACAUACUUGGCUGAGUUUAAAAAAAACAUAAAAGUAUCUAAGAUUUACAAAACACGUCAUCUUAUCAACGUUUUAAAAUCGGACUGACCCCAAUCCGUUCAACCGCAAGAAUCGAGAAUCGAGUCCAAAACCAAAACCGAUCCAGUUAGGCUUAUAAAACCUCUAAUUAAAAAUCCAUCCCAAAACUAGUUAAACCGCAAAAAUCACUAGUUCGAUUCUGAUUCAACCUUUUGAUGCUUGACUCUCUUUUUCAAGUAAUAAGUCGGGUCGAUUCUUAAAACAUUGCAUAUUACUGAUUUGAUAUCUUUAUUAUUCAUUUUAUUUUGAUUUUCAAAUUCGCUAUAGACUUGUAUGAAAAUAGGAUUUACUUUAUUGAACUCCUCGACAAAAUCAUACCAAAUGGGGGUUGAAACAUAGCUUCUUUUGAUUAUUCGUAAGCGCCAAUUAGCUAAAAAAUUACAUUAAUAAUUUCUACUCUUGCCCUAGCUCGUCCAAAAGCUAGAUUCAUAUCUAUAUUAGUAAAAAAUAUAUUUUAAAACUAUAAAUAAAUAAUUUUUAUUAAUCAUUUUUUUCUAAUUCACUGUAGACUUGUAUGAAAAUAGGAUUUACUUUAUUGAACUCCUCGACGAAAUCAUACCAAAUGGGGGCAGAAACGUAGCUUCUUUUGAUUAUUCGUAAGCACCAGCUAGUUAAAAAAUCACAUUAAUAUUCUCUACUCUUGUCCUAGCUCGUUCAAAAGCUAGAUUCAAAUCUAUAUUAGUAAAAAAAAUAUUUUAAAACAAUAACUAAAUAAUUUUUUUUUAUUAGUUUUAUAAAUAAAUUAUGUUAUUUAUUUGAACAAUAAAAUGAGAAUUACUUUAGAUCAAGUAAAUGAUUUUAGGACAUGUUUAAAAAUAAAAAAUGACUACAAAAUAAUUAUACAUGUGAAUAUCACACUUAUUUUUUGCAUAGUUAACAAGCUUUUGUUGAUUAUUAUAUUCAAUUCUCUAUUUUUUUAGAGUGAAUUAUUCGAUUCUAUUCUCAGUUGAUUUGUGCAAUAUUUUCGUGUUAUUGGGCAAACAUUUGAAUUUUGACAAAUUUAUGAUAUAGAGUGAAAGAGGCAAAAAGAGGACUAGCUUUUGAUGGUUUAAGUUUCACUGUGACAUUUUGAUAUUGAAAUUGAAUAUAAAUUGAGUCUUUUUUUUUUUUUUUUUUUUUAAAGGGGGGAAGGGGGGGUUCCCAAGUAUGCAAAAUUAUGGUUAAAUUCCUGGAAAUUAAAUUCCCACACAUAGCUCUGCUCCCUUAAUCUUGAAUGAAAAUUUGGAAGUCUGGGGACACUUAAUUUUGUGGAAAUUUUGAUGAGAAAAUCGGACGGGAGCAAGACAAACAACCUUGGGCUCCCAUUAAAUUUUCAUUAUUUGAGAGAGAUAGAGAGAGAGAGAGAGAGAGAGUUAUUAUUAUUAUUUUUUCUCUUUGUUAGUUUAAUCCAAUAAAAAAUUUGUUCCCUUACACUACCCCUUAUUAUAUUCAUAUUUUUAUCAACUUGUGAAUGGUUUGUGAGCUUGGAAUAAAAAUAAGAUAAUUUGUCAAUUGUUGUAUUAAAAAUCAUAAAUCCAGUAGAUGGUAAAAAUAUGCUUUUAAAAUUUGUGUGGGUCUUGUAAUUGAAUUUCUUUGGGUCCUAACGCACUUUAAAUUGUUGAAACUUAUCAAGUGAUGUGGUCGUUUCACACAUUAAAGUAGGUUUAAUUUUUCUUGAAAGAGAGAUCAUCAAGUAAAUUUGAGAAAUUUGACUGUCAGCAUAUGUGAAAUUUGUCAAAGUGUAAUAGUUAAUGUUAAAAAAAUGUUUGAAUCGGUAGAUUAUGAGGAUAGCCAAUCUAAUUGGGAAGUCUCGGCUCACUCAUUACUAUCGCUAACAUCCUUACGCAAAAAUAGAACUGUAAAAUUAUAAAGUAAAUAACUUUUUUAUUUUACGAGAAUUAUUAAGAAAAUAAGUUAUUAAUUUUAACAAUAAAUUAGCACAUGUUUAAAAGAAAAACAAAUAUAAGGUUACGGAUUUGAAAAUAUAUUUUUUAAAUUGAAAAUUUAAUCCACAACAAAAUCAUAGAAACACUACGUGUAAAUGAUCAAGAUGUCCAUUAACAUGCUCCUUUUAUGGUGAAUUUCAAUGUGUAUAUUGUGAGUAUGUCUAGACAUAAGAUACCUUAGCUAAAAAGUUGAUAAAAAUUUAAGUUUGAAAAGUCAACAAUUAACUUUAAUCACACAUUUCUUAGGAUCUUCAAUUUUUAUCAACUUUUCUAUCACACAUUUAUCGACUUUAUUAAAAUUUACUAAAAAUAUAAUUUUUAGCUAAAUCAAAUGGGGGCUAAUUCGUAUGUAGUAACAUGCAAUCCAAUGCGAACACUAGAAGUCAAUCUAUGAAUUUUCGAAGCUAUUAUACCUUUGAUUUUACCCCAAUACAAGGAAUCCACAUAAAAUCUUAAACUCAACCAAACAGGAGCUAAUUUGUAUCCAAUAGCAUGCAAUCCAACGCAAACAUUAGAAGUCACUAUAUGAAAUUUAAGAACUAUAUACCUUUAAUUUUACCCAAUACCAGAAGUAAAGCAUUCGUCCACGGCUAGCAACAAUUAAGCCCUUGUUUGAGCCACAUUUUGGGGGGAAAUCUAUUUUGGAAUAGUUUAUUUUUAGAGAAUGUGUGAUUAAAAAAUAAAAAAUAAAAGUUUUCGAUUUACGUGUAAAAUUAUUUUAUUGAAUAAUGUGUGUUUGAAAAUAAAUUUUGAAAAAAAAAUGAGUUUUUGAUAAAAUGGGGCUCAAACAAGGACUAUGUGCUUCACCAUUGCAUUGUGUCUACUUGCUUUUAUAUUGAUCUAUCCAACGAAGUAAGGCAUUAGCUCAAGAAGACUUUUCUUAGCCCCCGUUUGUUUUUCAUUUUUGGAAGAAUGAGAAUGAAAACUAUAGGCGUUAUGGGUUCCACACAAGAGAUAGAAAUUCAAAUUCGAUGGCUUGAUGUGAUGGAUAACGAUCGUAUUUUUCAUUUUAAUGAUGAAAAAAUGGAAACCAAACAGGGGCUUUAGACAGUUUGAAAUCUGAGAUAUAGCUCGCAUAAUAUUAUGCGCCAUUCAGAUAAAAGAGAGAGGGGAGGGGGAUUUUCUAGUCCCAAGAAGCCCACGUCAUAAGAUUUCAAGAACUCUUGACCUCCUUGAGCUAGUAGCUGAGCCAAUAUUAAGCUAAACUACUAAAGUUCAUUUUCAUCCAAAGCUUUAAAAAUGACAUUUGCAUUUGGUGAAGGACUAAUCGAACAAUUCCAGUGUAAUUAGUAUCAAUGAUGACAUCAAGCAAUUCCAGUGUAAUCAGCCUAUUAAAACCUUUGAAGCUUGGUGGAGGACUAAUCAAACAAGAAGAAAGUUUCAAAUGUUUCAAUAGUGAACACAUAAACAGUGAAGAAGGCAAUUUGCACCUUCAUUUUCAAAAUGAAUUCUUUAACACCUUUCUUCCAUAAGAUAUAUAUCAAGUGUUCAAUUUCAGAACCACCUCUGAGUUUUGGAAUGUAGAGAAUGAAGUCAGCAAAACUGAAUUCAAGGCUGAAGAUCAGAACCAAAAUUACAGCAACAGAUUUGGUGAAAUUAUAGCAGCAAAUCAGGAGCCUAAUCACAGCGGCAAAUUUGAUGAAAUACCAGCAGAUCAGGAGCUUAAUCACAGCAGUAGAUUUGAUGCAAUCUCAACAAAUCAGGAACGUAACAGAUGAGGAAGAUUCGAUCCUGCCAUUAUGUUAAAAUUGUAUAACUGUAAAGAUUGGUUGUAAAAUUUCUUUAUAAAUAUACUGCUGUACAUAUACAAUUGAAUUCAAUAAAAACAGAGGAAUUAAUUCCUUUACAUGGUAUCAGUAUAGCCAUCAACAGACCAACGUCUAAAUGUCUUCCUCCAAUUCUUAAACCCAAUCUCCCUCUGUUAUCUCCAUGCCUAAUAUUUCUACUAUCAAACUAACCCAGGAUAAUUACCUUCUUUGGAAGGCCCAGAUGGUAUCAUAUUUCAAAGGUUAGGACCUCUUUGGUUACCUCGACGGAACCACACCAAAACCACCGAACUCAGUUUCUGCAUCCCACCCUGAAACCAAUGUUGUUUCUGAAACACUCAAUCCGGCUUACUCUCAAUGGGUCAAGUAUGACAACCUCAUUCUUAGCACUCUCAUAUCUUCUCUUACCGAAUGAGUGCUUGCUUAGGUUGUUAAUUAUACCUCUUCCCAUGAUGUCUGGUCUGCCUUAAAUGAAACCUUUUCCUCAAAAUCUCGUGCACGCAUUGUUCAAAUUCCCACACAACUGGCCACUGCUACUAAAGGUAGUAAAUCUGCCACUGAAUACUUUCACUUCACCUUGAGGCUGGGGGACGAACUAGCAAUUGCAGGCCAGCUAAUGACACGAGAUGAUAUUAUCGCAUAUAUUCUUGCAGGUCUUGGCCAUGUAUGACAGUUUUGUGGCCUACAUUUUCGCUCGCACUAAUAGUGUGACACUUGAAGAAAUUUAUUUUCUUUUAAUAACCACAAAAGCUCGUCUUUCUCGACACCAACUCACUCCAGCAAUUCAACAAAUUCUGCCAACUUUGCUCAAUGCCAAUCACAACCAUUUGCAAGAAAUGGCCAUGGUGGCCCUCGAGGAAGAGGACGAAUCCAUCGUGGUGGCUUUAACUCUUUCAAUCGAAACAAUGAUCAUUCAUCUAUUAUCUGUCAGCUCUGUGGUAAGUCUGGACACUCAGCUCGUAAAUGUUAUCAUAAAUUUGACCUUUUUUAUCAGGAUGCUCCAAAAGACACACCCAAGCAAGCUAUGGUUGCCGUGAAUAAUGGCAAUCCUAAAAAUUGGGAGACUGAGUGGCAUGUGGAUACGGUGCAACCCAUCACCUUACAAAUGAUGCUUCCAAUCUAGACCAAUAGAACAAUGCAUAUAAUGGUUUAAAUACCGUUCAAGUGGGAAAUGGUAAAGGUUUGCACAUCUCUAAAACUGGCUCUUCUAAAUUCAAAACCCCCUCAUCCACCUUUGUUCUUAACCAAGUCCUUUUAGUUCUUGAGAUUCAAAAGAAUUUGAUAUAUGUUCAGCAAUUUUGUAAUGACAAUAACGUUUAUUUUGAAUUUCAUGCUCACUUCUUUCUUGUGAAGUAUUACUUGGGGAAGGUCCUUCACCAAGGAUAUCUCAAUGAUGGCCUCUACAGUUUCACAAACAAAACAAGUCUACCUCAAGCACACUCCAGUAUUCGAGUUUCAUUUCAUAAUUGGCAUCGUAGGCUUGGUCAUGCUCUAAUCCCAUAGUCCACAAAGUUCUCUCCACUUUCAACGUUCCAGUAGAGAAAAAUAAAUUGCACAUUGUGUGCCCUGAUUGUCAAAUGGCUAAAAGCCAUAAUUUGCCCUUUAAAUUAUCUAUGUUUGUUUCUUCAAAACCCUUGGAUUUAAUUUUUACUAAUGUAUGGGGACCUGCUUCUAUUGCUUCCACUAUUGGUGCAAAAUAUUAUGUGAGUUUUCUGGAUGAUUAUUCCAAAUUUAUUUGGUUAUUUUCUCUUAAACUCAAAUUUGAUGUGGAACAAGUUUUUCUUAAUUUCCAACAAUAUGUGGAGAAACAUUUUGAAAGAAAAUAAAAGCCAUCCAAUCCGAUUGGGGUGACGAAUAUAGGCGGUUAAACACAUAUUUUAAAAACACAGGCAUCAACCAUCAUCUAGCUUGUCCACAUACACAUCAACAAAACGGGUCUAUUGAAAGAAAACAUCGACACAUUGUCGAAGUUGGUUUGAGCAUGUUGGCACAUUCAAAUCUCCCAAUGAUCUAUUUCGAAGAUGCCUUUCAAACUGCAACUUAUGUGAUUAACAGACUUCCAACGAAUGUUUUAGACCAAAAAUCACCAUUUGAGAUGAUAUACAACCGUGUUCCUGAUUACAAAUUUAUGCGUGUGUUCGGGUGUGCAUGUUGGCCUAACUUGAGGCCUUACAAUCAACAUAAACUCAAUUUUCAUUCAAAAACAUGCAUUUUCAUUGGCUAUAGUCUUUGCCAUCAAGUGUACAAGUGUCUUGAUCUCUCUACUGGUAAGAUCUAUGUCUCAAGAUAUGUCAUUUUCGAUGAAAACCUUUUCCCCUACACUUUCAAAAAUAAACUUCAAAAUCCCAGUCAUCAUGUUUCGAACACUAUCCUUCUUCCCUUGCAAAUUAAUUCUUCCCCAUCCAUAAGUUUCAGAGAUUUGCCUCCCAAUCCGAUUCCCACAAGAAUUGAAUCUGCCCCAUUAUAUUCUACUUCUGCAGGAAUAGAUUUUGGAACCUCUUCGCACCCAGCAACCAAUGCACUUUGACUUUUCUGAUGCAUUACAAGAAGAUGAACAGCCGCUCCUACAAAUACUCAUCCCAUGCUCACCAGAUCAAAGAAUAAUAUCCAUAAGCCUCAGCAACUAAUUGAUGGCUGCACUCGGUAUCCUUUAUCGAGAGCUUUGAUAGCAGAAACAAUAACUCUGGCAAAGGAGCCAACUUCAUAUACUGAGGCCUCCAAAUCAUCUCAUUGGCGAGAUGCUAUGAAUAAAGAAUUUACUGCAUUGCUACAAAAUGGCACUUGGUCUUUGGCAUCACCUUCAACUAACACCAAUGUUGUGGGCUGUCGUUGGGUGUUUAAAAUUAAAAAGAAGGCAGAUGGAACCAUUGAACGUUAUAAAGCACGACUAGUCACUAAAGGAUUUCACCAACAAGAAGGUGUCGAUUUUUAUGAAACUUUCAGUCCAGUCAUCAAACACACAACUCUUCGGCUAGUGCUUUCUCUUUCCAUUUCUUAUAACUGGCCUAUAAAGCAAUUGGAUGUACAAAAUGCAUUUUUGCAUGGUGAGUUACAGGAGAACGUGUUCAUGUCACAACCCCAAGGCUAUAUUCAUCCACAAUAACCAAAUCAUGUGUGUAAAUCACACAAGUCGCUCUAUGGAUUGCGGCAAGCCCCAAGAGCAUGGUUCUCAAAGCUCUCUGACAAACUCAAAUCUUUGGGCUUUCAAGAAAGUAAAGCUGAUACUUCUCUUUUUAUUUUUCGAAAAUUAGCUAUUAUUACUUACAUACUCGUAUAUGUGGAUGAUAUUUUGAUAACGGGGUCAAAUUUAGAUGCAAUCACUUACGUGAUUAAAUGCUUGAAAAAUACUUUUGCUGUCAAAGACUUGGAUGCACUAAAUUUCUUUCUUGGUGUCGAGGCACUUCGGUGUUCAGAUGGAAUUUACCUCACUCAACGCAAGUAUAUUGUUGAUUUACUCAAAAGGAGCAACAUGGACAAAGCAAAACCUUGCACGAGUCCAAUGGCCCCUAAUUGUCAUCUGACUUCCACCGAUAGACAUCCUUUUGAAGAUAUAAGUCUCUACCGAAGCAUCGUAGGAAGCAUACAAUAUCUAUCAUUCACAAGGCCUGACUUAGCCUUCACAGUACAUAAAGUCAACAAAUUUAUGCAUCGACCUCUUAAUACACAUUGGAUGGCAGUCAAGCGCACAUUGUGCUAUCUUAAACACUCGGUAUCCACUGGUCUCUACAUCACCAAAGCUCCUGAUAUGAGGUUGCAAGCUUACUUAAAUUCUGAUUGGGCUGCUGAUAGAGAUGAUCGACGCUCGGUUGGUGCUUUCUGUGUCUAUAUUGGCCCCAAUUUAAUAUCUUGGAGCUGUAAGCAGCAGCCCACAGUUGCAAGAAGCAGUAUCGAGGCUGAAUACAAGACACUAGCAAACACAGCAUUCGAGCUCACUUGGAUAAAAUCUCUUCUCUUUGAACUUGGUCUUUCUCAAACACAGCCACCAGUUCUUUGGUGUGAUAAUAUUGGAGCCACUUACCUCACCUCAAAUUCGGACUUUCAUGCAAGAACGAAGCACAUAGAAAUUUAUUUUCACUUCGUACGAGAUCAAGUUUUCAAUAACCAAUUGACGGUUCAAUUUAUUUCAAGCCGAGAUCAGUUGGCAGAUGUGCUUACAAAGUCGUUACCUCCAUUAAAGUUCAAGUAUGUACUAGACAAUCUCCAUGUCCGUGAACUACCCUCCAGAUUGAGGGGGCAUGUAGAGAAUGAAGUCAGCAAAACUGAAUUCAAGGCUGAAGAUCAGAACUGAAAUUACAGCAACAUAUUUGGUGAAAUUAUAGUAGCAAAUCAGGAGCCUAAUCACGGCAGCAAAUUUGAUGAAACACCAGCAGAUCAGGAGCUUAAUCACAGCAGUAGAUUUGAUGCAAUCUCAACAAAUCAGGAACGUAACAAAUGAGGAAGAUUCGAUCCUGCCAUUAUGUUAAAAUUGUAUAGCUGCAAAGAUUGAUUUUAAAAUUUCUUUAUAUAUAUACUGCUAAACAUAUACAAUUGAAUUCAAUAAAAAUGGAGGAAUUAAUUCCUUUACAUGGAAUAAUGAGGCUCGACUUUCAUAAGAUACUGAGAUGACCUUUCAGCAUUUAAUAUCUUGUAACUAAAAGUUUUAUUGUCUGUCAAAGAAUAACAGUGAUGUUUAUCAUCACUUGGUUUUUUGCAAAGUGGCACUAUUAUAUUAUUUGUUGCAGUAAUGGCUGUAGAUUUGUUAGGGUGAGAAGGGAGGAAAAUCAUGAAUUGAAGGCAAAAUUAAUUUUUUCCCCUACUGUUUUCUCUUUCUUUGUAAUACUAUAACGCAAGGAGUGACAUUGCAGAUAGAUAUCUACAAAAGAUGGCUGCACAAGAAGGCUCGCCUAUUAAUUUUUCUAUGAGCUCGUACGCAUUAAGAUGCCGAUACCUGCUAUUUUCAUCAAUUUCCUACAAAGAUUACGGAAGCUCCUUUGAAUUUUCUGUGUUAGAAUCUAUGUGUUGGUAAUAAUUCAUUUGUUUUCUUUUAUUCCAAUUUGAAGGCGUGAUUAUCUGAAUAGAUUGUGUCCGGGCAACUCUAAUGAGAACUUCAGAUCUAAAGUUCCUACAAGAAUGUAUCUCGCUACUGGUGAUGAAUACUGUUUGUACACUAAUGAGGCACAUUUUCAAUCAAAAGAUGUCUUUUGAAUUGUUUCAGAUGCACUAGAAAAUUCGAUUUGUUGUUCUUCAUCUUGUUUCUAGAAAUUUCCGUGCUACAUUUUUGAAUGUUUCGUUGAUUGGUAUAUUUACAAGCAUUCCAAAGUAAACCUGUUUGUGAAUGUAUGGAUGAGAAGACAGUUGGAAAGUUCUCUGGGUACUUGAGUUGACUUUAUAUUCAGUUUCUCAUGAAUAGUGUUUUCACAUGUCUAUCUUUUGCUCUCAACAGAUUAUUGACAUUUAGAUUCAUAAUUUGGCACUGAUAAUAUCACUAGAUGGUAGUUUUGUAGCUUGUAUGGUAGUAUUUCUCAUCGUUCAUGGACAUUUUCAUUUAAUUGCUUCACAUCAUUUCUUGAGAACCGAAUAGGUUAGAUGAGUCAUGGUGUUGGUACAGUUGUUUGGUUUUACACGAACGGCUGGAUGGUUCAAGACAUCGUGUUCACCAACUAGCCUAGUAAAUCCGAUUGUAUUCAACUAAAGAAGGUUCAAGGCCACAAGCUACCUAUCUUGAUGCUACGACUUGUCGUGUGUACUCCGUUUGUUAGAGUCUGCAUUUCAUUUUCAUUGCAUUCGCUUUGUGUUGCGCAUAUCGAGGAAUUUCCAUUCAUGUGGGGGAUUGUUGGAUAUUGGUUAAAUAAAUUGAGAAUUGAAAAUCGAUUAAAGUUCGUAUCGAAUUCGGCCAAAUACUCAAAAGCUCGACUCAAUCCGUUUAGGCAAAAUUGUUUGCCACUUCGCCGCUUCGGGGCGCACAAACGGGGAUCGACCUGCCCGGUCAGGUCGCGAGGGUCGAGGGGGCAGCGCCCCUCGUGGGGGGUCGGGGGCAACGCCCCCGAAAGAGAAUUUUGAUUUCUCUGCAUGUAUUGAAGGGUAUAUUUGGCAUUUCGAAAACCAAUAUCGGAUGAAUGAGAAAUUACGAAAAAGACCUCAACCAUUAGUGAAUAGACACCUUUUCAUAAAGGUGCAUUGUUUGGAAAUGGUGCAUGGUUUGGUCUCAACCAUUUCGUCCACACCCCUUCAUGGUCUAUAAAUAGGACCCUUUGGGUGUCCUAUUCCUCACAGUUUGAUAUGCAAAAACGUCUCUCAUCCUUUCUUCUAUCCAAAAUCAAAAUCAUUUCAUUUAUUUUGAUUUUCUUUCAUUUCAUCUGUGGAGUACAUAAGCCUACAUUGGGUUCGUUGUACUUGUGUUUUGGAGUGCUACAAACACAAGUGUAGCCGUUGUAUCUUGGGAGUCGAUUGGCGAAAUCCGUAGGCACCGUUGCGGGGCAAAUUCGACUUAAGGACAAAGAGUCCAACUCUUGCCUCGGCUUUGUCACCAUCAUUAUACUUAUUUCGGCGUCACUUUUCACAAAAUUCUUCCAACAGAACUUGUAUCCUCGUGAAUUCAAUUUUUCUUUUCAUCAUUUGCUACUGCCAUAACAGUGACUAAUAUGGAUAAUUGUUAACGUGCCUUUGCUUUUCCUUAGGAAAACAUUGCAUGAUACUUGCAAUUGUCUUUACACCUGUAUAUGACUUAAAAAAUCUUCAUUUUGUAUGUGAUGUCUCAGGUUUUUGGAGACUUUGCCAUUGAAAAACGGUGCAAAACUUGGCGUCUUGAGGUCUGUUCCUACUCACUUUGAUCUCAAAGCUGUAUUCUAUCCUUCUGGUCUACAUGUAUAACAUGGAUUAAACAGCAAUUUCAGAUUGCGCGAUUGAUGUAUGAAGUUGAUGGAACAGGGUUCUCCAAAUCAUGGAUUUGACGCUCUAAAAGCACCUAGCUCUAGAUGAGUCUGUUGAAGAAGUUUUGGAAGUCCUGCAGGAAUAUGCUCGAUUAGUCCAAGGACUGUGGGUUCCAAAGAGUUCGCUGGGACAUGGAACAGAUUCAGGAAUUGAAGUUUUAGCCAGGGACUAUGUUCUUCUAUUGUUUAGAAAGAAUCCACUAGGUUAACGACUGACAAAGACCUCAACGUCCUCAACUUCCUAAAGCAAUGAAAGAUGUCCUAAAUGUAUUGGCGUUGAGAGACCCACCCUCCUUCAGUGAUUGGCAACUCAGAGAUCUUCUUGAUCGAAGAUUCAUAAAACUCGAUCCUAUUGUUGCAAAGAAAUAAGAAGAAGAAUGGGAAUCCUUGGAAAAGAAGAUAAAUGAUCUUCUGUUUGGAGGAAGAAACGGACCUGGUACAAAGACUUCUUCAAAGUCUAAUGUCAUGAACAAUCCGGUCACGUCAAUGAGUUCCAGUAAAUUAGCUCUCAAAACUCCAAAUGAGGCAUCCUUGAGGACGCCAAUGCCAAAAGAGACUCGAGAAGCUUUAAUGAAGGCCCUUCAGAAACUUUUAAAAGGCAUCAAGGUUUGCAGGUGAGAUCACUUUAUUACAUCAAGCCUUUAGUUUCAAAUAGUAGUUAUAUGUGGUCAUAUUUUUUAUUGAAGAUAGUUAUCGUCACUGCAUUAAAAGUAUUCUAAAUCACUAGGUCACAGUUAUAUUGCAUUUUAUUUGAUUAGUAUUUGACAAUUUUCUUUGCAUGCAAUAAGUGUUGCUGUGACCUUGACAUUCAUGGCCUGGCUCAUUAAAAAAAUUGAGACACAGUAUAGUAAGUAGAAGAGAUGAGGAAGACGAGUGGUCUUGUGAAUUAGUUCUCUGCUUGCACUUAGGACACUAGUAUGAUUACAUUUUUGCAUUAACUGGGCUGGAGCAAUUGACACUGUUUAACAAAAUGCCAAUGGACCAUAUUUAAACAUUUUUUGCUAUUAUUACUUUUGUAUUACUUAUAUUCUCAAUGCAAACGCAAAGAAACUAGUUUGAAUUUUCUUAUUUAAUCAAAAUUUAAUUAAGCUAAUGUGCCCUUUAAUCUAGGAAACAUAACUUCACGCUUAGAGUGUUAUGGUUAUCCCGUGGCAGUUUAGUUUGAUUGUCAAUAGAUAAAAUUUUACUUGGCGCUGUGUAUGCCAGUUUUCAACAAAUUUGCCAGCGUUUGAGGGACUUGGCAGAUUCUGAGUCCGCCCGUUCGAGGGGAUUUGCCAAAGAGACAGUUGCUGCAGCAAACAGCAUUUGUGCUUUUGCUGAUGAGCUUCAGGCAAUCAUUAGUCGAUUUGCAUUUAAUAUUCAUGGUGUCUAUGUUCCAAAAUUACUCCAGAUCAUCCACAAUAUGAUCCAUUCAGGUUACACCUGCCUUCAUUUAUUUUGGUUCUAGAACAUUGAUAUUUUUCUUUUAUUAAGUUCUCUUUAUAAGAAAGGAUCACCAUUUUAUAUUGUUCAUUAUUGAUUUGUGGUUCUUUCUCUUCCAGGAAGGUUGUCAUUGAUCUUCUUAUUGCUGAAGGACCAAAAGCAAAACUCAAAGAGGUUCCCAUAGUCGAGGCUGCUAAGAUGGAACUUAAAAGGGAUAUACCUCAGAUUGGAUAUCAGAAGGUCAGAGUCAAGCUUACAGAUUAAUUAUGACGAAAUUGUAAUUAGGUGUUGAGAUCAAACACGCUCUCUCCUUGACACCAUUCAGGCGAACUUACUAAUUCCUGAAAUUUUUUUAAUUAGGUUUUGAUUAAUUUUUGAGGCCUUACGAAAGCACAAACAAGAUUGAGAAACUGAGGAGAUUGUCACAGGAGAUAUAGGAGAUUUCCACUCUCAUUGUGUGGGGGUGUGUGGUUGAGAGGGAGGUAGCCCUAUUUGCCUUGCCCUUAAUCUGGCAUCUAUCUUACCUGCCUAUCAUGACAGCUUCCAAUGUUUUUCCUUCCUAUGAAAGAUUCUUAAGCGUUUCACAACCUUUGUCACUCACUUCUUUUAAAUGAGCAGUAAGGACUUAAUCUAGCAUUAUUCUCAUGAGAGGAAGCUAAGCAAUGGAAUUAUAAAGCAGAGAAAUGUGUAGUGAAUAUACUUUUGAGAGCUGGUGAUAUGUGAUGUGAGGAAAGAUAUAUUAUGCUUGCUCCUAGAAGUUUCCCCAUGCAUAUGCUCUUAAAAUUCCCUCAAUAAUUUAGAAUACUCUUAGUGACCACCGAGCUAAUUUUCUGAUUCUCGUGUGAAUGUCUCAAGUCAGACCUCCUUGUGGGAAAAAUAUAUAUACACAUGGUUUCCUGAGCACACAGUCUUAUAGUUUCUUAUAAGCUUCCUAUGCCGAACCUUAGUUACUGGGAAAAGAACGGGGAUAUAUUUUUCUGGUCAUGUCCUCUUCACUGUCACUCUUGGUAUGUUCCAGCACUUCAAGAUAAAUAUUAAUUGACCUUUUGAGCCUCUUGUCCUCUUCCCUAUUAUCGUCGAUGGAAGCCUCAAUGACUUAUUUGUGAUAAAUUGCUUGCUAAUUUAGGUUAUGUAUUCCCUUAUGUGCUGCAGGUUUUACAGGAACUAUGUCUAUCACAAGGUUUUGAAUGGGUCCUUAAAAGUGGCGAUGGAAAUCCACAAAAGUAAAGUUCAUGCAACCAAAUUCUACGUUAGUCUACGAGGUAAGAAUUAGCAUAUUUACUAUGUAUUACGAUAAGUAAUAAAGUAGACACAUCUCACCACAAGACUUAAUGGAAAAUUUCUAAAUUGCAUGAAAUUCUUGAGCUUUGUGUUCAAGAAAGAAAAUCUCUGCUUAUUCUGUUUACAUGGAUCAUUGUGAUCUGUUGUUGUUUGUCUGAAUUUACCCUUAAGUGCCUUGGUAAUCGAGUUGAUGUGAUGUCUGAGUUUUGCAGUUUGAAAAGAGGAUUUACAUCGUUCCUUGAAGUUAUAUCAGUGCAUAGCAUCAGUUUAAAUCAUCCUUGAAUAUUGCCUAAUUGAUUCUCAUCACAUAUUGGAAUUUGAAAAGUUAAUAGGUCUGUUUAAUGUAAAUGCAGAAGUACAUAUACACAGAACAAGGAAUGUGUGUUUAUAUAUACGUAUUUGUGUUUAAACUACUAUUAAGAUGGCUGAGGUACAAAAGUCAUUUGUUGAAAAUGGUAAGGAACCUGUUUCUUUGGAAGCAGCAAGGGAUGUAUUCUUGAUAUCUCGAGUGGCUCUUUGAACAUUCAACCUUCAGUGCAGCUAUGAUGAUUUAAAAUAUACAAAGGAUACCAAAUACACUGGGGAUGAGUGUUCCAUGUAAUUAAACACAUUAAUAUAUACCAUCAGAAAUAAUAUUUUGUUAAAUAUAUAUGAUUUCAUGCUGCUACAAUAUUGUAUCCAUCUGUUAUCAUUAAUUCUUUUUCCCUUUAAAAUGUUCGGCCUUAUUGUCACUUGUCAAUACCGUGGUUCAUCCAAACAAUUCAUAUUUGAUAUUGACGAAAAUGAAAAAUUAUAAUGACUUGCAAAUGUAUUAAUUCUCUUAAAUGAAUUAAAGAACCUUAGUGCUACAACCUUACUCGUGGUCGUGGUUGUCGUAUUCAAUUUAAUUUUGUGCACCCAACCCUUGUACCUAAGUCGAAGUGAUGCAGUAGACACCUCGUGCUAUCAGAAUUUUCUUACGAGUGCCUUUGGAAAUUAAACCUUAUAUGUGGUAUCGUGUUUGCAGGUGCUACACCAUUAUUAUACUUCUCUGCCAACUUUAUUUAUUCACUAUCUGGAAUUCUAUUUGGCCGGAUUAGGUCACCAGAGUAUGAUUUGCUAUCUAGCAUGAUCUUGUAUGGAGUGAUGAUCUCAGACCAUAGGAAGGCAGGCAAGAUAAAGAAAAAGACAAUAGAUCUCGAAAUUUAACUUCCUUUACAUAUAUGGUUAUUCAUUGUACAGCUAAAUUAGUCUCUAAGCCAAGGAUCGAUGAGUCUUUUCCUUGUGUUGGCUAUUGGUUGACUGGGCAUUGUAAGAAUCUUUUUAGAGGGUAAUUUUUCAUGUCCAUUGCUUCUAACGGCUCUUCUCUCAACAUUGAUAUAGGGUAUAAUAUUGAAAUGUUGUGAACUCUUUAAGUCCCUCAAAGAAACCCAAAUGUCGAGUUGUUUAAUGGCUUGUUUGGUUGGACUUUGAAAAAGUCAAAGCUGUUUAUAAGAUUAUCGAUGUUUUUGGAUAAUUUUUAGAAAAUGAUUUGACUGGUUUGAUGAGCCUUUUAAAAUUGAUAACUUUUUACAAGUAAAAGUCUUGUCAAACAGGUGUUAAAGUAUAAGUCCUGUUAAUUGAGUUGAGUGAGGAUUAGUUUGUUAUACUAAAAUGUGCUUUUUAUAAUAAAAAGUGGACUAAAGUAGAUCAUGAUAAAUUGAUCUAUAAACAGCCCAUCUAACUUUAAAAAAAUCGAGUCAUUUUUACAUUGACAUUCAGUGCAUGUUUGGGAAAGUUAAACGGUUGAUUUUGUUAAAAGAAGUGGAAGGUCUUUUGAAAUGAGUGGUGGAAAAGAGAGUAAUACUGGUGAAUUUUGUGUAAUGUAAGAUUACUAUUAAGGGUGGUUAUAUUAUCAUCACAAUAAAUGUUUGGUACCCUAUAAUUUUCUUAUUUAUUUUAAAAAAUCACUAGUAAAAUGACAUAAGUACCCUAUCUUUUAUUCACUAAUAUAUUUAUUCAUACAAUCACUAUCAUCCGCACACAAAAAAAUACCUAAAGUCCUAUUUAAAGAUACAAAUGCCAAGAUCAAAAGAUCCAAGAUUGAAGAAAAGAGCAAGAAAUUUUAGGAUAUGGUAUAGGCAUUUUAGAAUAUUUAAUCUAUUAUUUUAAAAGUUCGCUAUAUUUUUCUGAAGAAACUCGUCAUUAUUGUGGAACAUGCCAUUAUACAACCUGCAAGAGGCAUUGGAUUUGGAGGCUAAAUGUUAUAACCCAUUCACUUAUAGUCAAAGUCAGGAAAAUUAUUUAGUCAAAGUCCAAAAUUCAAUUGGUUAAAGUCAAUUUCAAAUAGGGAUUUAAAUGAAAUAAAUUAUUUUAUUAGGGUUUAAUUUAUUAUGAAAAAUAGUUAAAGGUUUAAAAUGGAUAAAACUUAAUUUUAGGGAUCUACUUAUAUAUUAUUGGAAGUAAAGGACUAGAUGUUAUAUUAAAUUGAAGAAUAAGGACUUCCUAUGCAAAAAUGGGUUGUGGAGUGCAUGUGGCAAGUAAUUAACCCAUUACCAUUUUCAUAUGAUAUAUACAUACGGAGAGAUGAGGCUGGAGAUGGGCAGAAGCAAGAAAAACCAAGAAAGAGAAGGAAAAGGAGAAAAAGAAAGGGAGAGAGAGAGAGAGAGAGAAAAGGAGAAGAAAAGGAAGUGGGUCUUCAAGCUUGGAUUCUCCAUUUCUUCAUUGAUUUAGAGAGGUGGGUGUAAGUAGGAUGAGUUAUCUUUUUGAGUUUAUGGAAAUUUUCUAAAAUUUAAGGUUUAGCAAAAUUAAUGAUUGUUGAUAUAUGUUUGAGGCAUUAAAAACAACAAUAAUAUUAGUGUUGAAAGGAAGGAAAUGUGAAAUGGGUUUGUAAAUUAGAGUUCCAAUCUUUGAAUUAUUGUGUUUACACUUGAUUUAUGAUGAAUUAGAGUGGUGAAAAAAUAUUUAGGUUAGAUUUUGGUAUUUAUAAUAAAUUUUCGAGCAAAAUUCAUGUGCAGUUGCUAUUCAUGAAAUUCUGCCCAGAAAAGUGCCAUUUCUGUCAAUGGUUUUGAUGCCAGAUUUUAAUAUGCAGAAAUUGGUGCCAGGUUUCAAUUUUUUGGGAUUUUAGUGCUGUUUUUGACAAAACUCUUUUUUUUUUUCAGAUUUUUAAAGGCUUCAAUGAAGUUAUAUGAUAAGUAUUGAGGUUUAUGUAUUGGAAUAAAUUAUGUAUAGGGCUUGUAAAUGUAUAAGUUAAUGAUUUUAAGGAAGUGUGGUAAUUUAAUAGAUUUGAUAAUGCAUGGUGUUUAGUCGAUGAAUUAAUAAAGAGAAUAAAAGUUGGGGAUUAGAGAUGUAAGAGUAAAUAUAGAAGUUGAGGAGUUAAGUGGUGGAAUUGUAUUGAUUUAAUUGUCAAGUUUCAAUUUGAGUAAUUAUUAUACCGUUAUUUCAGGUAGUGACGUGAAAACUUGAAAAGACUUGUCAAUUUAGCUAGAUUUCUAUCCAUAAAUCUGUGAAUGGAAAAAAGAUAAAUAUUUUUAAAGUAUUUAUAAAUUAAGUAUAUUGUUAAAGUAUGUGCAAUUAUGUUCUCGAAGUAUAUGGUUAUUAUGAAAAUAUCUUUUAUUACGAUACAUGUGAUAUUUUAAAGAUUGUAUAUGGUACAUUGUGAAUUGGAAUAUCAGAUAUGAUUUUGAAAUCGACCAAAAAAGUACCCGUGAUUAUAUAUUUCUUCUAGUUCACUGAGGAGCCUUGGCCAUGUUCUAUACUACACUGAAGGGUUUUGGACCGGGGAUGAAAGAGUCUCGACCGUAUACAUAGGGUUGCACAAAAAAAAUAUGAAACCGCAAAUCGAACCGAAACCGUUGAGUUGAAACCAUUGGUUCGGGUCCACAUGGACCCAUGGUUUCUUUUUCGUCAAACCGAACCAAACCGUUUCAAAAUAGUUUGAUUUAGGUUUUGAUUUUCAAAAAUCGCACAAACUGAACGGAACCGUUUUUAAAUUUUUUAAUUAAAACAUUAAUUUUAUUAACUUAAAAAUUUUACAGUUUUUUCUAUUUCUUUUUAAAUAUCAAUUUAGUAAUACAAAUUAUAACCAACUUAUUGAAAUAAUCAUAAAAAGUAAAUUAUGUUCAUUAUUAUUGACCUAUGAUUUAACAGGUUCACAACAAAUGUCUUACCCGAUAUCUAAACUAAACUAAAAUUAUUUCAAAAUCAUAUGAAAUGAAGAAAAAACACAUAUUUUCACAAUCCAAAUCAUGAUUCAACAAAAUUACGUAAGUAAAUCACGCCCAAAACUUUAGAAGCCCUAACAUAAACUCUCAUUUUUCUAACAUUUGAUGCUUUUCUGCCACUGUUGAACGAUUACUAAUUGCAUUUGUCUGUUUCUGUUAGUCUACUAAUCUCUUCCUGAGUCGUCUCUUUCUCUCUUCUCGUCUUAGAUUCUUAUUCAAUCCAUUUUUCCAUUGUUCUUUCUUUUAUUUUAUUUUUUUGAACUUAUUAUAUAUUUAUGAGUUCUGGUUUGGAUAGAAAAAUGAUUAUUCGUGUGCCUAGUUGAUUAAUGAACUUGUUUGUGAUUUGGAAAAAACAAAAGACGGAAUGUAUUGAUUAUAUGAAAAUGUUAAAGAUCCCUAACUAGUGUUACUACCUUCUACUUUCAUAAAAUAGUUAGAGGAUAAAAUUCCUCAAUUUUCAAUAAGUCAAAAAUCAAUCAAUCCUUGUACAUCUAAAGAUAUCACGUUCAAUUCUUAUUUUACAUCUCACUAGCAGGACGAAAGGAAUUUUAACCAAACUAUAAUAACAAAAUGUAACUCUACCUUUACCAAUAGUUAUAUGACAAUGCGAAUGUCAAAUAAGAAAAGAUAAAUAAAAAUGAAGAAAGAUGUAUUUGUUCUAUUAACAUCUUUUAGAAAACAACUUUGAAAAUAAUUUAUUCAUGGGUUUCAUAGUAAUUAUAAAUGUAAUUUAGCAUUUAACAUAAUUAGUUAUUGUUUAAACUUAUAUUUAACUUACGUUAAAUACAUUACUAUAAUGUCGAAAAGUAAACCGCAGAUUAAAACCGAACCAAACCGCAAAUUAUGGUUUGGUUUGGUUUGGUUUGAUUUGAAAAAAUUUCAAACUGCAUAAAAUGGUUUGAGUUGAAAAUAUAGCACAAACCACUCAAAUCGAACCGCGAUCACCCCUACAUGUACAUAUAGUUCACUGACGGGCCUUGACCGUGCUCUAGAAUUGAUUAUGAGAGGUCUUUGAGAUCAUCUUUCGUUCAUGGAGGGAGUCAAACGCUCGUGGUAAAAGUUCUUAGACCGAGGGGCGGAUUACAUAUUUCAGCCAGAGGGUACAUUUUUAGUGAAUUUUUCAGUAUGCUUGAUGUGCUGAGAUUAUAGCGUGGUUAUCAGCUGAUAUUUAUAUCAUGAUUUUGAGAUGAUAUUUUACAAUGUUAUGUGAAUGUUUCACUUUUAGUUAUAAUUACAUAAUGUUAUCUUGUGAAUUAUUAAAUGAUAUGAACUCGAUUUUUGAUAGAAAUGUAAAAUUGAAUAAGUAUAAUUAUUUUUGAACUUCUUCAUUCACUGAACUAUCAACUCAUAUAUUUUCCCACAAUUUUUCCUAUAUGUAGCAAUUGAUUCUUUUUAACUGAAGAGCCUAAUGAUUUUGGAAUGAGAGCCACACAGUAUGUUGAAUAUUAUAACUCAUAUUGAUGAAACAUGAAGUAAAUAUUUUGGGCCCAUCGCAUUAUGUUUUACAUAAGUAUUUGAUUUUGUUGCAUUUUUUUUGAAAUAACUCAUAGUCAGCCUUGGUGAUAGAUUUGACAUCUAGUCAACAUUUAUCUUCGGUGCACGUCUCGUCUCGUCUCGGGUUCACUAAGGUGAUUCGGGACGUGUCGUGUCAGAGUGGUAUCUAAGCAUGGUUUUGAAAAUUUUUAUGAUUUAUGCAUGCUCAGUGGGUAUGAUCACAUGUCGUGGUGACAGAAAUCAUAAGCUCUCUAACUCAAAUGUAUGAAACCAAAAAUAAUAGAAAAAUAUUUUUUUAACUGAUUUAGAAACGACUCGUAUGUAAGUAUGGUAGUUGUAAUGAUCUAAUGGUUGGAAAUGAUAUUAGCUAUUGGGUUGAAACUAUGUGUGUAUGUAACCUAUUAAGAUUUGAACAUAUUGUGAUGAUUUUGUAGGGCAUUUGAAGUUACAGAUAUUACAACCACUUAAUUAUCAAUUUAUUUGUAGAGCUACAUGAUUAUUUUUAUGAGUACAUAGGAAAUUUUUUAGCUAUAGCUUGCACGAUAAAUACAAGGAAAUGAUAUGAUGUGUAAUCAGUGACAAUCAGUGGGGAAUUUUAAUUAUUCUUGAAGCCAAAUGGUUAUUAGUGUUAUCAAAUUUUGUGGUGAUUUAAGGCCACUUUAAUGGGAUGAUAAUAGAAAUCAUGAUGAUGUAUAUUUAUGCUAUAUGAUAAGGAAUUGUGGAAGACAAAAUGAUAAUUUGUUGAUUGAUAGAUAACAAUGUGUUAUUGUAUACUUUAAGCAUCAAGGAAAUUAACGGUAAUUUCAAUUAUUUAUGAGUAGUUUGAUUACAAGGAAUGUGAGAAUAAUAGAGAUGAACUUCACAAUGUUUACCUAUUAGGGGGUGAUUUGUUUAUUUAAAAAUAGAAUUAAUUGGAUAUGUGCAUUUAGGUAUGUUUAUGUGAAAAAAAAAUUGAAAUUGAGAAUGGUAGAAUUGAAGUUUGUUGAGAUUGGGAAAUUAACAUGCGAUAUAUUGAUAUGUGAAAUGUUCAAGUGAUAAAUAUGAAGGUUAUCAUCUUGUGAUAUUAAGGGAAAUUUAUAUAAUUAAAUGUUUUAGGUCAUACAAUAUGACGAUAAAUGCUAAGGUUACAAGAUCAUAACAUGAUAUGGUGAAUAGCAUGAAAAUGAAUGUAAUGGUUGUCCUAUAGCAAAGUAAUGUGAUGAUUUAUUUGGGUUAUUUAAGUUAACAAAUUUUGUUAAGGCCAUUUGUUGAUUAUUGUGUUACAUUUCAUACAAUUUGGAAGCGUUGAGUUAAAUUUUGAAGUUAAGAUGAAUUUAUUGAAAUGUUAGUAUGUAAAUUUUGGGCUAUUUUUAAUUGUAUUUUGGAUCAUGAACAAAGUAUUCAAUUUUUGUCAAAAUAAAUUUGUUAAGGAAUAUAAGUAGGACAUGUUAGCUAUGUCUAAAGUUUAAGAUGAUCAUCAAAUAUAGAUUUUACUCAUUGUGAACUAGUAUCUUUUGGUUACAUUAUCUUAAUUAAAGGUCUUUAUGUGAUAUACAAAAAAGAUUAUGCAUUGACGAUAGAUCAACGAUCUAUUUAUGAAAUAAGAGUAUAGAUUUUUAUGGAUCAAAUGUUAUUAUUGUCUCUUUAUAAAAAGAAAGAACAAAAUUUGUAUGUGUAUAGAAAUGUCAAAAGUUUUGCUAUCAGGAAAUAUUGAAAAAAUAUUUGCUCUUAUAUCUAAAGAUGAUAAGCGAUUGAUUCACGAUAAUGAUUUAUGUUAUGGUUUAGAAAUUGUUUUCUAAGUGGAAUGAUAAAAUAUGGAUUAUGUUGUAGAUUGAUAAAGAGAUAUGAUUAAAUCAUGAUAUAUGGUUGAUUAUAUUGGGAUUGACAUUUAGGAAUUGUGGCGUUAUCACAUGGUGGGAAGAUCAAUACUUACGGACCACAUGAGUUUAAGGAAUAUUUAUAUUUAAAAAGGAGCCGAACUUAAAGCUAUGUAUUUAUUAUCGUUAGGUGAUAAAAUGAAAAGUUAAAAAUAUCACAUAUUUAUAUUAGGAUGAUAUUUAAGGUAUCGGUUCAACAUGUAUUUCAUAUGUUCGGUGGUUAGUAAAUGGACGUCAGAUUUAACUAAUGCUAUAAGAUCAUCAGUGGAGUUGGUUGAAAAUCUUACAUAUGAAGAAAAAUCAAUUCGGAUCUUGGAUAGGAAAUGAAUAGAUUUUGUGCAGAAAGUCUAUUCCGCUAGUUAAAGUUUGUUUGGAAAAAAAAUAAUAAUAAAAAAUAGAGGCUUCAUGGGGCAAGUAUUCAAAUAUAUGCUCUAUAUCUUUGUGCUCGAAUCCUAAUUGAUUGAAUUUCGAGGACGAAAUUCUUUGAAGGGGGUAAGAUUGUUAUAACUCACUCACUCAUAGUCAAAGUCAAGAAAAUUAUUUAGUCAAAGUCCAAAAUUCAAUUGGUCAAAGUCAAUGUCAAAUAGGGAUUUAAAUGAAAUAAAUUAUUUUAUUGGGAUUUAAUUUAUUAUGAAAAAUAGUUAAAGGUUUAAAAUGGAUAAAACUUAAUUUUAGGGAUCUACUUAUAUAUUAUUAGAAGUAAAGGACUAGAUGUUAUAUUAAAUUGAAGAAUAAGGACUUUCCAUGCAAAAAUGGGUUGUGGAGUACAUGUGGCAAGUAAUUAACCCAUUACUAUUUUCAUAUGAUAUAUACAUACAGAGAGGUAAGGCUGGAGAUGGGCAGAAGCAAGAAAAACCGAGAAAGAGAGAAGGAAAAGAGAGAAGGAAAAGGGGGGAGAGAGAGAGAGAGAGAGCGAAGAAGAAGAAGAAGAAGAAGAAGAAGAAGAAGUGGGUCUUCAAGUUUGGAUUCUCCUUUUCUCCAUUGAUUUAGAGAGGUGGGUGUAAGUAGGAUGAGUUAUCUUUUUGAGUUUAUGAAAAUUUUCUAAAAUUUAAGGUUUAGCAAAAUUGAUGUUUGUUGAUAUAUGUUUGAGACAUUAAAAACAACAAUAAUAUUAGUGUUUAAAGGAAGGAAAUAUGAAAUGGGUUUGUAAAUUAGAGUUCCAAUCUUUGAAUUAUUGUGUUUACACUUGAUUUAUGAUGAAUUAGAGUGGAAAAAAAAAAAAUUAGGUUAGAUUUUGGUAUUUAUAAUAAAUUUUCGAGCAAAAUUCAUGUGCAGGUACUACUCAUGAAAUUCUGACCAAAAAAGUGCCAUUUCUGUCAAUGGUUUUGAUGCCAGAUUUUAAUAUGCAGAAAUUGGUGCCAGGUUUCAAUAUUUUGGGAUUUUAGUGCUGUUUUUGACAAAACUCUUAUUUUUCAGAUUUUUAAAGGCUUCAAUGAAGUUAUAUGACAAGUAUUGAGGUUUAUGUAUUGGAAUAAAUUAUGUAUAGGGCUUGUAUAUGUAUAAGUUAAUGAUUUUAAGGAAGUGUGGGUAAUUUAAUAGAUUUGAUAAUGCAUGGUGUUUAGUCGAUGAAUUAAUAAAGAGAAUAAAAGUUGGGGAUUGGAGAUGUAAGAGUAAAUAUAGAAGUUGAGGAGUUAAGUGGUGGAAUUGUAUUGAUUUAAUUGUUAAGUUUCAAUUUGAGUAAUUAUUAUUCCGUUAUUCAGGUAGUGACGUGAAAACUUGAAAAGACUCGUCAAUUUAGUCAGAUUUCUAUCCAUAAAUAUGUGAAAGGAAAAAAUAUAAAUAUUUUUAAAGUAUUUAUAAAUUAAGUAUAUUGUUAAAGUAUGUGCAAUUAUGUGCUCGAAUUAUAUGUUUAUUAUGAAAAUAUCUUUUAUUAUGAUAUAUGUGAGAUUUUAAAGAUUGUAUACGGUACAUUGUGAAUUGGAAUAUGAGACAUGAUUUUGAGAUCGACCAGAAAAGUACCCGUGAUUAUAUAUUUCUUCUAGUUCACUAAAAGGUCUUGGCCGUGUUCUAUACUACACUGAGGGGUCUUGAACCGAGGAUGAAGGGGUCUCGACCGUGUACAUAUAGUUCACUGAAGGGUCUUGGCCGUGUUCUAGAAUUGAUUAUGAGAUGUCUUUGAAACCAGCUUUCGUUCAUGGAGGGGGCCAAAGGUCCGUGGCGAAAGUUCUUAACCCGAGAGGCGGAUUACAUAUUUCAAUUAGAGGGUACAUUUUUGGUGGAUUUUUCAGUAUAUUUGAUGUGAUGAGAUUAUAGCGUGGUUAUCAGCUGAUAUUUAUAUCAUGAUUUUGAGAUGAUAUUUUACGACCUUAUGUGAAUAUUUCACUUUUGGUUAUAAUUACAUGAUGUUAUCUUGUGAAAUAUUAAAUGAUAUGAACUCGAUUUUCGAUAGAAAUGUAAAAUUGAAAAAGUAUAAUUAUUUUCGAACUUCUCCACUCACUGAACUAUCAACUCAUAUAUUUUUCCACGAUUUUUUCUACAGGUAGCAAUUGAUUCUUUUUAGCUGGAAGAGCCUAAUGAUUUCGGAAUGAGAGCCAUACGGCAUGUUGAAUAUUAUAACUCAUAUUGAUGAAACAUGAAGUAAAUAUUUUGAGUCCAUCGCAUUAUAUUUUACAUAAGUAUUUUAUUUUGUUGCAUUUUUUUGAAGUAACUCAUGUUAGCCUUGGUGAUAGAUUUGACAUCUAGUCAGCAUCUAUCAUUGGCGCACGUCUCAUCUCGGGUCCACUAGGGUGAUUCGGGACGGGACGGGUCGUGUCACUAAAGGACAGCAUUUAGAAAUGGAUCAUUGCAUGGAUCGUGAUAUCCCAUUUGCUGAAGAUUGGAUAAAAGUUAGAGAUAUUUGUAAACUUGUUCAAAAUGUAUAUGAUGUUGCUGAAGUUCUUUUCGAGACAAAACAUGAUAGUGCAGGCAUCUAUGUUCACAAAUUUCAAGAAUUACAAGCAAGUUUUAUAGAAGAAUCCAGAAAUUCAGAUAAAUUUGUUAGAAUCAUAGCUCGGAAGACACUAAAGAAGUUUGAGAAGUACUGGAAGAACAUGUUCCUUGUACUAACCGUUGUUACGGUUUUGAAGCCUCAAUAUAAAAUUAAGUAUAUUGAAUUUUCUUCCUUGAAGUAUGAUACUAGUUCUAGUAUAUCAGAAGUGACAACCAUUUCAAAGUCCAUUCACUCGCCUUAUGAUGAUUAUGUUACUAGCAAAACCAGAUAAGAAUAUACAUCAAAGAAAGAUGCAUACACCUAAAUGUUGGUUUUAAUUGUUGAGAUGAGUAUAACCAGUUUAUCCAAUCUAAUAGUCAAUCUCGAUCCCUAGGCAAGAGCUUGAAUGCUACUUGGAAGAACUUGUCGUGCCUUGGAGCAAAAAUUUCAGAGUGCCAUCACGGUGGCAAUCUGUGAGCCCCAAAUAUCCUACCAUGUCCAAAAUGGCUCGUGGAUCUCUGCACAUAAAAUGUUGAUAUUUCAUGUCCAAAAGAACAAAAGAUCCAAAGAUUAUUGAGCCAAUGGAUGAAGGAAAUGUUGAUAUUCCAUGUCCAAAAGAACAAAAGAUUCAAAAAUUAUUGAGCCAAUGGAUGGACGAAGAAUGGUUGGGGAAAAAUGAGGAGUAAUUUUGGGACGGAGAAUACAAUACUAUUAUUAUUAUUAUUAUUAUUAUUAUUAUUAUUAUUAUUAUUAUUAUUAUUAUUAUUAUUAUUAUUAUUAUUAUUAUCAUCAUCAUCAUCAUCAUCAUUAUUAUUUUCAUUUUUAGUUCUUUUUGGGGUUAAGACUAUAAUUGUAAAUUUGUUAUGGCAUUUUUAUUGGAAACAUGUUAUUAUUGUGGUGGUGUUAUAAUGUGUGUAGCAAGUAAAAUUUGUGGUGGCAAUAUAAUUACCCUAAUGUUAAUUGUUACUUUUGAUCCCAUCUUUUUAAUCUUUUUCAAACAAGCAUUUGCCUAAUUUUUUUAAUUAAUUAGACAAAUAGUCAAGUUGAAUAUGGUCUUUACUAUUAAAAAAAUGUAAAUAAACAAUAAUUAUUUUUCAUAAGACUAAAUUCUCCAACUCAUAAAAGGAAUGGCAAUACGACAGGUGAUUUUCCUUGUCUUUUGUCGCGUUGGAUAUUCUUGGGUAGAGGAUAGGAAAUUAGGAAUAGGGAAUUUGCUACUCUAUUUACUCAAUUUUCUAAUAUCAAAUUUCAAAUAUGAUUUAAGUUUAAAAACAUAAAUAUACAUAUAAAACUAAGAGUCUGAACAAGUAUGAAGUGAGUAAAAUGUUCUCAGUCCCUAUAUCGAUUUUCUAUUCGAUGGGACGUAACAAGACAUUUGCUGUCUUUGCCCAUAAAGAGCUUUUUAUAUUCUAAAAAAAAAAAGUCAUUUCCUCACUGUCAUUUAAAAGUAAAUAAGAUUAUUCAUAGUUGCUUACUAUUAGUAAUUGCUCUACGUGAAAGUUUGUUAUUUGAGACAUUAAUUUUUUAUAAUUUUAUUUCGUAAAACCAACCUUUCAUUCUUUAGCAGAGCUCUCUCUCUCCACCAUUUCAUUCAAUUUGAUAAUAAACUCAUCCUUGUCGAGGGUUAAAAUUAAAUUUUUAGUUUAAUUUUGAUAAAAAUUGAUGUUUAGAGCUCAUUUUCAUCUUAUUUAUGGACAAUUUUUAAACGUUGCACAGUACAAAACCUUUAUCGUGAGGGAUCUAUACCCUAGGCUGGCAGCUCUGUUUCUUUAUUUCUUAUUUCUGAUACCCAAUUGACAACGAUUAGUCAAAGUGAACCUGGAAAAGUGAAAAAACAAUGCAUGGCUUUUGUUUGGAGCAAUUCGCGUUCACAUUUCAAGAUAGGGGUAAAAUUGGAAGUUGGACAUAUAUAUGCAUAACACCAUUUGGACUAGCUUUCACAUGGUGGGCCACAUGAUGUGAUAGAAGAAUGCAUUUUUUCCACAAUAAAGGCGUCCAAACGUUAGCUUUCACAUGGUGGGCCACGUGAUGUGAUAGAAGAAUGCAUUUUUUCCACAAUAAUGACGCCCACACGUCAAUAAUGGCGCCCAAACGUCCAUUAUUGUAGAAAAAAAUGGAUUCUUCUAUCACAUCACAUGGUCCACCAUGUGAAAGCUAACGUUUGGGCGCCAUUAUUGUGGAAAAAAUGCAUUCUUCUAUCACAUCAUGUGGCCCACCAUGUGAAAGCUAGUCUAAAUGGUGUUAUGCAUAUAUAUGGUCAACUUCCAAGUUUAAAAAAAGGUGGAACCUCAACCUUGAGGGGCUUCACUGCCUCGCUCUUGGAGUAUCGUGAGGGAGGUAAAUUGCGGGAUGUGCCCCAACAGAUCAGGGAACAAGAACUUGUCCGUACACUGGUGCUUACAAAGAAUCCAAUUCCACAUCUUAGGAAUCGACCCCUUUGCGGCUGCCAACAAAAUUGAGAUUACCUCACUCCUGUCCUUUGCACCACUGGGUUAUGCCCCGGGGGCGUCAACUUCCAAGUUUACCCCUAUCUUGAAAUGUGAACACGUAUUGUUCCAAACAAAAGCUAUGCAUUUUUUACUUUUCCAAUGAACCAAGUUUCCAUUAUUGAGGAUAGAGUGUUGUAAAGCUCAUAUAAAGCAAAUGUCGAUAAGAGGGAAUUAAAAUUUUAGAGGGUAUUUGGUGGGGAUAAAAAUUAGAUUUUUUAGUAGAUUGUGAUAGAAGUUGUUAAANNNNNNNNNNNNNNNNNNNNNNNNNNNNNNNNNNNNNNNNNNNNNNNNNNNNNNNNNNNNNNNNNNNNNNNNNNNNNNNNNNNNNNNNNNNNNNNNNNNNNNNNNNNNNNNNNNNNNNNNNNNNNNNNNNNNNNNNNNNNNNNNNNNNNNNNNNNNNNNNNNNNNNNNNNNNNNNNNNNNNNNNNNNNNNNNNNNNNNNNNNNNNNNNNNNNNNNNNNNNNNNNNNNNNNNNNNNNNNNNNNNNNNNNNNNNNNNNNNNNNNNNNNNNNNNNNNNNNNNNNNNNNNNNNNNNNNNNNNNNNNNNNNNNNNNNNNNNNNNNNNNNNNNNNNNNNNNNNNNNNNNNNNNNNNNNNNNNNNNNNNNNNNNNNNNNNNNNNNNNNNNNNNNNNNNNNNNNNNNNNNNNNNNNNNNNNNNNNNNNNNNNNNNNNNNNNNNNNNNNNNNNNNNNNNNNNNNNNNNNNNNNNNNNNNNNNNNNNNNNNNNNNNNNNNNNNNNNNNNNNNNNNNNNNNNNNNAGGUAAAUUGCGGGAUGUGCCCCAACAGAUCAGGGAACAAGAACUUGUCCGUACACUGGUGCUUACAAAGAAUCCAAUUCCACAUCUUAGGAAUCGACCCCUUUGCGGCUGCCAACAAAAUUGAGAUUACCUCACUCCUGUCCUUUGCACCACUGGGUUAUGCCCCGGGGGCGUCAACUUCCAAGUUUACCCCUAUCUUGAAAUGUGAACACGUAUUGUUCCAAACAAAAGCUAUGCAUUUUUUACUUUUCCAAUGAACCAAGUUUCCAUUAUUGAGGAUAGAGUGUUGUAAAGCUCAUAUAAAGCAAAUGUCGAUAAGAGGGAAUUAAAAUUUUAGAGGGUAUUUGGUGGGGAUAAAAAUUAGAUUUUUUAGUAGAUUGUGAUAGAAGUUGUUAAAUGUGUAGUUGAAAAAUUGUGGAACCUAUAAAAGAUGUGGUUAGUGUUGAUUGUUUGACUUUAACUUAGAUUAAAAUCAGAUUUUAAUCCAAAUCAAAUAGUCUGUUAAAUCCUUGUCAAAGUCAAAGUCAAUAAUUCAUUUAAAUCACGUAUUUUAAGACAUUCAUAAGUUUUUAAUCAUAUACUGCAUCAAAUUUUAUCAAAAUUUACUAAAAAUUUAAUUUUAACUUGUAACAUCACAUUUCUCUUUUCCUAAUUUUUGCGAAUAUGAUAUUCCCUAAUGAUAUAUUUAAUGCUUAUUAUUAAUUUAUUGUCAAUGUGACUACUAAUAUGUUGUAGUGGAUUAUACCUUGAACGUCCUAGGUGAUUGACAUGCCAAUUAAAGCUAAUUAUAUGAAAAUCAAAUGAAAAUCUAGAAAAGGGAAGGAAAUGUAAAUAGAUGAAGAAAGAGGACUAGUAAUUAUUGAGGAGAGUGUGCUGUACAGCUCAUAUAAAGCAAAUGUCAGUAAUGGGGAAUUAAAAUUUAAAUAUUUACCAAAGUUGGAGUCAAUAAUUGAUUUAAAUCAAGUACUUUAUGAUAUUCAUAACUUUUCAAAUAUGUUAUUGAGUUGUGAAUAUCACAGAAGAAUGCAUUUUUGGAAAAAGUUUUGUCUGAUUUGAUGAGCUUUUUUGAAGGAAAAUGAUAACUUUUUUACAAGGAGUAGAAGUCUUGUCAAAGCGGCGUUAAGUAUAAGAUCUAAUAAUUAAGUUGAGUGAGGAUUAGUUUGUUCUACUCAAAUGUGCUUUUUACAAUAAAAAAUGAACCAAAGUAGAUCAAGAUAAAUUGAUCUAUAAACAGCUUCUCUAACCUUAAAAAAAUCGAGUCAUUUUUACAUUGACAUUCAGUGCUUGUUUGGGAAAGUUAAACAGUUGAUUUUGUUAAAAGAAGUGGAAGAUCUUUUGGAAUUAGUGGUGGAAAAGCGAGUAAUACUAGUGGAUUUUAUGUAAUGUAAGAUUAAUAUAAAGGGUGGUUAUAUUAUCACCACAAUAAGUGUUUGGUACCCUAUAAUUUUCUUAUUUAUUUUAAAAAAUUACUAGUAAAAUGACAUAAGUACCCUAUCUUUUAUUCACUAAUAUAUUUAUUCAUACGAUCACUACCAUCCGUACACAAAAAAUACAUAACUCCUACUUAAAGAUACAAAUGCCAAGAUCAAAAGAUCCAAGAUUCACUAAUAUAUUUAUUCAUAUGACCACUACCAUCCGUACACAAAAAAUACAUAACUCCUACUUAAAUAUACAAAUGCCAAGAUCAAAAGAUCCAAGAUUGAAGAAAAGAACAAGAAAUUUUAGGAUAUGGUAUAGGCAUUUUGGAAUAUUGAAUGUAUUAUUUUAAAAGUUCGCUAUAUUCUUCUUGGAAACUCGUCGUUAUUGUGGAAUAUGCCAUUAUACAACCUGCAAAAGGUAUUGGAUUUGGAGGCUAAAGGACAGUAUUUAGAAAUGGAUCAAUGCAAGGAUCGCGAUAUCCCAUUUGCUGAAGACUGGAAAAAAGUAAGAGAUAUUUGUAAACUUGUCCAAAAUGUAUAUGAUGUUGCUGAUGUUCUUUUCGAGACAAAACAUGCUAGUGCGGGCAUCUAUGUUCAUAAAUUUCAAGAAUUACAAGCAAGUUUGAUAGAAGAAUCUAGAAAUUCUGAUAAAUUUGUUAGAAUCAUAGCUCAGAGGAUGCUAAAGAAGUUUGAGAAGUACUGGAAGAACAUGUUCCUUGUACUAACCGUUGUUACUGUUUUGGAUCCGCAAUAUAAAAUGAAGUAUAUUGAAUUUUCUUCCUUGAAGUAUGAUACUAGUUAUAGUAUCUCGGAAGUGACAGCCAUUUCAAAGUCCAUUUACUAGCCUUAUGAUGAUUAUGUUACUAGCAAAACUAGAGAAGAAUAUUCUAUGAGUGAUUCGAAUUCUGAGUUUGAAGAAGAGAUUCCUACAAACAUCAAAGAAAGAUGCCUACUCCCAAACUUUGCUUUUAAUUGCUUAGAUGAGUAUAAACAGUUUAUCCAAUCUGAUAGUCGAUCUCGACCAUUAGGUAAAAGCUUGAAUGCUACUUGGAAGAACCUGUCGUGCCUUGGAGCAAAAAUUUCAGCGUGCUAUCUUGAUGGCAAUAUGUGAGCCCCAAAUAUCCUACCUUGUCCAAAAUGGCUCGUGGAUCUUUGCACAUAAAAUGUUGAUAUUUCAUGUCCAAAAAAUAAUUGAGCCAAUGGAUGAAGGAAAUUGAUGAGGAAGAAUGGAUGGGGGAAAAUGAGGAGUAAUUUUGGGAAGGAGAGUACAUUGUUAUUAUUAUUAUUAUUUUUUUUUUUUUCAUUUUCAGUUUUUAUUGGGUUAAGGCUAUAAUUAUAAAUUUGUUAUGGUAUUUUUAUUAGAAACAUGUUGUUUUAAUGUGUGUAGCAAGUAAAAUUUGUGGUGGCAAUAGAAUUGCCUUAGCAUUAAUUGUUACUUUUGAUCCCGACUUUUUAAUCUUUUUCAAACAAGCAUUUGCUCAAUUUUUUGAAUAACUAGACAAAUAGUCAAGUUGAACAUGGUCUUUACAAUUGAAAAAAUGUAAAUAAAUAAUAAUUUUUUUUCAUAAGAUUAAAUUCUCCAACUCAUAAAAGGAAUGGCAAUACGACAGGUAGUUUUCCUUGUCUUUUAUGGCGUUGGAUUUUCUUGGGUGGAGGGUAGGAAAUUAGGAAUAGGGAAUUCAUUACUCUAUUUGCUCAAUUUUCUAAUAUCAUUUUGAAAAACAAUUUAAGUUUAAAAACAUAUAUGUACAUGUAAAAAUAAGAGUCUGAACGAGUAUGAAGUAACUUGUUCUUCCUAUAUUGAUUUUCUAUUCAGUGGGAUGGAACAAGACAUUUGCUGUCUUCGCCUAUAAAGAGCUUUAUAUUCUUAAAAAAGGUCAUUUUCACAUUGACAAUUAAAAGUGAAUAAUACUAUUCAUAGUUGUUCACUAUCAAUUAUUUCUCUAUAAUUUUAUUUCUUAAAACUAACCGUUCAUUCUUUAGCAGAGUUUUGUGUUUCUCCACCAUUUCAUUCAAUUUGACAAUAAGCUCAUACUUGGAGGGGUUAAAAUUAAAUUUUUAGUAAAUUUUGGUAAAUAUUGUUGUUUAGAGCUCAUUUCAUCUUAUUUAUAGACAAUUUUGACCACUGCACAAUACAAAACUCUUUCUUUAUUCUGAUUUAUGACACUGAAUUGAAAUAAUCUAUCAAAGCCCUUGUUUAGGAGAGCUUUCGUUUUCAAUUGUAGCCAGUGACCAUUAUACAUAUAUGUUAAAUAAGGCAAGUUGAGUGGGAGCCCUCAAGGUUGGAGUUCAACCUUUCAAAUAAGGCAAAUUGCAAUUUUUGACUAUUUUAAGACAGAAUGAUCCCUUAACAUUUCAUUCAUUCUUCAUGAGACAAGGACAUUUUUGGUAUUUAAUUUUGAGACAGUAAAAAAUUGCAACCAAAAUGAGACCCAUGUUCAACUGUGUAAGGGAGAAAAAUUGCUAAAAAUGGAAAAAAAGCUCUCCCAGACAAGAGCAAAGUGAACUUCGAAAAGUAAAAAUACAUUUUUUGUUUGUAACAAUACUUGUUCACGUUUCAAUAUAGGGGUAAAAUUGGAAGUUGCCCAUAUAUAUUUAUAACACCAUUUGGAGUUUGGACUAGCUUUCACAUGGCGGGCAAUGUGAUAUGAUAGAAGAAUGCAAUUUUCCACAAUAAUGGCGCCCAAACGAUGACCUGCUAAUGUUAUUGAAUGAUUUAAUUGAAUUAUUAACUUUUACUUUCAUAAAAAUAUAAUUGCUACAUUUGCUUUAUAUGAGCUGUACAACACACACCAAGAAUUACUAGUUUUCUUUCUUCAUCCGUUAACAUUUCCUCCUCUUUUCUGGGUUUUCAUUCGAUUGUCAGAGCUGCAACAUCCAUUUCCAUGACUUCAAAGCUAUAUGCUAAUCAGAAUUUUCUGUUUUUGCUUUAGUGGUAGCGUCUAUUAUUCUUCAAACAAGCAUUUGCUCAAUUUUUUGAAUAACUAGACAAAUAGUCAAGAUGAACAUGGUCUUUACAAUUGAAAAAAUGUAAAUAAAUAAUAAUUAUUUUUUAUAAGAUUAAAUUCUCCAACUCAUAAAAGGAUGGCAAUAUGGCAGGCGGUUUUCCUUGUCUUUUGUCGCGUUGGAUUUUUUUGGGUAGAGGGUAGGAAAUUAGGAAUAGGUACUUUUACCCAAUUUUCUAAUAUCAUUUUUUUAAAAAUACAAUUUAAGUUUAAAAACAUAUAUGUACACGUUAAAUUAGGAGUCUAAACGAGUAUCAAGUAACUUGUUCUCAAUUCCCAUAUCGAUUUUCUAUUCGAUGGAUGGAACAAGACAUUUGCUGUUUUUGCCCAAAAAGAGCUUUAUAUUUUAAAAAAGUUCAUUUCCACAUUGACAUUUAAAAAUAAAUAAUAUUAUUCACUCACUGUCAAUUAAUUUUCUAUAAUUUUAUUUCUUAAAACCAACCGUUCAUUCUUUAGCGGUGUUUUGUCUCUGUCCACCAUUUUUCCCACUUCCACAUGGUGGGCCAUGUGAUAUGAUAGAAGAAUGAAAUUGUUCCACAAUAAUGGCGCCCAUACGACGACACGCUAUGUUAUUGAAUGAUUUAAUUGAAUUUUAAUUGCGACAUUUGCUUACAACACUCAAAAUUACUAGUCUUCUUUCUUCAUCCGUUUACAUUUCCUCCUCUUUUGUGGGUUUUCAAAGCUAUAACAUCCAUUUCCAUGGCUUCAAAGCUACAAGCUAAUCAGAAUUUUCUGUUUUUGCGUCAGUGGUAGCGUCCAUUAUGCUUUAAACAAAAGUUUAGGGGGUAGACAACUCACAUACACUAUCUUUCUCUUUCCCUGCAAUUCGACCAUCCUUUCCUUUCCUUUCCUUGCAAUGGAUAUCUCACUCACUAAUUCGUUUACUAGUCCUGCAGAUCUCUUUCUAAUUGUGAGCGAUCAUAUAUUAUAUAUCUCCUCCAAACAUCAUCCUAUAAUUGAUACGUUACUUGGUUUUAUACCUUUACAAACGCACGGUUUCUUUGAUGAAUUUCACAGAAACAUUUUCUAUGAAUCAGUGUUAGCUGGACUUGAUCAAGAGCUUAAGGUGUUCUUUACAGUCCCUGACCAGCAAAUCUUGUCCAAGUUAACUCCUACUCUCAAUUCUAAUGAAGUUGUUGCGGCGUUCAUCAACUUUCUCCUCCUGAUGGUAGAAGUCAUUCUACAUUUUGAGGAAGAUUCGAUUGCUCGUGUAAAGGGUUCGUUCCAAAAUCUCCGGACAGAGCUUGGAUUUCUUAUCACUUUUCUUGGGGAUACAGCAAUGCAUUUGCAGCCCACCGAGACUAUAGUGAUAGAUAUUGAAGAUGUGGUCAAUGAGGUAGGAUGUUUCUUGUAUUCCUUCCUUUGGGCCAUUGUUAUGUUCAUUCUAAUCUGUAAAGAGAAAGAAUUAUAUACUAGAAUGUACGGUUGGAAAGUUGGGGUUAAUGAGGUAGGAAGUCUCCGUCUUUCUGACUUUAUCCACUUUCUUGAGGAUCAACCAUUGCUAAACACUAUGUUGAAAGCAACGAAAGAUAUUAAAGCUUCGCUCCAUAAGAUAGGAAGUUUAUUAGAUUCCUUCAUUUCCAAGAAGAAUGAUCAAGCUAUGGAGCCAGGAAACUUAAAUCUUGCUCUUUCUGAUUUGUUAGCAAAGUUUGAGACCUUGAAAACAAAGAUCAAGGAGCACUGCAUCAGAGUCUCAAAGAUCCCAAGUGAUAUGGCUCCUAAGACUGGUGUGGUUUCACUCUUCAUUGUUGAUUCCGUCCUCGAUGAUCUCAUGGAUCUAAUAAAUAACAAGUCUGACUCGACUGGUGUUGUGAAUGAUCAAAUUGUAAUGCUUCAGACGCUUCAGAAGGAGCUAAUGUUAUUGGGAUCAUCCAUCACAGAUAUAGCAUUGCAGCAGGAAGCAGAACAUGAAGAACUUGUGAUACGGAGCAGAGACAUAGCAUAUGAAGUUGAAUAUGUUAUCAAAUCAUUUCGUCAAGCUUGGUAUCUUUCUCUCCGGCUCCCUCAACUCAUUGACAAGAUUCAGCUUAUUACGAUGGCUAUCGAAAAAAUGAAGAACAAUGUUGAUAUAUCUAGAAUGUCAAUUUUUUCGAAACAUCCACAUGAACAUGUAGAUCCACAGUCAGAAGAAUCUCCCAUUUUGGAAGACUUUGUUGUGGGAUUUGACAAUGUAACAAUUGAAAUUGUAGAACAACUUGCUCGAGGAAUAGAAAAGCUACAAAUUAUUUCCAUAUUUGGGAUGCCUGGACUUGGUAAGACGACCUUGGCAAAUAAAUUAUAUAAUCAUCGCUACGUUUUAUACCAUUUUCACAAUCGUGCCUGGUGUGCUGUUUCUCAAAUAUAUAAUAAGAAAAAUGUGUUGAUUGAAAUUUUGAGCUCAAUGAGUAACAAUAAGAGGGAUACAUACAUGAAAAAGGAGGAAAACAGCUUGGUCGACGAUCUUUACAAAAACUUAAAAGGAAGGCGAUACCUCAUUGUGAUAGAUGAUAUAUGGGAUAUCAAUGUGUGGAAUGAUUUAAAAAGAUGUUUUCCAGAUGACGGAGUUGGAAGCAGAAUCUUAUUCACUACUCGAAAUAAAGAAGUGGGUUUGAAAGCUUUACCUCAUAAUUUCACAAAGGAACUUCCUUUUUUGUCGGAAGUUGAAUGUUGGGACAUAUUACAAGGGAAAGUGUUCCAAGAUAAAAAAUGUCCUCAAGAAUUGCUAGACAUUGGCAAGCAAAUUGCAAAAAAUUGUCAUGGCCUACCACUCGCAGUGGUUGUGAUAGCUGGAGUUCUUGCAAACAUGGAGAAGAAAAAACACUUGUGGGAAAAAGUUGCCAGAAAUUUAGGUUCUCAUAUAUCUGAAAUACCAGAGAAGUGCAUCCAAAUAUUGCAGCUUAGCUACGACCAUUUACCAAUGCAUUUGAAAACGUGUUUUCUUUACUUUGGAGCAUUCAAAGGAGACAUGAAGAUCCCUGUACGGAAGUUGAUAUCUCUUUGGGUUGCCGAAGGAUUUAUAAAGAAGGAAGAACAGAAGAACAUAGAGGACGUGGCACGAGAAUAUUUAAUGAAAUUGAUUGAUAGGAGUCUAGUACUUGUUGCUGAAAAAAGAUAUGAUGGAGGAGUCAAAACAUGCAAGAUUCAUGAUCUAUUGCGUGAAAUGUGCUUGAAAAUAGCUGAAGAAAAUAACUUUUUGAAGUUUAUCAAACAGUAAGUUCAAUGUCUCUUCUUUUUCCUUUCCUUUCCUUUCCAUCCAUUUUUUAUUUUAGCUUACUUAGAAGGUUAUUAUAUUUGAUAAUCGUAACAAUGAUGUGAUUAUGUUGUUUUUGUUGCCAGUAAUGAUGAUGAUGAAGAUAAACAACGGUUCUUCAGUCAAGUAUCAACGUAUCAGCAGCACCAUUGCCUGAGUAUCAACUGUACGAUACCUCCGAGUUCACUACCUUUUGGCCUACACGUACGCUCUCUUCUAUAUGAUAUUCAUUUUGUGGGAUCGAGCACACCAAGACCGACCACAUCAAUCUCAUGCAGCCACAAACUUCUUAGGGUCUUUGAUUUUAGCAGCAGGUCACUACCCUGGGGUCUAAUAAUAGGAUUGGAACACCUGGUUCUAAUAAUAGGAUUGGAACAUCUAGUUCACUUGAGGUACUUGGCACUUUCAUGUACACGGCCACCAUUAAAUUUGGAAAGGUUCCACAAACUAGAAUUUCUUGUUGUGGACAAUGAUGUUGAAGUUGAAAUACCUGAGAUCCUCCUUAAUACAGUGAGUUUGAGACACAUGGAGUUCAAGGGCGGUGCACGCUUCAGUGAAUCUAGUUGUCAGCUGGCAACUAACAGUAAGAACUUCCAAAUAAAUAACCUACGAAGUAUUUCUAGACUCUCAAUUUACGUUGAAUUGGAUGAGAAAGUUUUGGGACGUUCGCCCAAUCUUCGUAGACUGAAAGGCAGGGUGGAUAAAGAUUUACUAAAUCCUUCUUUCGACUUCCUUAAUCAGCUCGAAUCACUAAAGCUAUAUGAAAUAUUUCAUUGUUCUUUUAGUUUGCCCUUAAAUUUGAAAAAAUUGACACUAGAUCAUGCAAAGGUGUCUCGAAAACAAAUGGAGAUAAUUGGAAGGUUGCCUUGCCUUGAGGUUCUCAAAUUAGAAUCGGUUGCCUUUGAGGAAGAACAAUGGAACACAAGUGAGGGUGAAUUCCCACAACUCAAAUACUUGAAACUUGCAAAUGUAAACAUUGCAGAAUGGAAUGCCUCAAGUGAUCAUUUCCCGGUACUUCAACGAAUAGUAUUGAAAUCUUGCGGGAAUCUAAAGAAGAUCCCUUUCAGUUUAAAUGAUAUUCCAACGUUACAGGAGAUUUGGUUAUAUGGAUGUCCACCAACUACCAACGAAUCAGCUAAGGAAAUUAAGGAAGAACAAAAAGCGAUGGGCAAUGAAGAGCUUGAAGUCAUGAUCUCUGAAAAACAAUUGGAGGAAAAUGAAUACAACGAACUUCUGAAGGUAAUAAUGAGAGAGAUUCUCUUCUUUAAAUCUCUUUCACGUUCUCAUCUUGGUCCUAGGUAUUUUGUAUUAUGCUAAAAUGAAACAUCAAAAAUAAAUUCUACUGUAAUUUUGGCUUGUAUUGGAAUUAAGCCCCUCUUUGGUUUGGGUUAAAAUAAGAUUUUUAAUAGAUUUUCAUAAAGGUCAAUGAAAAGUGUGAUUGAAAAAUUAAUAAAAUUUAUGAAUUUCAUAAAAUAUGUGGUUGAAAAUGAGCUAGGGGAAAAAAUUAGUUUUAAAAAUUUGGGACCAAAUAGGGGGCUCUAUUUUAUGAGCUUCUUGAUGUUAUUCUAGGAAUAAUGAUAAGUGCGUUUUUAUGCACUUAUGUUUGAAUUGUGGCUUAAAUUUGUUUGAUUCUUGAAUUGCAGGGUAAAUUGAUGGACACGGUGGAACUCAUGAGAAAAAUGAAGCGACAAGAACCAAAAGGAAUCAAAGUGCCAAAACGAAUCAAAGUGAAAGUUCAAGGACCAAAGCGCAAAUAUCCAAAAGAUGAACCGAAGGAGCAAGAAAAGAUUUGAUAGAGCCAAGUACCAAUUGGAGGUUAAUAUUGGUAACCUCUGUCAUGGUGAAUUCAAUUUUAUUACUGUACACUCAUGGUGAUUUAAAUCAAAAGAAAAUAUUUCGUGAACAAAUUACUAAUCCAUAAGGUUCUAUGUUUGGACAUUGAUCUCUAUUAUUUCUGCCUUUCACAUUUUUUACCAUAAAAUCGUUUUUACAUAAAAUCCCAAAGGUCACAAUUUCACUUCUAGUUAGAUUUUGUCCUUGGAAUAAUUUGAUUGUUUAGGCCCAAUUCCUUUGUUAAUUGCAUGGAGGUCCUUUAACUUCCGAACUUCCGAACUUGUUAUCUUGGUCCUUGAUUCCAGAUUCUGUCCAAUGUCCAUCCUUCUUGAUCAAAUAUCGUCCCCUUUUAUUGUUUCCUGUUCAAUAUUGUUUUUUCUUCUAAAAUAAUUAACAUAUACACAAAAUUAAGUAUCUGGCUCAUAAAAGUAUUUCCAAACACCCACUUUUGAUGGCUUAUAUAAGUGUAAAAUCAUACUUAUCAACUGUCAUAGAUAUACAACUUCAAGAGCCGAAUGAUCUUUUUUUGAGGUAAAUAGUGAUUUACUCAUUUGUAUUGCAUAUUUGUGUCCGCACAAUUCACUAAAGGACAAGUGAAUUCAAUUGUGUGAGUAAUAUGCCCAAGAUUUUAAAUCAGUAGAAACCUUGGCAUUGAUGAGCAAAUUUAUAUAUAUAUAUAUAUAUAUAUAUAUAUAUAUAUUAUUGAUAUGCACACUCAUGAGAUUUUAAUAGGGCUAGGAUAGGAGACCUUAAUGAUAUUGCAUAAAAGUUGUUUCUAACGUGAAAAGGUGUAGCAAUUACUUUACAGGCUUGUAACAUUGGUGUUAGUUAUUUCAGGCUUUAGAGAUGAUAAUUCUCGGCGAUGAAGUUUGUGAAGAAUCGAUUGCGUAAUUAGAAAGGAGAUCAAUGGUUGAAUGACACUUUGGUGGCGUAUAUUAGAACGAUGUAUUUGACGAUAUCGACAACGAUGUAAUUAUACGAUAUUUUCAAAAUAUGUAAGCGUGUAGGCUAUAAUUGUAGUAAAAUAUUGACUUAUUUUCAUCAAUACAUUGUUUUAAAAAAGUGUAUCUUAAUUUUCAAUCAUACAAUGAAAAAUGUCUGGCUUUGGAAUGAUAUUAGGCUUGAUAAAAUCAAUUAUCUUCGGUGGCAAAACCAAUUUCUGAAUGUCAUCAUGGCUAAUGGAUUAGUAGGUUUUAUAGAUGUUACAUUUACUUUUCCAUCCAAGUUUGUUGUACAACUGCUCAUUCGGUCGAAAUUUUUAUUUUUUCGAUAUUAUGACUUCAAGCUUUUCAUUUCCCAUCGCAUGUUGUUCUUCCUGAAUUUGCUUAUCAGAUUCUUAAAUUGCUUGCUCAGACCCUCUGCCACAGAACUUUCCUUAUCAUGAAUUUGUUCGUAAGAUUGUAGGUUAAGGAUUUCCUUCAAAUAAAAUAGAAGAAGAAAAAUGAUAGAUUUUCAUGUAUAUCAAAUUGAAACAGCAAUCUCUACAUAUAGAUGUUAGUACGCCUUUCCAAAGCGUUACAUUUGUCAAAUCUAUUCAUGAUUACAAUUAUAUAUUCAGCAAUACUGAAUGAAAAUAUUCAAGCUUCCCUUCUUAAUUUCUGUACAACUUUUUUAAUUUGCUAUAUGCAUAUUUCCAGAAGCAGCUAAGUUGAUAUGAAACAAAUAAAAUUUUAUUAUUCAAAAAUCAAAAAAACAGAAGAACUACAAAGUUAGCAGUCAUUUUCAAGAUUAUCUUCCACUCUAUCCAUCCCCAAAGUUCAAAACAGGAGGGGGUGUUUCUCCUCUUUCAGUAUUAUUAUGUAAUUGACUCUUCAUGUAAAGAGUUGAUUGAACUGAUUGACUCAAACAAAAAAUAUACAUGGAGGCACCAACAACAAAUGACGACGUAAUUAUAGUUGAUGACGCAAAAUAAGGAUAAUUUCAUUGAAAUAAAUGACGAGCAUCAUUUUUUACUGCCAUGUCAUCGAUAUCCAAGUGACAAAACUAGACUAAGAUCAUGUAAGCAUCUGAAUUCUUGAACACACCAUUCUUUGAAAAGAUUUUCGAGAUGUCAAAUUUGAAUAAAGUUCCUUUGUAUUCAUCAAAAUAACUACAGGCUCUAUCACAUUUGUCGACCUUUAGUUCAUUUUCAAAAAGCCCGUGUUGCAAGAUUGAAGUACUCCUGACCUCCUACCUCCUAGCUAGACAGAGGAUCAGGAUUCGUCUUCAUCUUCAUCUUUGCCCUCGUCUUCCACUUCAUCUUCAUCUUCAUCUUCAUCUUCAGAAUCUACGUAAUCGACCUUUGCAAUAGGAGAUGCAAGCCAAAACUUGUUCAACUGUUUCAGAAUCUAAAGUCCUUUGUCAGCGUUAGCGUUGGCCAUUGACCAGAUCACCAUUCUCUUCAGCUUAGACGAUUUUUCUAGUAAAAGCUUAGUCACUGCCAUCUCAGCAACUGUGCCUGAAAUAAAAUGCAGCUUCACUUUUUGAAGUUGAGUUAAAGUUACAUCUGAGUAGCCUUGCACUUACAGAAAAUCUAGAAUAGGACUACAGAAAAUCUAGAAUAGGACUAGCAUCAGCAUUUGCACUCUCACAAAUCUAGACAAUAAGGCAAGAUAUCACCGAGCUUAAACUUUUGUUUUAAAAUAGAGAAUUGAAGAUGUAAGUCGUAAUGGUCAUAUCCAUCACUUACCUUGAAUCUCAGUUCCUCAAGGUCGGGGGAGCUUCUGAUCAAGCACAGAACACAAGAGAGUUCAUCCAAUAAAUUAGAACAUAUAUAAAAUAACUUCAGAACUUUAAGGUGCAUUAAAGUAGCUGAUAGCCUUUCUUGGGCUUGACCUGCAGCCAAAAUCUUCAAAGCGGUGGUGAAAGCAUGAUCUAAUAUAGUUUAGUCGACGAUUUCAAGGGAUUAUAUUUAUAAUAAAAAAUACCUUAAUGAAAGUAUAGCUCAAGUACACUUUCUGAAGGCCAGGCAGAGAAUCAAAAAACUGAAUGAAGUUACAUUGCCCAUCUUCCAAAAUAUUGUCAACUACCCAAUCAUUAUGUAAAGCAACCAAAAUCAUUGCAAGAUGUGGGGAUUUCUUAAAAUAAAACGAUGAUAUAGGGAAACAUGUCAAUUCAAAGUGUUUUAGCAUAGAGUAUCUAUUUCUACGUAGUCAAAUUUGUUUGAAACAUUCAGCAAUAGUUUCCCCAGUACCGGGCAGCUUGAUAUCAAACUUCCUAAAUUCCUAAUACAUCAGCAUCAAUGGUCACGUCAAACAAUUCCAGCCUAAUUGGUCUAUUAAAUCCUUCAAAGCUUGGUGGUGGAGGAUUGAUCAACCAAGACAACGGCUUCAAAUGUUUCAACUGUAUACACAUAAAUGGUGAAGAAGGCGAUGUGUACUGUUCUCCACUCUUUAUUUUAAAGGUGAAUUCUUCAACACUGUUCUUCCAUAAGAUAUGUAUCAAGUAGUCAAUUUCUGAACAAUUUUUAAGUUUCGGAAUAACGAGGCUCAAUUUAGUUAUGGGUCCUGGAUGAAGCAAAAGAUCCUUGUAAAAGAUCAACAAGAACUUCAUUCUAGCUGAUUCUAGGUUUCCCUUAUUAAGGGAUAAAAAUCCAACAUCGAUUAAAUAUCGAAAUAUUGACCAACUUAAAAAAGAUCUUGGGCUACUCCUCUUAAUCAGAUUGACCUUUUAAGAUGGAACCUCAAAUUUUAACAUGGUAUCAACUCAUUAAACUCCAACGAGCAACUCAAUCCCGAUACGACUCUAAAAAUGAGCACACAGAUUUCAAGAUUGGUUUAUUCAAACGAGCCAACAUCUUGUGGGGGCAUGUUAAGGGAUAAAAAUUUCACAUCGACUAAAUACUGAAAUAUUGACCAAUUUAUAAAAAUCUUGUGCUACUCCUCUUAAUAAGAUUGACCUUUUAAGAUGGAACUCUAAAUCUUCACAUGAUAUCAGAGCUCAUUAAGUUUCAACGAGCAAUUCGAUCCAAUUAAAACUCUAAAAAUGAGCACACGAAUUUCAAGAUUGGUCUGCUCAAACGAGCCACCAUUUUGCGGAAACAUAUUAUUAAGGGAUAAAAAUCCAACAUCGAUUAAAUACCAAAAUAUUGACCAACUUAAAAAAGAUUCUGUGCUACUCCUCUUAAUAAGGCGGACCUUUUAAGAUAGAACCCCAAGUUUUAACAUCCCUUAUAUUCUUGCCAUAGGGUCUCAUGAAAUCUGACGCAUAUUUGUGUGGGUCUUGUAAUUGAAUUUCGUCGAGUCCUAAUGCACUUUAACUUGUUGAAGACUUAAAGGUUGAAUCCCAACCUUGAGGGCCUCCAUCGCUCCGCCCCUGAAGCAUCAUGAGGGAGGUAAAUUGUGGGAUGUGCCCCAACAGGACAGGGAACAAGAGCUUGCCCGUACACUGGUGCCCACAAAGUGUUCAAUUCCAUAUCUUAGGAAUCGAACCCUCACAUUGCGACUGCCAGCAAGACCAAGACUAUCUCACUCCUGUCCUUUGCACCACUGGGUUAUGCCCCGGAGGCUAACUUGUUGAAGACUUUCCUAGUGAUGUAGUGGUUUCACGCUUUAAAGUAGGUUUAAUUUUUCUCAAAAGAGAGAUCAUCAAGUAAAUUUGAGAAAUUCGACUUUCAACACAAGUACAACUUUGUUAAAGUGUUAUAAGUUAAUAUUAAAAAAAUGUUUGAAUUGGUAGAUGAUGAGGAUGGCCAACCUAAUUGGGAAGUCUAGGUACACUUAUUCCUACCUCUUAACAUCCUUGUGUAAACAUGGAAAUGUAAACUUAUAAAGUAAAUAACUUUUAGUUUACGAGAAUUAUAAAUAAAAUAAGUUAUUAAUUUUAACAAUAAACAAGCACAUAUUUAAAAGAAAAACAAAUAUAAAUCGUAAUCAAAAGUUUUAUCCACAAAAAAAUCAUAGAGACACUGCAUUUCUUUAACACGCUUCAUACACGGUGAUUUUGAAUGUGUAUAUGGCGAAUACAUCUACACAUUAGAUAUCUGCAUAUAUAUUAUCAUUUAACAUAUAAAUUAAGCUCAUGUUUGGAAAGGUAUAGCUAAAAAAUUGAUAAAAAUUUAAGUUAAAAAGUCAAAGAUUAAUUUUCAUCACACAUUUAUUAGGAUCCAUAAUUUUUAUCUACUUUUCUAUCAAAUUUAUAAAAUUUAUCAAAAUCCAAUUAAAAUCUAAUUUUCAGCUAAACCAAAUGAGGACUAAUUCGUAUGUAGUAACAUGCAAUCCAAUGCGUAUGCUAGAAGUCAACAUAUGAAUUUUCAAAGCUAUUAUACCUUUGAUUUCACCCAAUAAUAGGAAUCUAUUAAAAAUCUUAUUUUAAGCUAAAUCAGACAGGGGCUAAUUCACAUGUUGUAGCAUGCAAUCCCAUGCGAGCUCUAGAAGUCACUAUAUGACAUUUCCAAACUAUACACAUCUGAUUUCACCCAAUACAAGAAGUAACCAGUCCAUGGCUAGUAACAAUUAAGCCCUUGUUUGAGCCUCAUCCCCCCCCCCCCCCCCCCCCCCCCCCCCCCGAGGGGUUUUUAUUUUGGAAUAGUUUUCCUGGAAAAUGCGUGGUUAAAUUUUUUUUAUUUUUAAAAUCAACUUAUGUGUAAAAUUAAUUUAUUGAAGAAUGUGUGGUUGAAAUUGAGUUUUGAAACAAUGAGUCUUUGGUAAAAUGGAGCUCAAACAAGGGCCAAGUGCUUUCACCAUUACAUUGUGUCCACUUACUUUUAUAGUAAUCUAUCCAACAAAGUAAAGCAUUAGCUCAAAAAGACUUAAGACAGCUUGAAAUUGAAGAUGUAGCUAGCAUAAUAUUAUACGCCAUUCAGAAAAAAAGGGUUUCUAGUCUCAAGAAGCCCACAUCACAAGAUUUCAAUUACUCCUGACCUUUUUGAGCUAGUAAGCGAGCCUGCAUUAAGCUCUACCACCAAAGUUCAUUUUUAUCGAAAGCUUUAAAAAAUGACCUUUGCAUUUGGUAAACACGCUUAAAUUUGUUCGUCUCGAUCAAAAUCCCAAAAUUCUUCGUCAGCAAGUUUCUCUAAUGGUCAUUUCAGCCUGAUCACCAUCUUAUCAAGCUUCGGCGAUUUCUCUAAUAAAAGCUUGACGAGUGUCAUCUCAAGAACUGUUGAAGAAAUACAUUCCAGCUUCACUUUUUGAAGCCGAUUAAAGCUACAAAAAAAUGCUUUCCAACAGCCAAAAAAAUUGGUCGCUAAAAUAAAAAUUCUGGUUGGUAAAAAGUAUCAGCAACCAAAAUUGAAUGAUCGCUGCUUGGUCGCUAAUUCACCGUCGGUGAAUGUGUUUAGUGACCAAUGUUGUUUGGUUGCUAAUUAUGUAACGUUCACCAACCAAAAUCAACUUAUGUGUAAAAUUAAUUUAUUGAAGAAUGUGUGGUUGAAAUUGAGUUUUGAAACAAUGAGUCUUUGGUAAAAUGGAGCUCAAACAAGGGCCAAGUGCUUUCACCAUUACAUUGUGUCCACUUACUUUUAUAGUAAUCUAUCCAACAAAGUAAAGCAUUAGCUCAAAAAGACUUAAGACAGCUUGAAAUUGAAGAUGUAGCUAGCAUAAUAUUAUACGCCAUUCAGAAAAAAAGGGUUUCUAGUCUCAAGAAGCCCACAUCACAAGAUUUCAAUUACUCCUGACCUUUUUGAGCUAGUAAGCGAGCCUGCAUUAAGCUCUACCACCAAAGUUCAUUUUUAUCGAAAGCUUUAAAAAAUGACCUUUGCAUUUGGUAAACACGCUUAAAUUUGUUCGUCUCGAUCAAAAUCCCAAAAUUCUUCGUCAGCAAGUUUCUCUAAUGGUCAUUUCAGCCUGAUCACCAUCUUAUCAAGCUUCGGCGAUUUCUCUAAUAAAAGCUUGACGAGUGUCAUCUCAAGAACUGUUGAAGAAAUACAUUCCAGCUUCACUUUUUGAAGCCGAUUAAAGCUACAAAAAAAUGCUUUCCAACAGCCAAAAAAAUUGGUCGCUAAAAUAAAAAUUCUGGUUGGUAAAAAGUAUCAGCAACCAAAAUUGAAUGAUCGCUGCUUGGUCGCUAAUUCACCGUCGGUGAAUGUGUUUAGUGACCAAUGUUGUUUGGUUGCUAAUUAUGUAACGUUCACCAACCAAAUGUUUGGUCUGUAUUUGGUGGCUGAUAAUAGCAAAAAAUUGGUUGGUAUGUACCCUUUUGCAACCAAGAGUUUGGUCAGUAAAGGUGUAGGUCAAUGAAGGUGUAGAAUUUUUAUUUAUUUAUUUUUUACCAAUGGUUUAGAUGGAAUUUCAGCAACCACAAGUUAGGUUGUACCUUAUUAAAAUUUCUAAUUAAUAAAGUUAAUAAAUAAUGCAAGAGAAAAUAAUAAAAAAAUAUACAAUAACUACAAAAAAAUAAUUGUGAUUGCAUACAUAACAAUUACUAAUAGUUAAUACAUAAAUUAAAAUGUCAUUGUAUAUUUAUCCAACAACAUAUCAUAGACCCUAAUAUAGAAUGUGUCAUAUAUCUCACCAAAUCUAUCCUAUACCUUACAAAAGAUGUCUUAUAUUUUUAGUAACAUAAGUGUCCUAGACUUUAUGAACAAAAGGUAUGUGCAGACAAAAAAAUAAAAAAAUAAAAAAAAUCUAGUUAUAGACUUUUGUUCCAUUCAUACUCUAUAUCUUGCAUCAUCAGUAUCACUGGAUCAAUGAAUUUGCAGAAUUUGAUGCAUGCAAAAAGGGACACCAGUCACCUUUUAAAUAGCACCCUUUCCGAAAGAGUAUGCAGGGCAUCCCUUGUUUAUUAGAGACAUUAGGAACAUCAGAAGGUGUAGAGACAGUCUGCAAUGGAAGUAUAGAAGAUGAAGCAGAAGUUCGUUCUUGUGUUCCCAAUAGUCCAUCCAAUGACUGAAGAACAAAAGAAGAUCAAUACCCACUUUGCUAAUAAUAAAAACGAAUAGUUAAGAAUUGUGAUAUCACCGAAAAUAAAAGAAGAUCAGUAUCUAUGUUUGCAUAUGAUAUAAUAAUACACUUUCGGAUGAUAGAAUAAUGCAAUCUAUGUUAAGAAAGAGAAGGAUGAUAGAAUCCAUACUUGGGAUUCGAGCAAUUACCAUCAAUGCAAUUGAACUUAAAUUAAAUGUAUUUCUACUAGGUGUGCAUAAAGUAGACUAAGCCCUACAAUAAUAAAGUUCUUACUUUAUGUAUUCUCAAAAUAUGAUGAAUGCUAUGUUUUCCUUUUGUAAGGAUCCCGUAUAAUUGAACCUUCACAUGGGUGCAAAUAGAAGCUGCAUCUAUAGCUAAAAAGGACUUCAUAUACACUGUGAACUACAGAGCAUAUAAAAAGGAAUAUAGUAGAAGAAAUACCAAGUAUAAUAAAGAUCACAAACAUUACUGAACUAAACUCAGUACAACAAACCUUCCAGUUGAAUCCAAAAGCAGUGCUCUUAUAUUAUCAGUGUCCUCUACGCUUCAUAAUCUUAGAACCAGAUAUUGGGUACCACACACCCACAACCUAUAAGAUAUAAAAAAUUUGUAGGCCAAUUAUAAGGCAAUCCAAAGAUUAUUAUAUCGUAAGUGUGUUGAAACCAUUACAUUUGAACAUUUGAAAAAACAGGAUACUCCUUAGUAGUCUCUCACAAUAAAGCAAUACAUGAAACAGAAGUAAUAGGAUACUCCAAAGAUGACUAGUAAUAUAUUUGGUUGAAAGAGGCUACACCAGAUAGCAACCAUCAUGCCAGUACACAAAUUUCUCUUCCUUGAACAUCAAGUGGAUCUGCAAGCAGGAAUAAGGUUUUACUAGGUUGAAUGGCUUAAAAUGAUCUUUCCAAUCCAUCUAGACGGAAAUACAUGGGCAAAGCCUAAACAACGAUUGGUUCGAUCCAUCUUAUUGAUUGGACUCAUAAGAAUUAAUGAAUCUAUCAAAUAGAUAAAAUGAUCUAAACUAAUCCAGCAACAUUCAUUUCCUUUUCAUUUUAUUGUUUCCUUUUCAUUUUAUUAUCCGUUCUUUGUUAAACCUUCUGUCUACACACAAAAUGAAGUAUUUUACCUUGAUUUACAGCAAUAACUUCCUCAUUGCUUAUAACUUCAAAUGUCUCUGAGUCACGUUUCUUAUAUCACAACCAAUCAAAAGAGGUGCCAGCACAUUCAACAAAAUGCCAAUUAAUUCGUGGAGGAUUGAGAAGGCGAAUGUUAUUUUAUGUUGAUUACAAGAAUACCUCAUUGUUUGACAAUGGUUCCGAUGAAAGAUUCAUGCUUUUAAGCUGGUAGAUGACAAGUUAUUAAAAAGGAGACACUAACAAAGUAUAGUAUUAUAUUUGGUUGAAAUCUAUGUUUUAUCGGAACCAAAAGUACAGUUGGGAGGUAUGCAUUAGUGACAGCAAUGAAUACCGAUAUUUUUUUAACAGUCCCAUAAAAAAACAUUAACCUCGAAAGGAAAUAUAGAGAUACACAAAAGAGUUAAUCGAAGAAGAGAGAAAGUAUACCCAAUCCACAAGCAAUUUGAAUGUAGCAGAGUAGGCAGCAACAUCUUCAGCUAAUGCCCGUCUCUUUAAUGUUCCAUCACAACUCCUAGUGAAGAGAUAAUUAUACGCAUAUAGAACUGCAAAUAAAGGAACUGCCCAACAGAAGAGACGACAAAAAUUAGUACGCAAUCUGCAGUAGCAUAUACUUGUAGGGACAAUUACGAAGAUUCAUAAUUGGUUGAAAGAUUGACGUACUCAAACCUCUCCAGUUUUGGGUAAUUGCUGUGAGAACUGCGAGUAGGGAGAGACGAAAUGUCGAAGGGAGUGUAAUUUGAAAAUUUAAUUUAGCCCCUGUUUGAGCCCAUUUUUACCUCAUUAAAAUGAAAAAUAUGAUCGUUAUCCAUCACAUCAAACCAUCAUUUUUAAAUUUCUAUCUCUGGUGUGGGGCCUAUAACGGCUCUAUUUCUCAUUCUCAUUCUCAUUCUCAUUAUAACGUGGCUCAAACGGGCUCUUAGGGUUUCGAAUGGGAUAGGUCUCAUUUUUCCGAUUUAGGCUAUUCAUUCGGACAUCAACAAUUAUAUUAUAUCUGAAAAUUGUGUUAGAUGUAUAUUAUAUUUUUAUUUAUUACUUAGCCGAUGUUUAUUUUUUAUUAUUUGUCCAUUAAAAUGAAAAAUAUAAUUAUUAUCCAUCACAUCAAGCCACCAUAUUUGACUUUAUUUCUCUUGUGUGAACCCGUAAUGACAAUAUUUUUCAUGCAUAUUCUUACAUUAAUGUGGCUCAAACAGGGCCUUAAAAAUAUUUAUAAAUUAGUAUUAAAAAUGACACUUUUGUUAGGAAAUUAAUAAUUUUAUAGAUAAUUUAUUUUAAUUUUUUUUAUCGAAAGUACUAAUAACUAAAAUAUGGCUGUUGAUUUAAAAGUGCAUCUCCAUUGACCAACAAAAAUAUGUUCAUUGGUCGGUAAAAUGUCUAUACUAAAUUCUCCAAUGAUAAAAAUCAAUGUUGGUUGCUAAAACCCAUUAUUGACCAAUUCUUGAUCGCUAAUUAAUUCUUCAAAAAUAUCACUAGCCAAAUUAAUAAAUAAUCUAGACGACAUCCUUCGGUGACCACAUCAAAUUUGGUUGAUGAUACACAAAAUCAGCAACCAACCCUUGUUUGGUUGAUGAAACAAUCUUCCAUAGACCAAAUAUUGGUCGUUGCAUCAUCAUUAACACCAACCAAACAAAGUGAUUGCUAUAACUUCAAAUAAAAAAUGUCCACUCCUUUUAGGGGUUUUAGCGACCAUUUUGGGCAUGGUUGCUGAAACAUUCCUCCAAGGACUAUAAAUUGGUAGCUAAAUCAUUACAUAUUUCCGACUAUAUCACAAUGGUCGCAAAACCCCAAUAAAAAAGGUGGGAUCUAUUCCCUCCAAGGGCUUCAGUGACCAAUCUAUAUAUGGUUGUUGAAACAAUCUUCCAGCGACCAAAUAUUGGUUGCUAAAAGUGCCUGUCGCGCAAAAUAAUUUUGCUUGCUUUUUCCCACCUAUUUAUUAGCGACUAAAUUGUGUUUGGUGGCUAAUACAUCGAAUCGGCAACCAUUUUUUGGUUGCAAUAGGGCACAAGAAAAAUAAUACAAUUCUAUCCGACCAAAAAUGUUACCAACCAAUAAUUGGUCGGUAAAUGUGGCUUUUAGCGACCAAUUUUAUUUGGUCGCUAAAUCUUUGGUCGGUGGAGCCCUUUUUUGUUGUAGCAUAUAUAUCCGAGUAGUCUUGCAACCUCAAGAAGUCUAAAACAGGAUGUGCUUCAGCAAGUGGGAGUGGCCUAUGCAAAAUCUACACAAUAUGACAAAAAGUCACUUAUCUUAAACUUUUAGGUUAAAUUGGAAAAUAGAGUAUCGUAAACUGUAUAGUCGUGUCCAUUACUUGUCUGGUGUUUCAGUUUCUCAAGAUUCGGGGAGCUUUUGAACAAGCAAAGAACAUAAGAGAGAUCCUCCACUGAGUCUAAACAUACAUAACAUAAAUUUAGAAUUUUAAGCUGGACUUCAGUAGCUGGAAGCCUUGUUUGGAAAUCUUGGAAGCGGAUGGCAAAAGCAUGAUCAAAUAUAGUUAAAUUGAUGAUUUCAAGGAAAUUAUAGUUAUAAUCAGCCAUACCUUCAUCAUCUGAUAGUCCAUGCACAGUUGAUGGAGUGAGGGCAGGGAAUCAAAAAACUCAGUGAAGUUAUAUUUUCUAUGAAUGAUAAAAUUGUAACGGAGAGAGUGGGGAUUUCUUAAAAUAAACAUAUGUGCAGAAUAUUUCAAUUUAACGAGUUUUAGCUUGGGAGCAUUAAUUGUUAAGUGGUGAAAUCCAGCUGGGACAUGCAACUCCAGUUGCUUCUAAUACUUCAGUAUCAAUGAUGACAUCAAGCAAUUCCAGUGUAAUCAGCCUAUUAAAACCUUUGAAGCUUGGUGGAGGAUUGAUCGAACAAAAAGAAAGUUUCAAAUGUUUCAAUAGUGAACAUGUAAAUAGUGAAGAAGGCAAUUUGUACACUUCACCCUUCUUCAUUUUCAAAGUGGAUUCUUCAACAUCUUUCUUCCAUGAGAUAUAUAUCUAGUGGUCAAUUUCAGAACCAACUCUGAGUUUUGGAAUAAUUAGUGAUGUCAAUGGGCUGAGCCCCUUAAUCUCAUGAGCUCGGCUCGCGCUCAUGGCGAGCCGAGCUCGUGGCUCAUUUUCAACGAGCCAAGCUCGACCUCGGCUCACAAGCUCGUGGCUCGUCCGAGCUCGUGGACCUAGCCGAGCUUUGGCUUGCGAGCUCGUCAUCUUUUUCUUUUUUUUUUAAAUAGAGAAAAGCACAAAUAAUGUAAUAAAAAUACUUUUUUAAAAAAUAAAAAAUGUUAAAAAAUACAAAUAAUUUAAUGAAGACAUUUUUUUCUUUUUUUUAUUUAUAUCAUAUUGUAAUAUUUUUUAUAAAGUAUAAAAUAUUUAUAUAAUGAAAACGAAUUGUUUUUUGAAAUACAUUUACAAAAAUACAUUUUUUUCAAUUUCUUUUUAAAGUAAAUAAAAUGUAAACCCUCCUUCUUUAUCCGAGCUUGGGACCAAUUACAUCAAUUUUAAGUAGACGAAGUUAAAAAUUGUACACAAACAACUUGUUAUAACGUGUAUAAUUUUUAAAGAAAAUUAAAUUUAACGAUUAAAAAAUAAGAAAGUUUUGAUUAAUAUAAUUAAAUCAAAUAUCACUUACUUGACGACAUGCAAUUUCAGCACAUUUAUCUUGUAAUCGAAAAUGAGCAUCCUGUCAAUCUUUCACGCACAUUAAUGCUUCCAAAUAUCUUCUUUCAGUCGGCUCCUGAUAUCGAUCAAAAUACAUUUAUCUGCACUAAAAGUAGACUCCGAAACAAUAGUGCUAAUCGGAGGUGUCAACAAAUCUUUCGCAAUUACGGAAACAAUUGGCCAACGUCUUUCAUACUUUCGCCAGAAUUCAAUUACUUCCUCUGAACUUUUUUAAUUGUUCCGUUUGUUGGUAUAUUAUGAUUGAAGUAAUCAAUUAAUUCGGAAGACAUCACACUUUGAGUUGCGACCGAUGUUUGAUGAGAUGCAAAUGUAGAUGACAUGACACUAGAUGAACAUAUUGCAGUUGCAUCAUAUCUAAAUGUAUUAAUGCCUUGAAAUAAAUUCAUUAUUUCGACAUCAUCUUUUUCAAUUUCAGCCGAAUGAGUAGGUGUAGAGAGUACCUGACUAAUAUUCCCACCUAUUCUUUUCGCAUAUAAAUCAUACAUUCCACAUAAUAUUUGCUCUAAAUUAUUAUAAGUGAUAGGUAUAUCAAGCAUUAAGACUUUAUUGAUUUGAUCAAUUAGGUAUUUAGUUCUCGAAAUAUUAUAUCGGGGGUCCAUUGCGCAUGCUAAAGGAAAUAACAUAGGCAGUUUUUCCCAAUAUUUUUCUAAACUUUAAUUCCAUUGCAAUUAUAAUUUCACUAAUAUCAGGAUUAUUUGUAUAUUUAUGGAAUGUUCUUACAACUAUAUAAAGGAGUUCAAGCACCAUAUAGCUUGUGGGAUAAUAAACGCCGGACAAAAUCUUUGUGAUCUCAUAAAAAGAUGUCAAAAAUCGUUUAACUUUCAAAGCCUAAACCCAAUCGGAUUCAUUCAACAUACCAUCGUCAUCACUUCUAACGUGUCUAUUAUUAUAAAAGUCAGUUAUUAAAUGUUCAAAACCUUCAUAUGACUUUAAUAGCAAGUAAGUAGAGUUCCAUCUAUGGCCUACGUCGCUAUCAAAUGUUUUAGCAGCCGUCACCCCUAGUUCGGCAUAAAAAUCUUCAAAUGCUUGUUUUCUACUAGGAGAGAUCGUAAUAUAUACUAAUACAUUCCUAAUCCUUUGAAAUUCAUCAUUUAUAUGUCUUAGGCCAUUUUGCACAAUUAAAUUCAAGAUAUGGCACACACAAUGAAUAUGAAACAAAUGCCCACCAAAAUUAGGUUGAAGUGUCCUACACAAUUUAUCGACGACUACUUUAUUAAUACUAGCAUUAUCAAAAGUAAAAGACCAAAUUUUAGUCUCACAAUUAUAUUCUCUAACAAUACUGGCAAUAUCAUUAUAUAUAUUAUUAGUAUUGUGAGGAAAUUCAAUAAUUCUAAAAGCAAUAAUUUUUUUAUGCAUGCACCAAAGUGGGACUAUAUAGUGUGCGGUUGCGGCUAUAUAUGAUCUUUUAUUAACCUCUUCCAAUAUAUCAGAAGUUAAAGAUGUAACACCCCAUAUUGUUGCAAAUCCAUAAUUAAUUGUUGUUUUGAAUUAUUGAAAAUAUUGCAUUAUAUUGGCACGAAGAGUAUUUCGACUUACCCCAACGUACCUUGUUUGCAGAUAUUCUUUCACGAACGAGACGAAGUGUUGGUUGUUUGCAAUAGCCAAAGGCAACUUAGUGGCGGCAACAAAUUUCACCAUUUCGGUUCGAGUAUUGUCUUCCGAAUAAACCCACGUGGAUAGGGGUGAAGUCGUAGAACCAACGCCUGGAUUGCCAAAUUGCAAUUGUGUUUGACCAGCUGGAAGAAGUCCAUGUUUGGCCACACAUGCUUUGUAGUGGCGGUUGAGAUAGGUGGUACCAAUUCCUUUUUGCCAUACCAAUCUUUGUUGACAGUAUUUACAUACUGCCUUAGAUUCUGCAAGGCCAUCGAUGACUUUUUUCGUUGAAAUCAGCUUAAAAUGAUCCCAAAAUAUUGCUUGUUUUUUGUCCUUUUGCUUUUCCCUUGCAUUUAGAAUGUUUAAUUCAGCAUCUUCGUUCUCAUGUUCCACUUCGGAAACGUUAAUAUAAUCCAACUCAAUUGGAUUGUGGCUUUCCUGAUCGUGAAUGUGAAUAUCUUCAGUAUGAAUACGUCAUUUAGACCGGCAAAUUCAUUUGAAAACUGACUUUACAGCGUCCUAGGCGAUUCGCCAUGUGGUCCACAUUCCGUAUUGAAUAAGCUUUUAACAAAUGAGCGUUGAUCCAUUUUUUUGAUUGUUUAUGAUGAAAUCCAAAUAUAAUAACUAGAACAAUAUAAAUGUAGUGAGAAUUGAGAAUUGGAUGAAUUGAAAUUGUAACUGAAUAAACUGUAAAAAAUGAAUCGAUAUUGUUUAUUUUGUAGCACAAGAGAGUAAAAAUUUGACAAUUGAUAUAAUAAAAGAGAGUUGAGAAAUGAGAGGUAGUGAAUUAGAGGAGACAAUUGAUAUGAGAAAAAAAAAGACGAGUUAAAGGGUAUUUAUAGUAGAAGGGAAAAAAAUUUAAAAAAUUUCAGCGACCAUUUUGGUCACUAUUUUCACGAGCCACAAGCCGAUCGUGGGUGGCUCGUCUUCAAGGUGAGCCAAGCGGGCUCGGCUCGUUUCUCGACGAGGCCAGCUUGGCUCGUGCUUGGGCUUGUGAUUGUACGAGCUCGAGCCGCCCACAAACUCUAUUUCGAUGAGCCAAGCGAUCGAGCUGACGAGCGGGUCGGCCCUUUUGACAUCCUUAGGAGUAAUGAGGCUCGACUUAAUUAUGGAUCCUUGGUGAAGUAAAAGAAUCUGGUAAAGAAUCCCUACAAACUUCAUUCUAGCCAAUUCUUGGUUUCUCUUUUGAUUCUUGCCAUGUUGUAACAUCAAAUAUCAGCUGUGGCAGUUUGACCCAUUUGUUGGGAAUCUACUUAACGUGUGCAGCGAAAAAUUAAAAAAAAAAUUCAAUUCCCACGAGGAAGAGGUUGUACAUUUUCUAGAUCUGCAAACUUCUUUGCCUUAUCUUUGUUCCAGCAACUUGGAUCUAUCUCCCACAGCUGUCUAAUUGUUCAGCCUCCAACGGUCAUCCACAUAGAGAACAAGAUUGUAGGAUUAAGGUUUUUCUUGUGCUAGAAAGAAUAAUGAAAAAUUUCUAAAGUUUUUGAAAACCUUAAUCAUAUUUAUAUAAGCCCGAAUGGGCUGGGCCGGGCCUGACCUAGUCCAAUAUUUAAUUAACCCAUUUAAUUAAAUCCGGUUCAUGAAUUGAUUAAUCUAAUUAAUCAAUUCAGGCCUAUAAAUAAGCAACCUAAUUUAUUAAUUUAUUCAACACUUGUUAAAUUAAUUAAUUGACAAGUCACAAUCUUCUAAUUCUCCUUUUGUGUGCAACCCAUUAGGUUUCCGAUCACGAUACCUAACGAUGUGAAAUAUUAUUUUGAUCUAAUCAAAAUUGAUAAAUUAAAAUAUCCUUUUAAUUUAUCACCAAUUCACACUCGUUGUCCAAGCUUGACAUAUAACAAUGUGUCAGGGCAAUACAUGUGAUGAGAAAUGUUACGUGGUAUGAGAAAACCAAACUCGUUCAUUUACCGUCAAACUAUAAUCCCUUCGUCAAUAUGAUCCGAUCAAUUACGAGAUAUAGAAGUGUGUCAAUCUCGACUAUCAAUCAUAUCUUUUACUCCACUAAUAAGUCAAUAUAAGUCAAAAACUCCUUUUCGACUUAUGAGUACACCUUGGCCAAGAAUUUUAUUAUUGACUUAAUUGAAUGAAAUGCAGAUCAUAAUCUCUUACUAUGUAAGAGUGACGAAUCCUCUAUUAGUCAUUCACAACCUUCACAUGAUUCUUGACAUACUCGAACGAUGUGGUAUUAGUGGCCCUUGGCAGAGCAACAUCCAACACUGUCAAAGCAUUACUAUCCUCAUAUAAGGUACUAUGAUGACAUCAAGUCAAAGAACAAAUUCCACUACCGAACGUUAGAAAUUAACCACUGACAUUCAGAUAGUUAUCCAUAUAGAAUCUCUCGACGGGUCACCAAUGUUUUGUUCUAUAGCAAAAUAUCCACGGGUUCAUUCAAGUGUCACCACACUUUAGCUUGUGAGAUCAGCUACUUACUUCAUAAGUAAGAAAUAUCACACGUGAUGGUCUAUCUGUAAUAACGAUAUAUAUAUCUCGUUAUUACUUACGACCACAGACGAUUUAAGAUUCAAUCACAUAUAACUUGUAUCUCACAAUCACAACUCCUUGUGAUUAACAAAUUACGAAAAUUUGAAUCUGCGGACUCUAUUAUAUAAUUUAAUUGUAUAUUAAUUAAAUAAUAGAUCUAACAUUAAAUUGCAUUAAUUAUGUAUUAAAAGUAUUUAUAUACAAAGUUGAUUGGAACUAGGACAUAACACUUACACCAUUUAUACCUCCAUUGCUUUCACAAGACACAAGUCUUUGCAGCAUCACGUACUAUCAAACACAUUAAUAUGAUCUAUAUGACAUUAUCAGGAAGGUCACUUAUCAUAUCAAUAGGCUCGAAUUGGGCAAUCUUCAUUCUGCUAUGUAAUUGGCUAACAAAAUUCUGUAACAACUCUCAAUUAAUAAAAAUUUCAAAUUGCCUUAAACUAACUUGCAUGCGUGUAGAAGAUAUAAACAAAUUCUGCAUUAAGUUCACAAAAUUUUGUUCGCUUUAUUUUAAUUUUUUACACCGAUAUUUUUAAUAGUUAUCGAAUUGGUCAUAUCACUAAGAAAGUAGAGAUAAUAUUCAUAGUUGAUAUUUACAUUUGCAUAUGCUUAAAAUAUACUUUUGAACAGAAUUUCAAUAAAAAAAAAAAAAAAUUCAUGUAGCCCAUCCAAACUUAUUCACAACAAUCUUUAGUUGUUAUUAUUAUUAUUAUUAUUAUUAUUAUUAUUAUUAUUAUUAUUAUUAUAACUCAGAUAUCCAAACUUCGCCUAAAUAAUCCUGAGCAGUGGCGGCCUUCCCCCCUGGUUUACCACCCGGCUAAAUCCGGAUGCGAACACAACUUAUACACAAUUGGGCUGGACAUUCAGGAUGCUGCUCUUCUCCCUGUAAACUUUCCUUUACGACGUGCGGACAAGACCCCCGAAGAGGUGACAAAGCGCACCAUAACUUUGCCUCCAUAGAACAACUACCUUCCAACAUAAAUGUUGCCUUCUAGCUACCAUGGGGAGUCGAACCUCCGAUAUCCGUGUGGAACCCUCCUGCUUUACCACUACACCAUGCCCGUGAGGGCACAAUCUUUAGUUUGUUGUUAUUCUUAGUGGUGGACAAGGUGGCCAACUGCUCAUUCUAAUAAAUUAUGAGCAAACAAUAAAAUAAGCACCUCAUAUAUAUUGUUUCAAGUUUUAUUGAAUUGUAUGCAUAUUAUAAUUAACUUUAAUUGGCAUGUCAAUCGUCUUGGACUUUCAAGGUAUAAUCCACUACAACAUUUUAUUAGUCACAAUGAAGAUAAAUUAACAAUAAACAUAUAACAUUUCAUUAGGCAGUAUUACAUUUGCAAAAAUUAGGACAAGAGAAAUGUGAUGUUACAUGUUAAAAUUAAUUUUUUAGUCAAUUUUGAUAAAAAUUGAUGUAAUAGGUGAUUAGAAAGUUAUGAAUAUCAUAAAAUACGUGAUCUAAAUGAAUUAUUGAUUUUGACUUUGAUAAAAAUUUAAAUUUAAAUUCCCAUCCCAAUACCUACUUACCCACAUGAAUAAUGAUUGAAAAUUAGAUGAUGUGGCAUGGCUUAUUAAAACAAAAGAAAAAGAAACACUACCUCUACAAGUGUAAAAAAUCGGGAAAUGGGAAUUCAUUCUACCAUUUUAACCCUACUUUGCGUCGACUCGCGCCACUGCCAAACCCACCCAUCGCUAAUUUUCAAUCCAUCUCCGACGCAACUCCGACCACUGGGUAAAUAGAAAGACUACAUUUCACACCAUUUUUCCCAAAUUUUGUGUCGAUCUUACAACCGAAAACCCAUCCAUAUCGAGUCAAAAUCCGGGGAACUGACCGGAGAACUUUGAGCUAUUUGUAAACAAGAGGUUGGACGUGUUCCUUACAUCCCACCACUUUCAUCAGCAAGUCUGAAACUUGCUCUAACCCUAAAUGAUAGAAAAAGGUAUUUUCUCAUCCUUCCUUGAAUGCAUCCAAAUUUGUUUAAAUUUAUUGUUAAGUGGUCACAUGAGUCCAUAUGUUGUCAUCCUUCGCCUAUUACCCACAACAGAUAACUGAGUUCUAUUGACCUGAGUUUGAAAACUUGAACAGAGCAUAACUUAUACGUCACUCAUUUUUGUUCUAUUCUGGAUCCGAAAUUAUGGAAGAUGAUAACCAUGACUUGUUUAUCAAAGUGUGUACAUUUGAAUAUUUAACCUUUGUUGUAUUUGUUUUCAUCAAUGUCUUUCUUGAUUUCUUCAUGUAUGGAACCGAUCUUUUUAUGACAAACAUAUCUCUUCUCAUUGACAGAGGCAUUGAAGCUAAACAGCCAAACUCUGCUAUUGGUAAAUGUGCUGGGGUUAAACUCAUUAAGAAUAACAAGAAGAUUGCUGCUUUUGUCCCCCAUGAUGUUUGUUUAAAUGUGCUUUACUUUGCUAGUGAAAUUAGUACAUCUAGAAAUGUUCAUACUUCUUAAGCAUGGAUGCCUGAUAUGUAAUUUGCUGGAUAUUAUUUCGUAUUUUCUUUUAAUUUACUGUAUCAGAAUUUGUGUUGCUAUGUGUUGAUAUUUAGAUAAUCAUUUUCUGGUCUCUCUCUCUCUCUUGCAGUUGGAACAUUGCAUGCAUUUUUUUUUAUUGAUAAUCAAGUAAUAUAUUUUGGCCAAAUUAAUUGAAAUCCUAUGUAACUUGGGCAUGCUUUUCGGCCGUGUGAUAGUCCUUUCUAAAUGUGGACAAGGCACAAUGUUGGCUUAAUAACUCAGCUUGGUCGAGCUCGCCUGUACUAGUCGUGGAGGAUCGGCACAACUAUUUCUCCAAGGCCACAACUACUAUUUUGUCCUAGGAUAGAAGGCUAAUAUAAGUCUGUUGUCACAAAAAAGUUUGUUGAUUCAGUUUGUAUAUUUGUUUAUCAAAGUGUGUACACACUUUUGAUAUGUUAGUUUUUUACUUUUGAUAAAAACAACUCUUUCUAUUACACAAUAGUUUGGAUUACGACUAUUCAACUUCGUUCAAAUGUACACGUAUUUGCAUUUUAUUGUUUGACUAUUCAAAUGUACACACGUCACAAUAUUAUUUAUUUACGUGCUUUAUGGUAACCAAUUUUUAUUACCAUUAUUGCAUUGACAAAGGUUUUCAACAUACAGUGAAUUGAAGCACACAUUGCAGUGAGUCUAAUGUCUAAACACAAUAAGAAGAUACUUUGGUUCUUUUCAUUCUUUUAACCGUGUUCUAAAGUCUAAAUAUUUGGGCUUGUCUUAACUUAAUGAGGAAACCGGUUCUGUUGCCUUGUCUUCUACACUUAGCAAAAUGCCCAGUUUAGUAUAGGAAACUUUCAUUUUGGGACACAUAACAAAUGUUAUCAACUACACAACACAAGCAACUUUUGUCAAAUAAUUUGGCCGGGAUGUUUGAAAAUAUAAAUGAGAACAAUUACAUGACAAAUUUCUAAAACCAUAACAUAUGUUACAACGAACCUCAUAACAAUCAUAUGUCAAACGAUCGAACAAUUAUGACAAGAUUAACCGUACAUCUAAUAUCCUACAAUGACCAAACCGUUCGUUCAUUAUGAUAAUCCAUAAAGCAAAUUCAAAUAAGCCGUUUAAGUCUAACCCUUUCCUUUCCCUUCCCAUCACACUUUGCGAUUUCCUAUCCUUUAAUAAAACUCAGGCGCAAUGAUAUGUCCACGUCUAGUUUCUCGCUAAUUCGAGCUAGAUUGUCAAAGAGUUUUGGCAACUCUUCAUAUUCCACGUUCGACGCAUGAUUCACCGCUUCAUUAACGGAACUCGACUCCAUGCUUAACACUUCUUCUUUUACCCAGUCAAAAUAUUCACAAUCAUUACUACAAGUGAAGAACAAUCGUCCUUUGUUACUAACAUCCCAUUCGACCUCAAAACAUUUUCGAUAACCGUGUUUACACGAAGGGCAUCGACGUUUUGAUUGGCAUUGUCCAAAGUAGCGAGUGUCAAAUUCCGGAAUUCCUUCCUCUCAUUCUAGUCGAUCCUAGCUAAAAAAACAAAUAAACAAGCAUGAAUGCAAUUGAAUCACAAAUUCCCAUAUCAACUACCUAAACCUCACCAUCCAUGUCAAAAAGCAUUACCCAAUUUGAUUGUCGACAUUAAAGAAUCAAAAGCAAAAGAGUAAAGGCAGAGCUAUAUGACCGACAUUAACCAUUCAAAACCAACAAUUCUGAUUAUCAAACAAGGCAUUAAACUAUUCGAGUCUCUGUCUAAAUGCAAGCCAUAUAAAAUCAUAUUAUCAAUGCCAUAUUAUUGAGUGUGGCCCCUUGAAAAAUCAACAUUGGGGAGAUUUAAUGUAAGAAUAAAAAAAAACCACCAAAAUUAAAGUAUAGAACCAGAAAAGAAGAACUACUUAUACAUUAUCACCGGAGAUGGAGCACAGUGUGGAGGUGAACGGAGUUCAAUGCGUUGUCGGCGAUGGCAAGUGAGUACGAAUGGCGGAUGCUAACUUGGUAUACCCUUCGUUGGUGCCGAUCUUUUGUGAUGGUGAGUGCAUACAUGGAAAAGUGAUUUGGGAGGAAUGAAAGAAAUUUCUUGAUAGUGCUUGGAGGAAAAUGGUUCAGACGGAAUGGGAGAAAUGGGAGAGAUAGUUUGGGGCAAGUUUUGGGGGAAAUUUUUGUAGUGGGUUUCUUUAUCUUUUUUUUUUUUAGUUUGUUUGUCUUUUUAUUUUUUAAUUAAUAGGCCAUGCCGCCUCAUCAAAUUUAAAAUCCUUUACCCAUUCUGUAGUGCCUUUUCUGUACCCAUAGCUAAAUUGUACCUCAUAUGCUUCAUAUGAGAUGUAUAGCACACUUUCCUCAAUAAUUAGUUAAUUACUUUACUAGUCUUCUCUCCUUAAUAAUUACUUUACUAGUCUUCUUUCUUCAUCCGUUUACAUUUCCUUCCAUUUUUUGGUUCAGAGCUACAACCUCCAUUUCCAUGGCUUCUAUGCUAUAAGCUAAUCAAACCUUUCUGCUUUUGCUUCAGUGGUAGCGCUUAUUGUGUUUUAAGCAAAAAUUUAGAGGGUAGACAACAUUCGCUUUCACUAUCUUUCUUUUUCCCUGCAAUUCGACCAUCCUUUCCUUUCCUUGCAAUGGAUAUCUCAUUCACUGAUCCGUUUACUAGUCCUAUAAAUCUCCUUGAAAUUGUGAUCGAGCAUAUAUCACGUGUCUCCUCCUCACAUGUACAUAUAAUUUAUAUGUUAACUGUGCUUCGAGAUUUACUAUACCGUAGAGACUUUGAAGAUAUUGAAGAAUUCAGAAACUUUUUCCAAGUAUUAGUGUCAUUUGGGCAAGAGCUUAUGGUGCUCUUUACAGUCCCUAACCAGCAAAUCUUGUUCAAUUUAACUCCUACUCUCAAUUAUAAUGAAGUUGGUGUGGCCUUCAUCAACUUUUACCUCUUAAUGGUAGAAGUUAUCAUACAUUUUGAGGAAGAGUUGAUUGCUUGUUUAAAGGGUACGUUCCAAAAUCUCCGGACAGAGCUUGGAUUUCUCAUAAAUUUUCUUGGGGAUACAGCAAUGCAUUUGCAGCCCACCUAGACUAUAUUGAUAGAUAUCGAAGAUGUGGUCAAUGAGGUAGGAAUUUUCUUGUAUUCCUUACUUUUGGCCAUUGUUGUAUUUAUUCUGAUCAAUAAAGAAGAAGAAGCCUGUACUAGAAUAAUGGAUUUGGAAUUUGUGGUUGAUGAGGUAAAAAGUCUAAUUCAUUCCAAAUUUUUCCACUUACCAUUGCUAUCCACUAUGGUGAAGUGAAGAAAAAGAAGAAAAAAACAGAAAAAGGCAAUGAUGGAUAUCAAAGCUCUGCUCCCAAAAAUAGGAAGUUUAUUAUAUAUCUUUAUUUUCACCGAGGAUGAUCAAGUUAUGGAGACAGGAAUCUUGGAUCUUGCUCUUUCUGAUUUAUUUACAAACUUUGAGACCUUGAAAGCAAAGAUUAAAGAGCACUGCAUCACGGUCUCAAAGAUGCCAAGUGAUAUCGCUCCAAAGACUAGUGUGCUUUCACUCUUCAUUAUUGAUUCUGUCCUUGAUGAUCUCAUAGAUCUAAUAAAUAACAAGUCUGACUGGAUUGUUGUUGUGAAUGAUCAAAUUGUAACACUCCACGAGGAGCUAAUGUUAUUGGGAUCAUCCAUCACAGAUAUAGCACUGCAGCACGAAGUAGAACAUGAAGAACUUGUGACACGGAGCAAAGACAUAGUAUAUGAAGUUGAAUUUGAAAUCAACUCAUUUCCUCAUGUUUGGUAUCUUAUUCUCCGGCUCCCUCAACUCAUCGACAAGAUUCGGCUUAUUGUGAUGGCUAUCAAAGAAAUGAAGAACAAUAUUGAAGUAGUCAGAAUGUCAAAUGUUUCAAAACAUCCACAUGAACACGUAGAGCCACAGUCAAAAGAACCUUCCAUUUUGGAAGACAUUGUUGUGGGAUUUGACAAUGUAGUAAUUGAAAUCACAGAACAACUUGUUGGAGGAACAGGCCAGCUGCAAAUUAUUUGCAUCUUUGGGAUGUCUGGACUUGGUAAAACGACCUUGGAAAAUAAAUUAUAUAAACAUCUCUCCAUUUUAUACCAUUUUUACAAGCGUGCCUAGUGUGUUGUUUCUCAAAUAUAUACUAAGAAAAAUAUAUUGAUUGAAAUUUUGGGCUCAAUGAAUAACAGUAAGAGGGAUACAUACAUGAAAAAGGAGGAAGAAAUCUUGGUUCAAGAUCUUUACAAAAACUUAAAAAGAAGGCGAUUCCUCAUUGUGAUAGAUGACAUUGGGAUAUCAGUGUGUGGAUUGAUUUGAAAAGUUGUUUUUUAGAUGACGGAAUUGGAAGCAGAAUCUUAUUCGCUACUCGAAAUAAAGAAGUGGGUUUGAAGGCUUCAGCUCGCAAUGUCAUAAAUGAACUUCCUUUUUUGUUAGAAGUUGAGUGUUGGGAAAUAUUACAAGGGAGUGUUCAAAGAUAGAAAAUGUCCUCAAGAAUUGCUAGAUACUGGCAAGCUAAUUGUAAAAAACUAUCAGGGCCUACCACUUGCAGUGGUGGUAAUAGCUGGAGUUCUUGCAAACAUGGAGAAGUGAAAAAAACCUGUGGAAAAAAAUUGCAUGAAAUUUAAGUUCACAUAUAUCCGAAAUACGAGAGAAGUGCAUCCGAACAUUGCAAUUUAGCUACAAUCAUUUACCAAUGCAUUUGAAACCACGUUUUCUUUACUUUGGAGCAUUCAAAGAAGACAUGGAUAUCCCUGCACGGAAGUUGAUAUUUCUAUGGGUUGCAGAAGGAUUUAUAAAGAAGGAAGAACAGAAGAACAUAGAGGAUGUGGCACUAGAAUAACUAAUGAAACUGAUCGAUAGGAGCCUAGUACUUGUUGCUGAAAGAAGUUUUGAUGGAAGAGUCAAAACAUGCAAGAAUCAUGAUCUAUUGCAUGAAAUGUGCUUGAGAAUAGCUGAAGAAAAUAACUUUUUGAAGUUGAUCAAAGUGUAUUUCAAUGUUUUUCUUCUAUUUCCUUUCUUUUCUGUCCAUUUUUUUUAUUUUAGCUUACUAAGAAUGGUUAUUAUAUUUGAUGAUCGUAACAUGAUGUGAUUCUGUUUUUUUUUUUUACCAGUAAUGAUGAUGAUGAACAACGGUUCUUCAGUCAAGUAUCGACGUAUCAACAGUACCAUCAUCUGAGUAUCAACUAUGCAAAAUUUCUUAGUUCACUACCUGUUGGUCUACACGUACGCUCUCUUCUAUUGGAUUUGGAUUUUAUGAGUUCCAUCAAAUUAAUCUCAUGCAGCUACAAAGUUUUUAGGGUCUUUUGUGGAUGGUCACUGUAUGACUUUCUAAUAGGACUUGAAUAUCUGGUUCACUUGAGGUAUUUGGAAAUUUCAUGUACACUGCCACAAAUGGAAAACUUCCACAUAUUAGAAUUUCGUGUUGUGUACAAUGAUGAUGAAAUUGAAUUACCAGAGAUCCUUCUUAAUAUGGUGAGUUUGAGACACAUGGAGUUUAAGGGUGGUGCGUACUUCAUUGAAUCUAGUCGUCAACUUGCAACUAACAAUAAGAGCUUCCAAAUAAAUAACCUACAAAGUAUUUUUGUACUCUCAAUUUAUGAUGAAAUGGAUGAGAGUAUUUUGAGAAGUUCACCCAACCUUUGCAGAGUGGAAGGCAGAGUUGAGAAUUCAUUAAAUUGUUCCUUCAACUUCCUUAAUCAGCUCGAAUCACUGAAGCUAUCAACAGCACAUGGUACGCUUUAUUGGCGUUCCAGUUUGAUUAGUUGGCCCUUAAAUCUAAAAAAAUUAACUCUAGUUGGUGUAUAUCUGUCUCGAAAACAAAUGGAGAUAAUUGGAAGAUUGCGUUGCCUUGAGGUUCUCAAAUUAGUGUCUGCUGCCUUUGAGUGGGAACAAUGGGACACAAGUGAAAGUGAAUUCCCACAACUUAAAUACUUGAAACUUUGUGCCGUAAAAAUUGCAGAAUGGAAUGCCUCAAGUGAUAAUUUCCCAAGGCUUCAACGAAUAGUAUUGGAACAUUGCAAGAAUCUAAAGAUGAUCCCUUCCAAUUUAGGUGAUAUUCCAACGUUACAGAAGAUUGAGUUAUUUAUGUGUGGUCAAACUGCCAACGAAUCAGCAAAGAAAAUUGAGGAAGAGCAAAAGGAGAUGGGGAAUGAAAAUUUUGAAGUCACAAUCUGUAGCACAUUUGGUGAUAUUGAAGCCAUUCUUUCACACAUUUCCCCGCAGAUGAUGAAGGAAUUCAACAGCAGGGAAAUUCAGAAGGUAAUAAUGAAAGAUAAUUUCUCUUUUAAUUCUCUUUCACGUUCUCAUCUUGGUCCUGUUAUACUAAAAUGAUGUUGGAUAUUGGUUAAAUAAAUUGAGAAUUGAAAAUCGAUUAAAGUUCGUAUCGAAUUCGGCCAAAUACUCAAAAGCUCGACUCAAUCCGUUUAGGCAAAAUUGUUUGCCACUUCGCCGCUUCGGGGCGCACAAACGGGGAUCGACCUGCCCGGUCAGGUCGCGAGGGUCGAGGGGGCAGCGCCUCUCGUGGGGGUCGGGGGCAACGCCCCCGAAAGAGAAUUUUGAUUUCUCUGCAUGUAUUGAAGGGUAUAUUUGGCAUUUCGAAAACCAAUAUCGGAUGAAUGAGAAAUUACGAAAAAGACCUCAACCAUUAGUCAAUAGACACCUUUUCAAAAGGUGCAUUGUUUGGAAAGGGUGCAUGGUUUGGCCUCAACCAUUUCGUCCACACCCUUUCUUGGUCUAUAAAUAGGACCCUUUGGGUGUCCUAUUCCACACAAUUUGAUAUGCAAAAACGUCUCUCAUCCUCUCUUCUAUCCAAAAUCAAAAUCAUUUUAUUUAUUUUGAUUUUCUUUCAUUUCAUCUGUGGAGUACAUAAGUCUACAUUUGGUUCGUUGUACUUGUGUUUUGGAGUGCUACAAACACAAGUGUAGCCGUUGUAUCUUGGGAGUCGAUUGCCGAAAUCCGUAGGCACCGUUGCGGGGCAAAUUCGACUUAAGGACAAAGAGUCCAACUCUUGCCUCGGCUUUGUCACCAUCAUUAUACUUAUUUCGGCGUCACUAUUCACAAAAUUCUUCCAACAAAUGAAACAUCAAAUAAAAUUUUUGGCUUAUAUUGAAAUUAACCCCUGUUUAGUUCAAAUUAAAAUCAGAUUUUUAGUAGAUUUUCAUAAAGGUUGAUAAAAUGUGUGAUUGAAAAGUUAAUAAAAGUUACAAAUCUCAUAAAAUGUGUGUUGAAAAUGAGUUUGGGGGGAAAAAUGAGUUACAAAAAAUUGGGACCAAACAGGAGCUAAGGUUGGCUCUAUUUUAUGAGCCUCUUGAUGUUAUUUUAGGAAUUACUAAACCACAAGGUUCUAUGUUUUGGCAUUGCUUCUCUAUUAUUUCAGCUUUUCAUAUUUUUUACUAUAAAAUCAUGUUGACAUAAAAUCACAACGAUCACAUUUUCACUUCUAGCUCAUUUUAGUCCUCAAAAUAAUUUCAUUGUUUAGCUCAAGUCCUCCAUUAAUUGCAUGGGCAGUCCUUCAAUGCCCAAACUUGAUAUCUUUGUCCUAGAUUCUAGAUUCCAUCCAAUUUCCAUCCUUCUUGAUCAAAUAUCGUCCCUUUUUAUUCUUUCUUGUUCAAGACUAGUUUUUCUCUUAAAAUAAUCAAUAAAAACACAAAAUUAAAUAUCUGGCUCAUAAAAUUACCCCCAAACACCCUCUUUUGGUGGCUUGGAUAAGUCUAAAAUCACACUUACCAGCUGUCAUAGAUAUGCAACUUCAAGAGUGGAAUGAUAUUUCUUCGAGGUAAAUAGCAACUUACUCAAUUGUGUUAUAUGUUUAUGUCCGUAUAAUUCAUCUUCUACUUUGAAUGAGGACAAGUUAAUUCAAUUGUGUGAGUAAUAUUCUAAAGAUUUUAGGGAGAAUUACAGUUGGGGUCUCAAACUUUUCAAAUUAUUGUAGAUCACACCCAAACCUUGUGUUUUUAUUGUAGCUAAAGGACAUGUGGACAGAAUUCAUCAAUUUAAUCAUCAGUUUACCAAAAAUACUACCUAACACAAUUUUUUUAUUAUAUUUUUUAUGUAAUUAUUUAAAUUAUUUUAUAUGGGAUAACAUGGUUAGAUCGUUGACUUUUGGUCAACUAAUGGUCAAAUGAAUGGAUUCCAUCCACAUGUCGGCUUGGGUAUAGUUUGCAACAAUAUAAAAGGUUUGGGACCCCAGUUGCAAUUUCUCCAAGAUUUUAAACAAGUAGAGAUCUUGGCACUUGAUGAGUAAAUUUACACAUAUUAUUGAUAUACACACAAGAUUUUAAAGGGUUAGAGACGUUAGUGAUCUUGCAGAAAAGUUGACUGUGAUAAAAAAAAAUGUGUACCCAUUAGUUUACAUGUUUGUAACAUUGGCGCUAAUUUUUUCAGAUGUCCAUUCUCGAUGAUUGAGAUUUUCCAGAAUUGAUUGCGUAAUUGGAAGGGAGAUCAAUGGUUGAGUGACACAUUGGUGGCAUAUAUUGAGAGCGAUGUAUUUGACAAUAUUGAUAAUGAUGUAAUUAUAUGAUGUUUCCAAAGUAUUAAAAUUUGUAUAAUGCAGUUAUAGUAAUGUAUUGACUUAUUUUCAUAUAUAUAUAUAUAUAUAUUUUUUUUUUUUUAAAGAAAAUUGUACCUUAAUUUUUUAUCCUACAAUGAAAAUUGUGUGGCUCCACCAAUGAUAAUAGGCUUGAUAAAAACAAUUAUCUUUGGUGGAAAAUCAACUUCUGAAUGUCGUCAUGGCUAGUGGAUUAGAGGGUUUUAUUGAUGGCACAUAUACUUUUCCAUCAAAGAUUGUUGAAGAAAUGCUCAUCCUAAACCCCCACAGUAAGCAGCAUGGCAGAGGUUUAAUAGGCUUGUAAUGAGUUUGAUUUACAACUCACUAAGGAAUUAUGUCUCGAAUAGUGAGUGGAUUUGAUUACUGCUGAUGAUAUCUGGACUUCGGGUCGAAAUUUUUAUUAACUUUUCAGAAUUAUGACUUCAAGGUCUUAAUUUCCAAUCUCUUGUUGUUCUUAGUUCUUACAGAAUUUGCUUCACAGAUUCUUAGAGUGCUUGCUCAGACCCUCUGCCAGAGAACUUUCCCGAUCAAUAAUUUGGUCAGGAGUUCUUGUAUGUGCACCCACCACCACCAUGUAGUCGGCCAUUUCGACCGGCACCAAAGAAGCAUAUGAAUCAACUCAAACUCCUUUACCGAAGCAGAGCUCUGUAUCGAGAUUUUCGCUGUGGUUUCUCUGUUUUACUAGACUCCAAAAUCCAGCAUCCUUCCAUAUUUUCCUCGCAUCUGGGAACCAAAAUAAAGCAUGUGCCACAAUGAAAUCUCUAAGUGAUUAACAUAGGAGGAGCCAUUGUAAUUCUUCUUUAAAUAAAGUCAUAAGAUUGUUGGUUAAGGGAUUCCUUCAAAUAUAAUAGAAGAAGAGAGAUGGUAGAUUUUCAUGUAUAUCAAAUCGAAACAGCAAUCUCUCCACAUAUGGAUGUUAGUAGGCCUUUCAUGGGCGGACCCAAGAAGGGUCCCCUAGGGUUACUUGAUCCUCCAGUUUUUUCAACACUUUUUUUUUUUUUUUUUUGUCUUAGUUUUCGGGCUCACUAUGAAAUUUCAAAUGAAAUUGAAAUACUAUAUUUUUAAUAUCAUUUUGAAGUACUCACAGUCUAGUAUUUUCAUAUCGUUAAUGUUGUGUGAAAUAACCAAUCGUAGCAAAUGUUAUGACGCGUCAAAAUAGACAAUUUCAAAUUAAUAUUUCGAGAAUUUCGAUAACGAACUAACUUUAAAAAUUUUUCGACAACUAUACACUAGUCAUAUACAUAAAUCUUCUAUAUCCUCUUGAAGCUCAUUUCUAAAACUAUAUCAUAAACACAUUGAAUAAUCUAAAUAAAUAUCGAAAAUAGUUAAACGUACGUCAAACGUGUAUGCUAAAAAGAAACGUAUAACUUGUCUUUUUUGAAAAAAAAAUCAAUUAUUUUAUUAAUGCUUAUUAUUUUUGUGCGAAAAAUUUCUCAAUAUAAUUUACAUCAUUUAAUUAGGAAAUUUUAUAUGUGGUAUGAAGUCAAAUUUUUUUUUUUUUGACGUAAAAAUUCUUUAAAAAUUUUUUAUUACUUCAUAGGGGUUAAAAUUAUUAUACUACGUUUUCUUGGUUAUUUUUAUUUCUGAAAAAAAAUUUACAUGUAAAAAAAUUCAAUCAUUUUUAGGAAUUUUUUUAUAAUUGUUAUCUUUUCUUCUCGAUCAAUUUUUUUUUUCAAAUGACUCAAAAAUUAUAUUAGGAAAUUUAUUAGAUUAAUUUUUAAAAAAUUAAUGAUUGAGAGAAAAAAGUAACAAUAAUAAUAAAAAAUCCUAAAAAUGAUAAAAAAAAUUUAUAUAUAUAUAAAAAAAAAUUAGAUAUAAAAAUAAUCAAGAUGAAAAAGUAGUAUAACAAUUUAUAACCAAUAUAAAGUAAUAAAAAAAAUUCGUCUUUUUUUUUUUUUAAUUUGAUUGUGACCCCCUAAUAUAAAAUGUCUACGUCCACCUCUGACGCCUUUCCAAAGCGUUGCAAAUCUAUUCAUGAUUACAAUCAUAUAAUGGUGGCUGCUGGGUUUAUAUAGUACACACAAAAGACAAUGGAAAAGGGAGGCUGGAAGAGAAGAAAAUAAAUGGCGGCUGCUAUAGAAGAAAGUUGUGGUUGCCAGAGAAAGUUUUUCUUUCAACUCAACUUUGGGUGUGGAAUUCACGCAUGCUUUUAUUUUUAUUUUUAUUUUGCUUCGCUACAUAGUACAAAUUGUGAAUUGCUCUAAAGUAUAUUUUGGUAAUUCUAAAGAUGUAGUAUUCAAAGUAGGUAUCUCACAAAUUUCAUCAAAGUGAUUGUUUGUGAUGAGAUUAUUUCUUGUCCUUGGAGAUUGAUUAUUGUGGUAUUCUCCAAUUUGUUGACAAUUCAAAUUUUUGCUUAAAUUUGAAUAUUGUAAUAUAUAUUUAUCAAUUUGGAUUUGGCUUGAGUUAUCCCAUGAUUUUUUCCUGUACACUGGAGGGUUUUUCCAUGUAAAAAUUUGGUGUUGCGUUCUCUAGUUUUUUGCUUUGAUAAUUUACUUUCAUAUUUAAUCAUUGUAUUUAAUUGCUUGGAUUGUUGAAUUUAUUCUUGAAAUAUGCGAAAUUGCUUGGAUUGUUGAAUUUAUUCUUGCAAUAUGUGAAAUUGCCCAACACCUUGGUCCUUCUCAGGUCGCUGCAUCAAUCAUCACUAUACGGAAUUUUUUAGUAAUUGCUACUUGCUAAGUGAUAGGAUAAUUGGUAAUCUGUGAGUUUUUAAUUCCUUUGUUAGCUAAGCAUCAUUCCUAAAUUCAUGAACAUGCCUUGUAGCAUUUUUCUGUGUAUAUAUUCAACAAGACGGGAUGAAAAGAUUCAAGCUUCCCUUCUCAAUUUCUGUUCGACUUUUUAAUUUGCUAUAUGCAUAUUUCCAGAAGCCACUAAGUUAAUACGAAACAAAUAGAAAAAGGAAAUUUUUCUAUUACUAAACGUUGCAAGCUAUACAAUGGACAUAACAUUGCAAGUCAUGCAUUUGGAUGUUUUUAAAGACCAAAACAAACUGCUCCAUUGGAUGAGUAUCACAAGUUAAAAAUUCUACAAUGAAUUUUUGAUGUGGUGCAAAAGGAAUUGGACUUUAUGGAAAAGUGGGAUCGACGCAAGCAAAAAUAGAUAACUUCUCAAUUUUUGGAGAAAUGUUGGGGUUGUCCAUUUUUGGCUAAAUUUUAGUCAAAUUUGAUCGAAAACAUGUCAAUGAACAAAACUCAGCAGUUUUCCAUCUGAUGUAGGCCCAAUUUCGGCCCAAUUCUUUUGUUUAAGCUUUUUUCCUUUUUUGGUAAAUUUUGUUUUGGUUAUAUUUUUUUCAAUUUAAGUCAGAUUUGAAUUCCAUUUGUUGGAGGAUAAUCUUUAUGAUUAAAACUUUCAAUUUUAGUCAUUAUCUCGAUUUUUUCAAGUUUUGAAAAAAAAAUUAUUAUUAUUUUUUAUUUUUUCGAAUUUUCCUAGGGUUUUUCCUAUAUAAAAGCAUUGUAAGCCCUUUAUGGUCACGCUUUUGAGAGAAAUAGAUUUUUUUCAUGAGUUUUUUUCAUCUUGUUAGAUCUAUUCAUCUUUUCUAUAAUUUUCCGCUACGUCAAUUUUGGAAACAAAUCAACUUAUUCCAAAAUGACUAGGCCAAAACAUCGAAAUAAGUUAAAUCAUAGUCUACGUUAUUUCUUUCACGACGUAUAUCAUAUACUUCAAAUGAGCCAUUAUAUGUAUUUUAUGUUGGCGAAACUAUGAAACUGUGUAGAGUAAAUUUACAACAAUUACUAUUGUUAGGAAAAGUAUUUUAGUGCCACUGUUUCAGAAGUUACAUGACAUAUUGGCCUCUUAUUUGGUGAAACAAGAUUUUUGGAAUUGUAUGUGGAUCACAUUAUAGGGUUGCAACCAAUUGAUCUUGCUUUAUUUGACUCUUGCACUACAAUGGAAUUCAUUGAUUCUAUAUGUAGAAUUUCUAUUCAAAACUGGCUCAAUUCGGCUCGAUUCUGAAGAAAACCAGACCAAACAAGGUCGCUUCAUAGUUAACCUACAUUCAUUUUUUUCAAAACCUCAUUCAUUUUUUUCUGUAUUUUUUCUCUGCUCAUGCAAUUUGGAUCAAACAAAAUAUUUGAGAUAAUCUUUUCAAGAAAAAUAAUAAAACACAGCAUUCACAAAUAUGUAACUAAUGCCAAGAUUUCUAUCUGUGAAAGUUGUGACAGUAGGUAAUUCAAAAAUUAUUAUGAAGAUAGUGGAACUUAUUGAUGGAUACAGAUUUGUAUUAUUACCUCCGUCGUUUGUUGACUACAAGUUCACCAAGUUGCAACAUCAAAGGUAAUGCUAUCAACAAUGAGCAAUAAUGCUUACCAAAACAACAUCAAAUUUAUUUGUUAUCUUGCUCAAUCAUGCGCAUUAAUCUAGCAUAUGAAACAUACAAUAUAUUUCCCUAUGCAUAUAAACUGUCUCGAAAUUUUACUCUAAUUUACGAUUUAUAAUCAACUUUUGUGGAAUUGGCACUCUAUUAUUAAAAUUCAAUUGUGUGUAUCAUUUUUAUACACAUAUCUUGAGGUUUGUGAGAACCUAAAAUAUUUUGAGAAAAUGCUUCUUUGUGAUAAAAUGGUUAUGACAUGGGAGAAAAAAGAGGAGUGCGUCUGUGUAGGGGUGGCGGUGGUCAUGGUUGGCAACUAGGGGCGGAAUUAGAGGUGGGCUAGGCUGGGCUAUACAUUUAUUUUCUUAUAAAAAUAUAUUUUAUGACUAAAAAAAAUUAUGUGAAAUUUUUUUCUUUUACAGUUAGCCCAACAUAAAAGAUAUUUUAGUUCAGUCAUGGCUCCGUCUUUUAACAAUGACGACGUUGAUUAGGAAGGAUUUGUUAGGUGGAGUUUGGGGUGAAAUGUAGAAGAUAUUGAAUUUAUUUUUCUCUUUUUCUUUCUUUUUCAUUUUGGCUAUUUAGUUAUUUUUUAAGUGGUUUAAGUGUGUGGACUAUUUUUGUCCUUCCUUAAAAGUCAUGUGCAAGUCUGCAUACUUCACUUAACGGCUGCUUUGGAUGAAAGUCGUUUAGAGGGGAAUUAGUCCUAUUUGGUAUUGAUUAAAAUCAAAAUUUUAAUUUAAGACAAUGUCAACAAACAAUUUUAAUCGCUUAUCUCAUUGAUUUCACAGCUUUUCAAUCAUUUAUUUCAUCAAUUUUUAUUAAAAUAUUCUAAAAAUCUUAUUUUAAUUCUCAUCAAAUAGAUGCUUAAGUUUGCUAAUUUUUCAAAGAUCAAGGGCACAAACCGAACAAAACAUGGUUUGGGAGUAGGUUUGCUACUUUGCUUAAAAGUUGGGACUAAAAUUAGUUUCAUGUGGUGCGUGUUGGGAAAGUGAUUAGAUAAAUAUUUGAUAAUUAUAGUGGUGAUAUCUAUAUAAUAUAUGGACAAUAAAUGAACGAUGCAUAUGAAUAUUAUGACAUACAAAAAUAAAAACAUAAAUUUAAUCCACUUAAAUUAUAAGAGCACUGCUACAUUAACAGGGUCACAGACACCUUGUCAAUAGGAGGACAUGUAUCCCCUUGAAAAAACAAGGCCCAUGUGGCCUUGUUUGAGAAGAGUUAUACAAGUUAUAAUUCAAUCACUUGUGCAAAAUUUGUAAAAAGUGACAUUUUUCAAAAUGUGCUUAUCACAUCAGAUGGAAAUUCAUUUCCAACUUUGAUCAUUCAUUAUUUGGCGCACAAUACCAUGGAACUCCGAAGUCCAAAGUAGUCAACGAAGUUGGAAAUUAUCAUAAAUGAAUAUCAAUUCUUUCAACAGUGCAUUUCAAAUUUUCAGUAAAGCCUAAAGUAGUGAUUUGAAGGUUUUUGUAAUUUACUAAUAAAUUAGGAGUAAAAGAACAAUGGAUCUUGAUAAAAUGGUUAUGACAUGGGAGAGAAAAGAGGAGUGCGUCUGUGUAGGGGUGGUGGUGGUCAUCUGAUACUUUAGGUUUGUGACAACCUAAAGUAUUUUGACAAAUGAUGAAGCGUUUUCUUACCAUGGGCUCGUAAUGUGCAAUUCAAGUCAUUUUUCCUCUAUAUAAAAUUAAAAACAAAUACCAAAUUUGCAAAAACCAAAGUUUAAAUUCAUCACUUUUAAUAUAGUGUUACAUAGUCUAAAAUCAAACACACACCUAUAUUUAACAUAGAAGAUUUCGAAGAAUAAAAGUCACAUGAUCGAGUUAGGAACUUUUCAAUGGUAAGUUAGAAUAAAAGAAAAGAAAAAAUAGUAAAACAGUGUAGGAAUUUGUCAAGAAAAUGUCUUUCCAAAUGAAUCUUUUGGAGCUCUACAUUUUUUAGAUAUUUCAUUUUAAACUAAUUUCACUAAGAUUGAUCAAUUUAAUCCCAAAUAAUUUAAAAUAUUACAAUAUUCUAACAUAACUCUGCCAAACACAAAACAAUAUAGAUAUAUAAAGAUUUUUUGUCACGUACUCAUAUUGUAGCAUUCAAGUUAUUUCGCAACAUCCUUUAAAGAAAGGAGAAUUUUUUUUUUUUUUUUGAAGUGAUUGUGCUAAAUAAUAAGAAACAAUAAGUGGAUAUUAGAUAUUAAAUUGUAACGGACAUUAAAAUUGAUAAUAUUUUAAAGGAUGAAAGUUAAAUAAUGCAGGUAAAAGAUCACUAAGCAAUGGGGGUGAUAGAAAUAAGAAACAGAAAUUUCUAUUAAGCAACAGAAAUAAGCACCAUUGCAGUUUGAAAUCUAUCUUAAUUUGAACUAUAUCAAUAUGAUACUAAACUAACAAGGUAGUUGAUUAGUUUCUUAAGGGAAAUUGGCACAAAACGUCCCUACCUUUCAAGUGUAUUGUGGAAAACAUCCCUACCUUUCAUUUUUUGGCACAAAACGUCCCUACCUUCCACUUUCUUGGAGCUGAACGUCUUUUUCAUCAAUUUUUGACGAUUUUACCCUCCAUUCAAAUAAAACAAAAAGAAAAGAAAGGAAAAAAAACAAAAAACUAAUUGCAACCACAUUCCCAAAUUUUCUAAAAAUUGCAAAUGGUAACUUGAUAAUUACCGUAUUAAAUAAAUUGAAAAAAAAUAAAAAACUUCAGAAAAAAAUUUAAAAAAUGGGUUGUCUUCUUCACCCUACCCUACUAUUCAUCUUCUUCUUUGUAAGAAAAAAAAUUAAGAAAGAGAGACAGAGAGAGACUUUCCCCCAAAAUAAUUAUUUUGGUGCACAACAAAUCCUCCAAAUCCGAAGCCCCAUUACAUCUCUCUGCACUUCCCCUCUUUGUACAAGCUCCUUCAUUUUCAUAUCCAGUAUCAAACCCCAUUGUGCAGAGAGAUGUAAUGGGGCUUCGAAUUUGAAGGAUUUGCUGUGCAGAGAUAUUUUGUAUGGUGGGGUGGGGUGAAUAGUAGUGUAGGGUGAAGAAGACAACCCAUUUUUUUAAAUUUUUUUCUUAAUUUUUUGAUUUUUUUUUCAAUUUAUUUAAUAUGGUAAUUAUCAAGUUACCAUAUGCAAUUUUUAGAAAUUUUGGGAAUGUGGUUGUAAUUAGUUUUUUGUUUUUUUUCCUUUCUUUUCUUUUUGUUUUAUUUGAAUGGAGGGUAAAAUCGUCAAAAAAUGAUGAAAAGGACGUUCAGCGCCAAGAAAGUGGAAGGUAGAGACGUUUUGUGCCAAAAAAUGAAAGGUAGGGAUGUUUUUCACAAUACACUUAAAAGGUAGGAACGUUUUGUGCUAAUUACCCUUUUCUUAAUUAUUACAUAUCAUUAGCAUUAAGCUAGCGGUAAUUAAACAACAGUAUAGCAUUUUUUAUGCCCCGAAAUAUUAAGAUUCGGCACAUGUAAUUGCUUGAUUAAAAUAUAUAUGAAUGAAAAUAAUUCGAUAAAUAAGCUAAAAUUUAAUGGACAAGGUCUUGAAAUCGAAAAUCGAGCUAAUCUUUAUCCAAAAUCAAAAAUAAACUUAAAAGAAUGAAAGAAAGAAGACUUAUUCACGAAAAUUAAAAUAUUACCGGGGUUUGGAUUGAAAUCGACGAUCAGAAAUUAAUUUGACUAGUUAGUGAUUUUUUUUUUUUUUUCGAUUAUAAAUUUAUAUGGAAGAAAGAAACUAAAAUUUGUCUUUUUUGAAUUUAAAAAAUGGUUGGAACUAAUAUAUCAAUGUAAAAUACGUUAUCCACUAGCUUUUAUAAAUAAACGACGUCAAAAUAAGAACUCAUGAUCUUUACUUACUUCGAAAUCGUGUUGAACGAAAAACGUAAUAUAUAUUAAUGACCUGUCUCACAUGCCUUUUGUUUUUGAACCCUAUAGAAUGAUUUUUGAAGUUACCUUAAUUAUUAUUUGAAAAUUAAUCUUUAAAAGAGUUUCCUAAUUUGAAUGUACUUUUGGAGUAAGUCAUAUUAGACCAAAAUUCUCUAAAAAUUAUUAAAAACCAUACCUUCAUCAUCCGAUAGUCUAUGCACAGUUGCUGAAGUGCGGGCAGGGAAUCAAAGAACUCAAUGAAGUUAUAUUUUCUAUGAAUGAUAGAAUUGUAACACAGAGUAGUUAAGGAUUUCUUAAAAUAAACAUAUGCACGGAAACAUUUCAAUUUAACGAGUUUUAGCUUAGGAGCAUCAAUUGUUAAGUGGUGAAAUCCACUCGGACAUGCAACGCCAGUUGCUCCAGUUCUGGUGAGCUAGAUAUCAAACUUCCUAAUACAUCAGUAUCAAUGAUGACAUCAAGCAAUUCCAGUGUAAUCAGCCUAUUUAAACCUUUGAAGCUUGGCAGAGGACUGAUCGAACAAGUAGAAAGUUUCAAAUGUUUCAAUAGUGAACACAUAAACAGUUAAGAAGGCAAUUUGUACGCUUCAUACUUGUUCAUUUUCAAAGUGAAUUCUUCAAUACCUUUCUUCCAUAAGAUAUAUAUCAAAUGGUCAAUUUCAGAACCACCUGUGAGUUUUGGAAUAAUGAGGCUCGACUUAGUUAGGAUCCUUGGUGAAGUCAAAGAAUCUGGUAAAGGAUCCCUGCAAACUUCAUUCUAGCCAAUUCUUGGUUUCUCUCUGAUUCUUGCCAUAACGUAUCAUCAAAUAUCAGCUGUGGCAGUUUGACCCAUUUAUACCUCCAUUGCUUUGACAAGACACAUUAAUAUGAUCGCUAUGACAUUAUCAGGAAGAUCACUUAUCAUAUCAACAGGUUGGAAUUGGUCAAUCUUCAUUCUGCUAUGUAAUUGGCGAACAAAAUUCUGUAAUAACUCACAAUUAAUGAAAAUAUCAAAUUGCCUUAACUAACUUGCAUGCAUGCAGAAGAUAUUAACAAAUUCAACAUGAAGUUUACACAAUUUUGUUCGCUUUAUUUUAGUUUUUUACACCAAUAUUUUAAUAGUUAAAUUGGUCAUAUGACUAAGAAAUUAGAGAUAAUAUUCACAGUUGAUAUUUACAUUUGCUUAUGCUUGAAAUAUAAUUUCGAAAUUGCAAUAGCAAAAAAUUCAAGUGCUUAUUCACACCAAUCUUUAGUUUGUUGUUAUUCUUAGUGGUGGACAAGGGUGGCCAACUGCUUAAGUGCAUUCUUAGUAGUGGACAAGGGUGGCCAACUGCUCAUUCUAAUAAAGUAUGAACAAACAAUAAAAUAAGCACCUCAUAUAGAUUAUUUCAAGUUUUAUUGAAUUGUAUGCAUAUUAUAAUUAACUUUAAUUGGCCUGUCAAUGGCCUUGGACUUUCAAGGUAUAAUCCACUACAAUAUCUUAUUAAUCACAAUGAUUAUAAUUAACAAUAAGCAUUAAACAUAUCAUUAGGCAAUAUUAUAUUUUCAAAAAUUAGGAAAAGAGAAAUGUGAUGUUACAUGUUAAAAUUAAUUUUUUUUUUUUAAAGUUAAUUUUGAUAAAAAUUGAUGCAAUAUGUGCUUAGAAAGUUAUGAAUAUUAUAAAAUACGUGAACUAAAUGAAUUAUUGAUUUUCACUUUGAUAAAAAUCUAAAUUUUAAUUCUCAUCCAACAUACCUACUUACCCACAUAUGCUUCAUAUGAGCUGUGCAACACACUCUCCUUAAUAAUUAGUUAAUUACUAUUACAAACUGAAUCCAAGAAAACAUAGAUGAAAUCAUAAAUUCGCAGAUUACACCAUAAAUCCUAAAUCACAACAUCAAGGCUUAGAUCUUUCAAUCGAAGGCUCAGACCACACCCAUUUACCAUCACAGAGGCACCGGGACUCAAAAACGAACCCUCACAACCCAACACACCAAGGUCACUUCACUGGACUCAAGAAAUCAAACUGCCUACCUUCGAUCGAUCACUCACACAAAGGAAAAUCACACAAGAACAUGAUUAUCACAAAGAUAAUCAACCAGAAAUCUCACAAAGAGAAGAAGGAAGGGUCACACAGACAAAGGAACUCGAAGGUUCCAAACGGCAGAGAGAAAGAGAAAAACAGAAAGUGACGAUCCAAGAGCCAAACAGGGAGUAAGGAGGAUAUUUAUAGUAAAUAUCAUCAACCGUUGAUCAGCGGGUCAAUCCAACGGUCCAAGAGCGACUAAUGGUGUGUGGGCUGGAUAUUGGGCUCGGUUAAGUGGGCCUUCUAGGUAUAUAUUUAAUGGACCAAGUAAUAAAUCCAAUUUGGGCCUUUUCAUCAUUGCCUAACGUUGGACUGGAUCAAAUGGCAUCACAGCCCAACAAUUACUUUACAAGUCUUCUUUCUUCUUCCGUUUACAUUUCAUUCCCCUUUCUGGUUCAGAGCUACAACCUCCAUUUCCAUGACUUCUAAGCUAUAAGCUAAUCAAAAUUUUUUGUUUUUUGCUUCAGUGAUAGCGUCUAUUAUGCUUUAAACAAAAAUUUAGAGGGUAGACAACGUUCGCUUUCACUAUCUUUCUUUUUCCCUGCCAUUCGAACAUCCUCUCCUUUCCUUGCAAUGGAUAUCUCGUCCACUGAUCCGUUUACUACUCCUAUAGAUCUCCUUGAAAUUGUGAUCGACCAAAUAUCACGUGUCUCCUCCUCACAUGGACAUGUAAUUAAUAAGUUAAUUGUUUUUCAAGGAUUACUAUACUGUACAGACUUCGAAGAUAUUGAAGAAAUCAGAAACUAUUUCGAACUGUUAGCGUCAUUUGGGCAAGAGCUUAUGGUGUUCUUUACAGUCCCUAACCAACAAAUCUUUUCCAAUUUAACUCCCACGCUCAAUUCUAAUGAAGUUGUCGUGGCCUUCAUCAACUUUCUCCUCUUAAUGGUAGAAGUCAUCAUACAUUUUAAGGAAGAUUCGAUUGCUCGUGUAAAGGGUUCGUUCCAAAAUCUCCGGACAGAGCUUGGAUUUCUUAUCAGUUUUCUUGGGGAUACAGCAAUGCAUUUGCAGCCCACCAAGACUAUGUUGAUUGAUAUUGAAGACGUGGUCAAUGAGGUAGGAAGUUUCUUGUAUUUCUUACUUUUGUCCAUUGUUGUAUUCAUUCUGAUCAGUAAAGAAGAAGAAGAAGCCUGUACUAGAAAAAUGGAUUUGGAAUUUGUGGUUAAUGAGGUACAAAGUCUAUUUCAUUCCAACUUUUUCCACUUACCAUUGCUCUCCACUAUGGUGAAGGGAAGAAAGGGAAAAAAGGGAAGAAAGAUAAGAAAAAAACAGAAAAAGGCAAUGAUGGAUAUCAAAGCUCUGCUCCAUGAGAUAGGAAGUUUAUUAGGUUUCUUCUUCAUUUUCACCAAGAAUGAUCAAGUUAUGGAGACAGGAAUGUUGGGUCUUGCUCUUUCUCAUUUGUUAGCAAAGUUUGAGACCUUGAAAACAAAGAUCAAGGAGCACUGCAUCACAGUCUCAAAGAUGCCAAGUGAUAUGGCUCCAAAGGCUGGAGUGGUUUCACUCUUUAUUAUUGAUUCCGUCCUCGAUGAUCUCAUGGAUCUAACAAAUAACAAGUCUAACUCGACUGUUGUUGUGAAUGAUCAAAUUGUAAUGCUCCAUGAGGAGCUAAUGUUAUUGGGAUCAUCCAUCACGGAUAUAGUAUUGCAGCACGAAGCAAAACAUGAAGAACUUGUGACACGGAGCAGAGACAUAGCAUAUGAAGUUGAAUAUGUUAUCAACUCAUUUCCUCAUGUUUGGUAUCUUAGUCUUCGGCUUCCUCAACUCAUUGACAAGAUUCGGCUUAUUGUGAUGGCUGUCAAAGAAAUGAAGAACAAUAUUGAUGUAGCUAGAAUGUCAAAUGUUUCAAAACAUCCACAUGAACACAUAGAGUCACAGUCAAAAGAACCUCCCAUUUUGGAAGACAUUGUUGUGGGAUUUGACAAUGUAGCAAUUGAAAUUGCAGAACAACUUGUUGGAGGAACAUGCCAGCUGCAAGUUAUUUCCAUCUUUGGGAUGUCUGGGCUUGGUAAGACGACCUUGGCAAAUAAAUUAUAUAAACAUCCCUCCAUUUUAUACCAUUUUUACAAGCGUGCCUGGUGUGCUGUUUCUCAAAUAUAUAAUAAGAAAAAUUUGUUGAUUGAAAUUUUGAGCUCAAUGAGUAACAGUAAGAGGGAUACAUACAUGAAAAAGGAGGAAGAAAGCUUGGUUGAAGAUCUUUACAAAAACUUAAAAGGAAGGCGAUACCUCAUUGUGGUAGAUGAUAUAUGGGAUAUCAUUGUGUGGAGUGAUUUGAAAAGAUGUUUUCCAGAUGACGGAAUUGGAAGCAGAAUCUUAUUCACUACUCGAAAUAAAGAAGUGAGUUUGAAAGCUUCACCUCGUAGUGUCAUAAAUGAACUUCCUUUUCUGUCGGAAGUUGAGUGUUGGGAAAUAUUACAAGGGAAAGUGUUCCAAGAUAGAAAAUGUCCUCAGGAAUUGGUAGACAUUGGCAAGCUAAUUGCAAAAAACUGUCAUGGCCUACCACUUGCAGUGGUCGUAAUAUCUGGAGUUCUUGCAAACAUGGAGAAGAAAAAACACUUGUGGAAAAAAAUUGCAAAAAAUUUAAGUUCACAUAUAUCUGAAAUACCAGAGAAGUGCAUCCAAACAUUGCAACUUAGCUACAACCAUCUACCAAUGCAUUUGAAACCAUGUUUUCUUUACUUAGGAGCAUUCAGAGAAGACACAAAUAUCCCUGUACGAAAGUUGAUAUCUCUCUGGGUUGCCGAAGGAUUUAUAAAGAAGGAAGAACAUAAGAACAUAGAGGACGUGGCACGAGAAUAUCUAAUGAAACUAAUUGAUAGGAGCCUAGUACUCGUUGCUGAAAGAAGAUAUGAUGGAGGAGUCAAAACAUGCAAGAUUCAUGAUCUAUUGCGUGAAAUGUGCUUGAGCAUAGCUGAAGAAAAUAACUUUUUGAAGUUGAUCAAAGAGUAAGUUCAAUGUUUCUCUUCUAUUUCCUUUCCUUUCUGUCCAUUUUUUUUUUUUUUUUUUUUUUUUUAUUAAAAAAAAAAAAAAAAAACAAAAAAUUGUCCAUUUUUUUUUUUUUUUUUUUAGCUUACUAAGAAUGGUUAUUAUAUUUGAUGAUCGUAAACAAUGAUAUGGUUAUGUUGUUUUGUUACCAGUAAUGAUGAUGAUGAACAACGGUUGUUCAGUCAAGUAUCAACGUAUCAGCGGCACCAUCGUCUGAGUAUCAACUGUGCAAAAUAUCCUAGCUCGCUACCUGUUGGCCUACAUGUACGCUCUCUUCUAUUUGAUUUGGAUUUUAUGAGCUCCAUCAAAUUAAUCUCAUGCAGCUACAAAGUUCUUAGGGUCUUUUGUGGAUGGUCACUGUAUGAUUUUCUAAUAGGAUUUGAAUAUCUGGUUCACUUGAGGUACUUGGAAAUUUCAUGUACACUGCCACCAAUGGAAAACUUCCGCAAAUUAGAAUUUCUUGUUGUGUACAAUGAUGAUGAAAUUGAAAUACCUGAGAUCCUUCUUAAUAUGGUGAGUUUGAGACACAUGGAGUUUAACGGUGGUGCAUACUUCAGUGAAUCUAGCCGUCAGCUAGCAACUAACAGUAAGAGCUUCCAAAUAAAUAACCUACAAAGUAUUUCUGCACUCUCAAUUUAUGAUGAAAUGGAUGAGAAAAUUUUGAGAAGUUCACCCAACCUUCGCAGAGUACAAGUUAGCAUUGAGAAUUUAUUAAAUUGUUCCUUCAACUUCCUUUAUCAGCUCGAAUCACUGAAGCUAUCAACAGAAUACAAUACGCUUUAUUGGCGUUCCAGUCUGAUCAGUUUGCCCUUAAAUCUAAAAAAAUUAACUCUAGUUUGUGUAUAUCUGUCUCGAAAACAAAUGGAGAUAAUUGCAAGAUUGCCAUGCCUUGAGGUUCUCAAAUUAGUAUCUGCUGCCUUUGAGGGAGAACAAUGGGACACAAGUGAAAGUGAAUUCCCUCAACUUAAAUACUUGAAACUUUGUGGUGUAAAAAUUGCAGAAUGGAAUGCCUCAAGUGAUAAUUUCCCAAGGCUUCAACGAAUAGUAUUGGAAUAUUGCGAGAAUCUAAAGAUGAUCCCUUCUAAUUUAGGUGAUAUUCCAACAUUACAGAAGAUUGAGUUAUUUAUGUGUGGUCAAACUGCAAAUGAAUCAGCUAAGAAAAUUGAGGAAGAACAAAAGGAGAUGGGGAAUGAAAAGUUUGAAGUCACAAUCUCUAACACAUUCGAUGAUAUUGAAGCCAUUCUCUCACCCAUUUCCCCGCAGGAGAUGAAGGAAUUCUACGGGAGCGAAAUUCAGAAGGUACAAAUGAAGGAGAAUCUCUCCAUUAAUUCUCUUUCACGUUCUCAUCUUAGUGUUGUUAUACUAGAAUGAAACAUCAAAUAAAUUUUUGGCUAAUAUUGAAAUUAAUGGAUUAAAAUCAUAUUUUUAGUAGAUUUUCAUGAAGUUUGAUAAAAUGUGUGAUUAAAAAGUUAAUAAAAGUUACAAGUCUCAUAAAAUGUGUGAUUGAAAAUAAGUUUGGGAAAAAAAUGAGUUACAAAAAAUUGGGGCCAAACAGGAGCUAAGGUUGGCUCUACUCUAUGAGCCUCUUAAUGUCAUUCUAAGAAUUACUAGCCCAUAAGGUUCUAUGUUUUUGGCAUUGAUUCUCUAUUAUUUCAGCUUUUCAUAUUUUUCUACUAUAUAAUCGUGUUUACAUAAAAUCACAAUGAUCACAUUUUCACUUCUAGUUCAAUUAAGUCCUCGAAAGAAUUUGUUUAUUUAGCCUAAGUCGCCCAUUAAUUGCAUAGGCAGUCCUUCAAUGUCCAAACUUGAUACCUUAGUCCUUGAUUCCAAAUUCCAUCUAACUUCCAUCCAUCUUGGUCAAAUAUCGCCCCUUUUUAUUCUUUCUUGUUCAAUACUGAUUUUUUUCCUAAAAUAAUCAAUAAACACACAGAAUUAAGUUUUCUAGCUCAUAGUGAUCUUGCAAAAAAGCUGACUGUGUUGAAAUAAAGGUGUACCCAUUAGUUUACAAGCUUGUAACAUUGGCGUUAAUUCUUUCAGAAGUCCAUUCUCGGUGAUUGAGAUUUUCAAGAAUCGAUUGCAUAAUUGGAAAGGAGAUCAAUGGUUGAGCGACACUUUGAUGGCGUAUAUUGAGAACGAUGCAUUUGCCACUAUUGAUAAUGAUGUAAUUAUACUAUGUUUUCAAUGUAUUAAAAUUUGUAUGCGGCAGUUAUAGUAAUGUAUUGACUUAUUUUCGUUAAUAUAUUGUUUUUUUAGAAAAAAAUUGUAUCUUAAUUUUUGAUCCUACAAUGAAAAUUGUGUGGCUCCGCCAAUGUUAUUAGGCUUGAUUAAAACAAUUAUCUUUGGUGGAAAAAUCAACUUCUGAAUGUUAUAAUGGCUAGUGGAUUAGAGGGUUUUAUUGAUGGUACAUAUACUUUCCCCCCACAGUAAGCAGCACAUAUACUUUCCCCCCACAGUAAGCAGCAUGGCAGAGGUUUAAUAGGCUUGUAACGAGUUUGAUUUACAACUCACUAAGGAAUUAUGGCUUCAGUAGUGAGUGGAUUUGAUUACUGCUGAUGAUAUCUGGACUUCGGGUCGAAAUUUUUAUUAACUUUUCAGAAUUAUGACUUCAAGCUCUUAAUUUCCAAUCUCUUGUUGUUCUUAGUUCUUACAGAAUUUGAUUCACAAAUUCUUAAGAAUGCUUGCUCAGACCCUCUGCCAGAGAACUUUCCCGAUCAAUAAUUUGGUCAGGAGUUCUUGUUUGUCCACCCACCAUCACCAUGUAGUCGGCCAUUUUGCCCUGCACCAAAGAAGCAUACGAAUCAGUUCAAACUCCUUUACCCGAGCAGAGCUCUGUUUUGAGACUUUCGCUGAGGUUUCUCUGUUUUAUUAGAAUCCAAAAUCCAGCAUCCUUCCAUAUUUUCCUCGCAUCUGGGAACCAAAAUAAAGCACGUGCAACAGUGAAAUCUCUAAGUGAUUAACAUAGGAGAAGCCAUUGUAAUUCUUCUUCAAAUAAAGUCAAAAGAUUGUUGGUUAAGGGAUUCCUUCAAAUAUAAUAGAAGAAGAGAGAUGGCAGAUUUUCAUGUAUAUCAAAUUGAAACAGAAAUCUCUACAUAUGGAUGUUAGUACGCCUUUCCAAAGCGUUACAAAUCUAUUCAUGAUUACAAUCCUAUAAUGGUGGCUGCUGGGUUUAUAUAGUACACACAAAAGACGAGGGAAAAGAGAGGCUGGAAGAGAAGAAAAUAAACGGCGGCUGCUGUAGAAGAAAGUUGACUGUGGGUGUGGAUUUGACGCAUGUUUUUUUUUUUUUUUUUUUUUUUUUUUUUUUUAAUUUAGUACAAAUUGUGAAUUGCUCUAAACUAUAUUUUGGGUACUCCAAAGGUGUAGUAUUUCACAAGUUCCAUCAAAGUGAUGGUUAGUGAUGAGAUUAUUUCUUGUCCUUGGAGAUUGAUUAUUGUGGUAUUUUCCAAUUUGUUGACAAUUCAAAUUUUGGGACAUAAACUUAAAUAUUAUAAUCUAUAUUUAUUGUAGUGGAUUUGGCCAGAGUUGCCCCUUGGUUUUUUCAUGUACACUGGAGGGUUUUUUCCACGUAAAAUUUUGGUGUUGCUUUCUCUAGUUUUUUGCUUUGAGUAUUUACUUUCAUAUUUAAUCACUGUAGUUAAUUGCUUGAAUUGUUUAAUUUAUUCUUGCAAUAAAUGAAAUUGUCCAACACCUUGGUCCUUCUCACUUUUCAGAUUGCUGCAUUUUUCAGUAAUUGCUACUUGCUAAACGAUAGGAUAAUCAAUAAUCUGUGAGUUUGUAAUUCCUUUGUUAGCUAAACAUCAUUCCUAAAUUCAUGGACGUGCCGCCGUAUAGCAUUUUCUUUGUAUAUAUUCAAUAAUACUAAAUAAAAAGAUUCAAGCUUCCCUUCUUAAUUUCUGUUCGAAUUUUUAAUUUGCUAUAUAUAUGCAUAUAUUUCCAGAAGCAGCUAAGUUAAUACGAAACAAAUAGAAAAAGAAAAUUUUAUUAUUCAAAAAUCUUUCACCCUAUCUAUCCUCAAAGUUCAAAACAGGAGGGGGUGUUUCUCCUUUUUCAGUAUUAUUAUGCAAUUGACUCUUCGUGUAAAGAGUUGAUAGAACUGAUUGACUCAAAAAGAUAAUAUAUAUGGAGGUACCAACAAUAAAUGACAACGUCAUUAUAGUUGAUGACGUAAAAUAAGUAUAACUUUACUGAAAUAAAUGACGGGCAUCAUUUUUUACCGCUAUAUCAUCGACUUCCAAGUGACAGAAUUAGACUAAGAGCAUCUAAGCAUCUGAAUUCCUGAACCCACCAUUCUUUCAAAAGAUUUUUGAUAGGUCAAGUUUGAAUAAAGUUCAUUUCUAUUCAUCAAAUUAAACUACUAGCUCUAUCACAUUUAUCGACCUUUAGUUCAUUCUUAUAGACAUACUCCAUAAGUAUUAGUUAACAUAGUAGGCCAAAAUUGUAGAUUACGUACUUGUCCAUGUAAAUUGAUUUAUCAUAUGAUCUUUUAAUUGUCCACCUCAACUCCUCCAGUAAUUUGUCUUGAAUGUCCAAUAUUUUAAAAGCAUUAAAGCGUCCUUUGUGAUAUCCAAGUUCGAACAAGUAGCUAUAGACAUGUCUUCGAUGUGAUAUUGAAGUAUUAAGAAAUAAAAUUAAAUUGCUUACAAACUAAUUAGUUCACAUCUACCCUUCUACAAUAUAAAGAUAGCUUAGUUGAGCUUGUAUAGAGAGCACAAGUUUUUUGAAAAAGAUAUUUUUCACAACAUAUUCCAAGUAAUCCAGUUUUGAAGUCAACAAAACUGCAAUAUUGUGAUGUGAUCCAAGAAGCACAAGUAACAAAGUCAAGUCCAGAGUCGAGCCCAAGGAAAGAUCCGUUGAUAGUCGAGGGGCCAAUGAAUCUCAGUCUCAAAGAUGCCAAGUGACAUGGCUCCAAAGACUGGUGUGGUUUCAGUCUUUAUUAUUGAUUCCGUCCUCGAUGAUCUCAUGGAUCUAACAAAUAACAAGUCUAACUCGAUUGUUGUUGUGAAUGAUCAAAUUGCAACGCUCCACGAGGAGCUAAUGUUAUUGGGAUCAUCCAUCACGGCUAUAGUAUUGCAGCACGAAGCAGAACAUGAAGAACUUGUGAUACGGAGCAGAGACAUAGCAUAUGAAGUUGAAUAUGUUAUCAACUCAUUACCUCAUGUUUGGUAUCUUUCUCUCCGGCUCCCUCAACUCAUUGACAAGAUUCGGCUUAUUAUGAUAGCUGUCAAAAAAAUGAAGAACAAUGUUGAUGUAGUUAGAAUGUUAGUUGUCUCAAAACAUCCACAUGAGCUGGUAGAGUCAGAGUCAAAAGAACCUCCCAUUUUGGAAGAAAUUGUUGUGGGAUUUGACAAUGUAACAAUUAAAAUUACAGAACAACUUGUUGGAGGAACAGGCCAGCUGCAAAUUAUUUCCAUCUUUGGGAUGCCUAGACUUGGUAAGACGACCUUGGCAAAUAAAUUAUAUAAUCAUCCCUCCGUUUUACAGCAUUUUGACAAGCGUGCCUGGUGUGUUGUUUCUCAAAUGUAUAAUAAGGAAAAUGUUUUGAUUGAAAUUUUGAGCUUAAUGAGUAACAGUAAGAGGGACACAUACAUGAAUAUGGAGGAAAUAAGCUUGGCUAAAAAUCUUUACCAAAGCAUAAUAGGAAGCCGAUACCUCAUUGUGAUAGAUGAUAUAUGGGAUAUCAAUGUGUGGAUUGAUUUGAAAAGAUAUUUUCCAGAUGACGGAAAUGGAAGCAGAAUCUUAUUCACUACUCGAAAUAAAGAAGUGGGUUUGAAAGCUUUACCUCGUAAUGUCAUAAAGGAACUUCCUUUUCUGUCGGAAGUUGAAUGUUGGGAAAUAUUACAAGAAAAAGUGUUCCAAGAUAAAAAAAUGUCCUCAAGAAUUCCUAGACAUUGGCAAGCAAAUUGCAAAAAGCUGCCAGGGCCUACCACUUGCAGUGGUCGUGAUAGCUGGAGUUCUUGCAAACAUGGAGAAGAAAGAACUCUUGUGGGAAAAAGUUGCAAGAAACUUAAGUUCACAUAUAUCCGAAAUACCAGAGAAGCACAUCCAAAUAUUGCAGCUUAGCUACAACCAUUUACCAAUGCAUUUGAAACCAUGUUUUCUUUACUUUGGAGAAUUCGAGGAAGACAAGGAGAUCCCUGUAAGGAAGUUGAUAUCUCUCUGGGUUGCCGAAGGUUUUAUAAAGAAGGAAGAAAAGAAGAACAUAGAGGACGUGGCACGAGACUAUCUAAUGAAACUGAUUGAUAGGAGCCUAGUACUUGUUGCUGAAAGAAGAUAUGAUGGAGGAGUCAAAACAUGCAAGAUUCAUGAUCUAUUUCGUGAAAUGUGCUUGAAAAUAGCUGAAGAAAAUAACUCCUUGAAGUUAAUCUCAGAGUAAGUUCAAUGUUUCUCUUCUUUCUCCUUUCCUUUCCAUCCAUUUUUUAUUUUAGCUUACUUAGAAGGUUAUUAUAUUUGAUAAUCGUAACAAUGAUGUGAUUAUGUUGUUUUUGUUGCCAGUAGUGAUGAUGAUGAUGAAGAUAAACAACAGUUCUUCAGUCAAGUAUCAACGUAUCAGCAGCACCAUUGUUUGAGUAUCAACUACAUGGACUAUCCUAGUGGCCUACACGUACGCUCUCUUCUAUAUGAUUUUGUUUUUGAGAGCACAGUCACAUUAAUCUCAUGCAGCUACAAAGUUCUUAGGGUCUUUGAUUUUAAGAACAGGUCAACAAUCCUAGAUCUAGUGAUAGGAUUUGAAAAUAUGGUUCACUUAAGGUACUUGGCAAUUUCAUAUAAAUGGCAACCAUUGGAUUUGGAAAGGUUCCACAAACUAGAAUUUCUUGUUGUGGACAAUGUUGAUAAAGUUGAAAUACCUGAGAUCCUUCUUAAUAUGGUGAGUUUGAGACACAUGGAGUUCAAGGGCGGUGCAUACUUCGGUGAAUCUAGUCGUCAACUAGCAACUAAUAGUAAGAGCUUCCAAAUAAAUAUCCUACAAAGUAUUUCUGUACUCUCAAUUUACCAUGAAAUGGAUGAGAAAAUUUUGAGAUGUUUACCCAAUCUUCGUAGACUGAAAAUCAAUGUUGAAAAUUCACCAAAUCAUUCGUUCGAUUUCCUUAAUCAGCUUGAAUCGUUGAAUCUAUUUUUUUAUUCUACCAAUUUGAUCGGUUUGCCCUUAAAUUUGAAAAAAUUGAGACUGCAAUUUGGAGAUGUGUGAAAAGGCUAUAGUUCGACCCAAAUAAUACCUAGAGGGGGGGUGAAUAGGUGUUUAUGCGAAAUUUAACAAUUUAAUUAACUUAUGCAACAUGUCACAUAAGUACGCUUUGUCCAGAUUCAUUCACAUAAUUUAGCUACCUAAGUUGAAUUGCCGCGUUGAAAUCAAAACAACAGAAAACAGUAGAAACGCAACAAAAUGUUGAUGGAGAAAACUCAACUGGGUAAAAACUCUGGGCACAAGCCAAUAGAGAUCCACUAUAGAAGAUAUUGACUUACAGUACGCCAGACAUAAUUGAAUCUAACAAUACUUUGACCUCCUUACUGUAUCAACCAAAAUUCUCCUGGAUUUUGCAGAUCUGCGCCAAAAUCCCAGCCCUGAAUUUCUUCUAUCUCCCGUGAAUCACCAAGCACUCCAGUUCUUCAAGCAGUUUCCUUCCCGGAUCUUCAAACAGAUGAUCUUUUGGAAGUUGAUAUGGAGAUUUGAAUGGUGUUUUGGUUUUGUGAAGGUUGAUGUUUUUCUCUAAUAGAGCAAAAGAUGAAAAGAAAGAAUUUUUUGGCUCUAAAUCCUUUGGUUGUUGAGAGAAAUUUUUAUUUGUGUGUUUUCCCAAGGUUAUAAAUGAAAAACGGAAUUUUUGUUUAUAUAGUAGGUCGUUUUUGGUAGUAUGGAGCAUUUAAAAUUCGCGAGGAAGGAAAAUUACCAAAAGCUAGAUAGCACUGUCGCUCGAGCGAAGUGCUGGCGAAACUCGAGCGACGCACCUUCGCUCGAGCUACCCCUCAGCGAAACUCUAGCGACAACAGUUCUGUUAUUUAGGCUCGAGCGAGGUCAGGGUGAAACUCUAGCGAGAUCAACGCGUCGUUUGCAUCUUCAAAGCAUCCAACUUUACCCUAGACAUAUGCUAUAAACUUUGCAAAAUUGCAACACAAGUCCCUGAACUUUUUGGACCUUUACAAUGUAGUCCUUGACUUUACAAACUUGACAAAUUGGUCCUUUGGUCACAGAUUGCCAAUGACAACAUUUUUCUAACAAUGUGUCUCGAAAACAAAUGGAGAUUUGGAAGAUUGCCUUACCUUGAGGUUCUCAAACUAGAAUCAGUUGUCUUUGAGGGAAACAAUGGAACACAAGUGAAGGUAAAUUCCCACAACUUAAAUACUUGAAACUUGUAUGUGUAAACAUUGCAGAAUGGAAUGCCUCAGUGAUAAUUUCCCGAGGCUUCAACUAAUAGUAUUGAAUUUUUGCCGGAAUCUAAAGAUGAUCCCUUCCUGUUUAGGUGAUAUUCCAAUGUUACAGAAGAUUCAGGUAUAUAGGUGUGGACAAACUAUCAAUGAAUCAGCUAAGAAAAUUGAGGAAGAACAAAAAGAGAUGGGCAAUGAAGAGCUUGAAGUCAUUAUCUCUGAAUAGGAAAUUGACAUCGAGAAACUUCCAAAGGUAAUAAUGAGAGAGAUUCUCUUCUUUAACUCUCUUUCAUGUUCUCAUCUUGGUCCGAGGUAUUAAACAUCAAAAACAUCAAAAAUUAAUUCUACUGUAAUUUUGCCUUCUAUUGAAAUUAAGCUCAUGUUUGGUUUGGAUUAAAAUCAGAUUUUUAAUAGAUUUUCAUAAAGAUCAAUAAAAUGUGAUUGAAAAAUUAAUAAAAGUUGCGGGUCUCAUAGAAUAUGUGGUUGAAAAUGAGUUAAAGGGAAAAAUGAGUUUUAAAAAUUGGGGACCAAAUAGGCUAAGUUGGCUCAAUUUUAUGAGCUUCUUGAUGUUAUUCUAGGAAUUACUAAUCCAUAAGGUUCUAUGUUUGGACAUCGAUCUCUAUUAUUUCUGCCUUUCACAGAUUUUACCAUAAAAUCGUGUUUAAAUAAAACCCCCAAUGAUCACAAUUUCACUUCUAGUUUGAUUCAGUCCUCGAAAUAAUUUCAUUGUUUAGUCCAAGUCCUCAAUGAAUUGCAUGGGAGGUCCUUCCACUUCUAAACUUGUUAUCUUGGUCCUUGAUUCUAGAUUCCAUCCUUCUUGAUCAAAUAUUGGCCCUUUUUAUUGUUUCCUGUUCAAUACUGGUUUUUCUCCUAAAAUAAUCAUCAAAUACGCAAAAUUAAAUAUAUGCUCAUCAAUGUAUUUCCAAACAUCCUCUUUUGAUGGCUUGGAUAAGUAUAAAAUCAUACUUAUCAACUGUCAUCGAUAUGCAAUUUCAGGAGACGGGUGAUCUUUUUUUAUUUUUCCAAGGCAAAUAGUGAUUUACUCAUUUGUAUUGCAUGUUUGUGUUUGCACAAUUCGCUAAAGGACAAGUGAAUUCAAUUGUGUGAGUAAUAUGCCAAAUAUUUUAAACCAGUAGAGAUCUUUGCAUUGAUGAUCAUAUUUAGACAUAUAUUAUUGAUAUGCACACUCAAGAGAUUUUAUUAGGGUUUGAAGACCUUAAUGAUCUUGCAUAAAAGUUUGUUCUGACUUAAAAAGGUGAACCCAUUACUUUACAGACUUUUAACAUUGGUGUUAAUUAUUUCAGAUGCUAGGGUUGGUACGUUCUUGGCAAACAAGAUGAUCAAAAAUCGAUUGCAUAGUUGGAAGCAAGAUCAACGGUUGAAUGACAUUUUGGUGGCGUAUAUUAGAACGAUGUAUUUGAUGAUAUUGAUAAUGAUAUAAUUAUACAAUGUUUUCAAAAUAUGAAAAUGUGUAGGCUACAAUUAUAGUGAUAUAUUGACUUGUUUUUAGUAAUACGUUGUUUUAGAAAAAUUGUAUUUUAAUUUUUAAUCAAACAAUGAAAAAUGUGUGGCUUCACAAUCAUAUUAGGCUUGAUAAAACCAAUUAUCUUCGGUGGGAAAACCAAAUUCUGAAUGUCACCAUGGCUAGUGGAUUAGAAGGUUUUAUCGAUGGUACAUCUACUUUUCCAUCAAAGUUUGUUGUACAACUGCUCAUUGGGUCGAAAUUUUUAUUAACAUUGCAGUAUUAUGACUUCAAGCUUUUCAUUUCCCAUCUCUUCUUGUUUUUCCUGAAUUUGCUUAUCAGAUUCUUAAAUUGCUUGCUCAGACCCUCUACCAGAGAAGUUUCCCAAUCAAGAAUUUGCUCAUAAGAUUGUUGGUUAAGGGAUUCCUUUAAAUAAAAUAGAAGAAAGACAGUAAAUUUUCAGAGAAGUUUCCCAAUCAAGAAUUUGCUCAUAAGAUUGUUGGUUAAGGGAUUCCUUCAAAUAAAAUAGAAGAAAGACGAUAAAUUUCCAGAGAAGUUUCCCAAUCAAGAAUUUGCUCAUAAGAUUGUUGGUUAAGGGAUUCCUUUAAAUAAAAUAGAAGAAAGACAGUAAAUUUUCAGAGAAGUUUCCCAAUCAAGAAUUUGCUCAUAAGAUUGUUGGUUAAGGGAUUCCUUCAAAUAAAAUAGAAGAAAGAUGGUAAAUUUUCAUGUAUAUCAAAUUAAAACAGCAAUCUCUACAUAUAGAUGUUAGUACGCCUUUCCAAGGCGUUACAAUAUUUCUAGAACCAGCCUAGUUGAUACGAAACAAAUACAAAAAGAAAAUUUUAUUAUUCGAAAAUCUUCCACCCUGUCUAUCCCCAAAGUUCAGAACAGGAGGGGGUGUUUCUCCUUUUUCAGUAUUAUUAUGUAAUUGACUCUUCGUGUAAAGAGUUGAUUGAAUUGAUUGACUCAGACGGAUAAUAAUAUACAUGGGGGCGCCAACAAUAAAUGAUUAUGUAAUUAUACUUGCUAAUGCAAAAUAAGUAUAACUUCAUUGACAUAAACGAUAGGCAUCAUUUUUUACUGCUAUGCCAUCGAUUUCCAAGUGACAAACUAGACUAAGAGCAUUUAAACAUCUGAAUUCUUGAACACACCAUUCUUUCAAAAGAUUUUCAAUGUGUCAAAUUUGAAUAAGGGUCCUUACUAUUCAUCAAAUUAAACUACUGGCUCUAUCACAUUUAUCGACCUUUAGUUCAUUCUUUUGGACGUACUCCAUAAGGGUUAUCUAACAUAUUAGGCCAAUAUUGUAGAUUACAUACUUGUCCAUGUAAAUUGAUUUAUCAAAUGAUCUUGUAAUUGUCCACCCUCAACUCCUCCAGUAAUUUGUCUUGAAUGUCCUAUAUUUUAAAAGCGUUAAAGCGUCCCUUAUGGUAUCCAGGUUCGAACAAGUAGCCAUGGACGUGUCUUCGAUUUGACAUUGAAGUACUAAGAAAUGAAAUUAAAUUGCUUACAAACUAAUUAGCUCACGUCUACUCUUCUACAAUAUAAAGAUAGCUUACUUGAGCUUGGUAUUUUUCGCAACAUAUUCCAACUAAUCCAAUUUUGAAGUCAGUAAAACUGUAAAAUUGUCUAUCAACUCAAGUACAUACUUUCUUUGACUAAAUGUAUGCUUUAGGAAAUCCGUAAAAAUAAAUUGUCACGAGUCGCGUUAUCUAAUCAUACCAAACUUGCCACGAUGAAAUCAAAACUUAUCGCGACCAAACUAUUGUUAUACGCAACAUCAUGCACAUAAGAUCAUAAAUUUUAUGCACAAAUCUUUCAGAAGUCUACAGCUUCGAUUUUCAAACCAUAACUGGAGAAAGCAUGAUCCACGUCUGGAAAACAUAUUAAGCGCUUUCAAAAUUGCUUUGAGUAAACCUAUCAAAUGAAAUAACAUGCAAUCUAAUAAAUGUUUUCUUGAUAUGAUCUGGAAUCUGAGAUGUUAACCAUGACAACCGAGACAAAAAAAAAAAAAAUAAUAAUAAUAAUAACUAUUGUUUCAAAAAGCCCGUGUCGCAAGAUUGAAGUACUCCUGACCUCCUAGCUAGACAGAGGUUCAGGAUUCGUCUUCGUCUUCAUCUUUGUCCUCGUCUUCAACUUCAACUUCAUCUUCAAAAUCUACAUUAUCGACCUUUGCAACAGGAGAUGCUCACCAAAACUUGUUCAACUGUUUUAGAAUCUGAAGUCCUACGUCAGCGACAGCGUUGGCCAUUGACCAGAUCACUAUUCUUUUCAGCUUAGGCGAUUUUUCUAGUAAAAGCUUAGUGACUGCCAUCUCAGCAACUGUGCCUGAAAUAAAAUGCAGCUUCACUUUUUGAAGUCGAUUUGAAGUUACAUCUGAGCAGUCUUGCACUUACAGAAAAUCUGGAAUAGGACUAGCAUCAGCAUUUGCAGCACUCUCACAAAUCUAGACAUUAAAGCAAGAUAUCACUGAGCUUAAACUUUUGUUUUAAAAUGGAAAAUUGAAGAUGUAAAUUGUAAUGGUCAUAUCCAUCACUUACCUCGAAUCUCAGUUCCUCAAGGUUGAGGGCGCUGCUGAUCAAGCACAAAACACGAGAGUUCAUCCAAUAAAUUAAAAAAUAUAUAAAAUAACCUCUGAUCAAGCACAGAACACAAGAGAGUUCAUCCAAUAAACUAAAAAAUAUAUAAAAUAACCUCUGAUCAAGCACAGAACACGAGAGUUCAUCCAAUAAAUUAAAAAAUAUAUAAAAUAACCUCUGAUCAAGCACAGAACACAAGAGAGUUCAUCCAAUAAACUAAAAAAUAUAUAAAAUAACCUCAGAACUUUAAGGUGGAUUAAAGUAGCUGGAAGCCUUUCUUGGACUUGACCUGCAGCCAAAAUCUUGAGAGCAGUGGUAAAAGCACGAUCUAAUAUAGUUAACUUGACGAUUUCAAGGGAUUGUAUUUAUAAUCAAAAAUACCUUAAUGACAGUAUAGUUCAAGAAUAUUUUCUGAAGGCCAAUAAACUUCAUACAAAAGAGAAUAAAAAAACUGAAUGAAGUUACAUUUCCCAUCUUGCAAAAUAUUGUCAACCACCCAAUCAUUAUGUGAAGCAACAAAAAUUAUUGCAAGAAGAGUGAAUUUCUUAAAACAAAACAAUGAUGUAGGAAACAUGUCAAUUCAAAGUGUUUUAGCAUAGGAGCAUCAAUUUCUAAGUAGUCAAAUUUGUUUGAAACAUUCAGCAACAGUUUCUCCAGUAAUGGGCAGCUAGAUAUCAAACUUCCUAAUGCAUACAUCAUAAUCAAUUGUCACGUCAAGCAAUUCCAGCCAAAUCAUCCUAUUAAAUCCUUCAAAGCUUGGUGGAGGAGGAUUGAUCAAACAAGACAACAGCUUCAAAUGUUUCAAAUGUAAACACAUAAAUAGUGAAGAAGGCAAUGUGUACUGUUCUCCGCUCUUGAUUUUAAAGGUGAAUUCUUCAACACUGUACUUCCAUAAGAUAUGUAUCAAGUCGUCAAUGUCUGAGCAAUUUUAAGUUUCGGAAUAACGAAGCUCAAUUUAGUUAUGGGUCCUUUACGAAGCAAAAGAACCUUGUAAAGGAUCAACAAGAAUUUCAUUCUAGCUGAUUCUAGGUUUCCCUCAUAUUCUUGCCAUAGGGUCUCAUCAAAUCUCAGUUGGGGUAGUUUGACCCAUUUAUACCUCCAUUGUUUUGACAAAAUACUUGUCUUUGCAGCAUCAUGUAAAGUCAAAUGCAUUAGAAUGCUAUCUGCUACAUUGUCAGCAAGGUUGCUUACCCUAUCAACAGGUUGGAACUGGGUAAUAUCCAUUCUGCAGUGUUAUUGAAAAGACAACCCUUUAAUGACACCUCACAAGUAAUAAAUGUAUAAAAUUUACCUUAGAAGUAAUAUGCAUGCACACGGUAGAUAUUAAAGAUCCAACAUGAAGGUUUCCCCAUUGUCUUGCAUUAUUUUAAUAAUCCUACGCAAAAGUUUUAACAGUUAAAUUUUCCAUAUUUUAUAUCCCAAAAUUUGAAAAAUGGGGAUUACAGUUUCUUAAGCAUGGAUACACUUGCCCUCAUGCGUUAGAAAUUAAAAAAUUAUAAAAUAUCGGACACAACAUGUGGUGUGUUGAACACAUCUGCCUUAAGUCUAGGAAAUUUAAAACUGAUAUAUAAAAGAAUAUACGCCACGUGACAUAUUGGUAGUAGAAUGAGUGUCAUCCUUCAUAGCUGGUUAAAUUAUCAAAACAUUCAUAUGUUACCCACCAGGAAAAUAGAGACAGGUUUCACAAUUGAAAUUUACAUUUAUACAUGCCCUCGACAAAGUGGCUGUUAAGGGAUAUAAACCCACAUCAAAUAAAGAUGAAAAUAUAAAUCAACUUAUAAGAUUUUGUGCUACUCCUAUUUAUAAGGUUGAUCUUUUAAGAUGGAACUCUCAAUCUUAACAUAUCAGAGACAUUAAGCUCUAACAAACGAUUCGAUCCGAUUAAGAAUAUAAAAAAAUGAGCAUACGGACACCAAGAUUGGUUUGCUCAAAAGAGCCACCAUCUUGCUGUGGGUUUGUUAAGGAACAUAAUCUCAUAUCGAAUAAAGAUGUAAACUUGGACUAGUUUAUAAGUUUUGGGCUAUUCCUCUUAACAAAGUUGACAUUUUAAGAUGGACCCAAGUCUUAAAAUGGUAUGUUAAGGGAUAUAAUCCUACAUCGAAUAAAGAUGGGAACAUAGACCAACUUAUAAGGCUCUCGGCUACUCCUCUUAACAAGAUUGGCCUUUUAAGAUAAACUAUAAAUUUUAACAUGGUAUUAAAGCCCAUUAAGCUCCAACGAACGAUUCGAUCCGAUUAAAAUUCAAAAAUGAGUACAUGAAUUUCACUAUUGGUCUGCUCAAACGAGUCAUCAUCUUGUGGGAACAUGUUAAGGAAUAUAAUCACAUAUAAAAUAAAGAUGAAAAUAUAGACCAACUUAUAAGGUCUUAGAUCACUUCUAUUAACAAGGUUGAUCUUUUAAGAAGAAACCCAAAAUCUAAACAGUGGCAACAAAAUAUUCAUGUUGUCAAUCCCAAAUUUAUUGGGAUUAAAGUUUAGUUUGUAGUCAUAGAUGCAAAUCUAACAUAAAAAUGUGUACUGCUCUUCACAUAGUAUCCUUGAUGAUGCAGUGGUGCCUACCUGUUAUAAUUCGAUGGUUAAACUAGUUGUGAAUCCUGAUGACAGAAAGUGUGCUAGGAUAAUAGUUUGUAGAGUGUUCUAAAAAAAAAUCUCUCUUGUAUAUGAGCUAGGCACCACUUUUAUAGGUAGAGACUACUUAUGCAGAUGGUGUGUUUCUUCAUUUUAAUAAACCCGUUGCUCGAGUUUUCUCGAAAUUGAGUCUACCAUGAAAUAGGUGAUCAAAUGGAUUGACUCAGUCAGAGAAUUGAUUUAGAUAAGGAAAGAGUCUGGUCGAAUAUCUAUGUCCAGUCUGACCAUAGGUUAAGAAACAAAAAAGAAAAUCAAAAUACCGUCUAUAGCUACAAUGUGACUGCUUAGAAAAAUCUAUUGUUCGAAAAUUAGAAAAGCAAAGUAUCAAGGAAAGUUAAACUUAACAAACUGACUAAUUGCUAAACUAAUUCUAUUUACAGUAGCCUACAGAGUUGAGGGUCAUUUUUAGGAUUUUUCUUCCAUCCUCAUCAUCUCCAAAGAAGUCAAUCUUUAUAUAAUGUAUGUAUCAAUAGACUAUGCAUUUUACAUUCAACCCCACCCCAUUAAAAGAAAGAAGGCAUCUUCUGGUAGUAUACACUACUUCUGAAUCCUCUUUUAUCCUGUCAUAAUAUUAUUUUCUGCAAAUUCCCCAAUUUGUGUUGCAAAAAUAAAAUCUCAUUGAACAUGCAGAAAACAGUGCAACUAAAGAUUUGACUCAUAAAUAAAACACUACACAUUUCUACAAAUAUUUCAUAUAAAAAGUUAAAGGGAGGGACCGUACAAAAACUGUUUCAAUUUAAGAAAAUAGAAUCGCACCUGUAAUGGAGAGAGUGAUGGCACCGCGGCGGAGGGGGUUUUGGAUUGCAAUCUCAAAGGAAAUUAACGGGGAAAGGGGAGCUGAACCUUCAGUGGUGGAUUAAAACACUUGGGUCAAACUUAAAAGUUAAGGGUGUUUUGUUUGUGUUUUAGUUUUGUGUUUUGAGUUUUAAAUUCAUUUUGAGUUUUGUGUUUUGAGUGUUUGUUUUGAAAUUGUUGAAAAUGUGUUCUUUUUGUUUGUUUCUUAAAACAAAAAAAAUGAAAUUUUUUUUUUUUUGAAGAGAAUCACCACACCUCCAAAAAAAAAAAUAAAUAAAAAAAGAAAAUUUUUUUUCGAAAACGGGAAAGAGAACACGUUUUCACCGUUUUGAAAAAUCGAAAACAGAAAACGGCCCGAAAACGGUAAAGAGAACAGGGCCUAAAAGUUGCUGACAUUUUUUGCUAACUGCCAAACUUGAAUAAAUUUAAUUUUAAGUUUUAAAUAACUUCAUUUUGAAAUAUGACUAAAGGCCUUGUUUAAUAGGGAUUAAAAUCAAAUUUUAAGUAAAUUUUGAUAAAAAUUAUUGAAAUUUAGCUAAAAAGUUGUGGAUCCCUUGAAAUGUUUGAUUAAAAAUAGUUGUUCACUUUGACUUAAAUUAAAAUCUAAAUUUAAUUUGUAUCAAAUAAGUUUUUAAAUAAUUAAUUACUUUUUUCUUAAUUAAAAGCACUUAGCCCCUGAUUGGUGAGUAUUAAAAUCAAAUUUUUACUAGAUUUUAAUAAAAAUAAGCGAAAUGUAUGGUUGAAAAGUUGUGAGUCUCUUAAAAUUAAUGGAUGCUUAAAAUUAGUUAUUAACUUUGAUUUGUAUUAAAAUCUGGAUUUAAUUUGUAUAAAAAUUGGGCUUAGUAUAAAAGUAAGUUUUAUUUUACUAUAAAAAGUAACUUAGUAACAUGUUUGCUAGUGAAAAUGAAAAGAACAAAGAAUAACAUAUUUGGCUGAGCUCAAAAAAACAUAAAAGUAUCUAAGAUUUACAAAACACAUCAUAUUAUCAGAGUUUUAAAAAUCGGACCGACCCCAAUCCGUUCAACUGAAAGAAUCGAGAAUCGAGUCCAAAACCAAAACCAAUCUAGGUAGGCUUAUAAAACCUCUAAUUGAAAAUUCAUCCCAAAACUCGUUAAAUUGACAAGUUUUUGAAAAACCCAUGAACCUGUUCAACCUAUGUAAAUGUAUAUUUUUAAAUUAUAUAUAUGUAUUGCAUAUUUAUAUUUUUUAAUUUUUCAAAAAUCACUAGUUCGAUUCCGAUUCAACCCUGAUUUAACCUUUUGAUGCUUGACUCUCUUUUUCAAGUAAAUAGUCGGGUCAAUUCUUAAAACAUUGCAUAUUACUGAUUUGAUAUCUUUUUUAUUCAUUUUAUUUCGUUUUUCCAAUUCGCUGUAGACUUGUAUGAAAAUAGGAUUUACUUUAUUGAACUCCUCGACAAAAUCAUACCAAAUGGGGGUAGAAACAAAGCUUCUUUUGAUUAUUCGUAAGCGCCAAUUAGUUAAAAAAUUACAUUAAUAAUUUAUACUCUUGCCCUAGCUCGUCCAAAAGCUAGAUUCAUAUCUAUAUUAGUAAAAAAAUAUAUUUUAAAACUAUAAAUAAAUAAUUUUUUAUUAAUCAUUUUUUCUAAUUCGCUAUAGACUUGUUUGAAAAUAGGAUUUACUUUAUUGAACUCCUCGACGAAAUCAUACGAAAUGGGGGUAGAAACAUAGUUUCUUUUGAUUAUUCGUAAGUGCCAGUUAGUUAAAAAAUCACAUUAAUAUUCUCUACUCUUGUCCUAGCUCGUUCGAAAGCUAGGUUCAAAUCUAUAUUAGUAAAAAAUAUAUUUUAAAACAAUAACUAAAUAAUUUUUUAUUGAUUAGUUUUAUAAAUAAAUUAUGUUAUUUAUUUGAACAAUUAAAUGAGAAUUACUUUAGAUCAAGAAAAUGAUUUUAGGACAUGUUUAAAAAUAAAAAAUGACUACAAAAUAAUUAUAGAUGUGAAUAUCACACUUAUUUUUUGCUUAGUUAACGAGCAUUUGUUGAUUGUUAUAUUCAAUUCUUUAUUCUUUAGAGUGAAUUAUUCAAUUCUACUCUCUGUUGAUUUGUGCAAUAUUUUCGUGUUCUUGGGCAAAAAUUUGAAUUUUGACAAUUUUAUGAUAUAGAGUGAAAGGAGGUGAAAAGAGGACUAGCUUUUGAUGGUUUAAGUUUCACUGUGACAUUUUGAUAUUGAAAUUGAAUAUAAAUUGAGAUUUUUUAUUUUUUAUUUUUUAUUUUUUUGUUGAUUUAUAUUUUGUUAAGGGCGAAGGGAGGGGCAACCUUGGGCUCCCAUUAAAUUUUCAUUAUUUGAGAGAGAGAGAGAGAGAGAGUUAUUAUUAUUUUUUUCUCUUUGUUAGUUUAAUACAACAAAAAAGCACUACCCCCUAUUAAAUUAAUAUUUUUAUCAACUUGUGAAUGGUUUGUGAGCGUGGUGUAAAAAUAAAAUAAUUUGUCAAUUGUCGUAUUAAAAAUUAUAAAUCCAGAAGAUAGUAAAGAUAUGCUUUUAAUAUUUGUGUGGGUCUUGUAAUUGAAUUUCUUUGGGUCGUAUAACGCACUUUUAAUUGUUGAAACUUACCUAGUGAUGUAGUCAUUCCACACUUUAAAGUAGGUUUAAUUUUUCUUGAAAGAGAGAUCAUCAAGUAAGUUUGUGAAAUUCGACUGGCAGCAUACGUGAAGUUUGUCAAAGUGUAAUAAAUUAAUGUUAAAAAAAAAAAAAAGUCUGAAUCGGUAGAUUAUGAGGAUAGCGAAUCUAAUUGGGAAGUGUCGGCACGCCCAUUUUGAUCUCUAACAUCCUUAUGCAAAAAUAGUAGUGUAAAAUUAUAAAGUAAAUAACUUUUUUUAUUUUACGAGAAUUAUAAAUAAAAUAAUUUAUUAAUUUUAACAAUAAAUGAACACAUAUUUAAAAGAAAAACAAAUAUAAGGUUACAGAUUUGUAUUUUUUUUUUAAUCGAAAGUUUAAUCCAGAACAAAAUCAUAGAAACAUUAUGUGUAAAUAGGGAUGUCAAAGGGGCCUAGCGACUCGUUGGUUUGGCCGCUCAUUUCGUCAAAAUAGGGAUCGUGGGCGGUUCGGGCUUGUCAAAUCACGAGCCCGAGCCAAGCGCAGGGCCCCAUUUGGCGAGCCAAUUAUCCGCGAGCGCACGAGCUCAGUUCGUGUGCUAUAGUUGCCGAAUUUGGGUUACAAAUUUUUUUCCUCAAAACAUUUGCCUAUAAAUACCCCCAGAAGGCCCACCCAUUUUCAUCUUCAAAUUAUUGGUUUUUCACUCUUCUGCGUCAUACAAUUACAAUUUUCUUACUAUUUCAAUUUAUCGUAGGCCACAUGGAUUUAAAUCUGAAUCUUUGUGGCAUAUGAGAAAUUGGAUCUAUGUGGCAUACAAUAAAUUGGAAACUGAAAAAUGUAUUAGAUAGAUUGGCAAAAAGUAUUUUGGAAGCAUUAUUAAUGCACGUGAAGGAUUGACGUAACGCUCAUUUUCGAUUACAAGAUAAAUUUUAAUUUGUCGAAAUCACAUAUUGUUAGGUAAGUCAUAAGUGAUAUUUAAUGCAAUUUUAAUCAUAUUAAUCAGAAUUUGUUAUUUUAUAGUACUAUUUUUAAAUUCCUUUAAAAAUUUGUACAUGUUACAACCUACAAGUCAUUCGUGUACAAUUUUUAACUCCGCCUACUCAAAAUUUAAGUUACCGUUUCCAAGCUUGGAUAAAGGAGGAGGGUUCGUAUAAUUAUAUUCUGAUUUCAUCUAUUUAAAUUUAAAAAAGAAAAUGGAAAUCAACGAGCUCCCCCCUUAAGUAACAAGCCACGAGCUCGGCUCCUGAGGAACAUGAGCCGAGCUCGUAUGUUUAAGGGCCGAGCUGAGCUGAGCCGGUCCAUUGCCACCGCUACGUGUAAGUGAUCAAGCAUGCCCAUUAACAUGCUCUAUAUAUGGUGAAUUUUAAUGUGUAUAUUGUGAGUACGUCUAGACAUAAGAUGCCUUCAUAUACAUCAUCAUGUGACAUAUAAAUUAAGCUCCUGUAUGGUGUAGCUAAAUAGUUGAUAAAAAUUUAAGUUAAAAAGUCAAUUAUUAAUUUUAAUCACGAAUUUCAUAGGAUUUACACUUUUUAUCAACUUUAUCAAAAUCUACAAAAAAUCUAAUUUUUAGCUAAAUCAAAUAAGGGAUUAAUUCGUAUGUAGUAACAUGCAAUCCAGCACGAACACUAGAAGUCAAUAUAUGAAUUUUCAAAGCUAUUGCACUUUUGAUUUUACCCAAUACAAGGAAUCUACAAAAAAUCUUAAGCUCAAUCAAACAAGAGCUAAUUUGCAUGUAAUAGUAUGAAGUUCAACGCAAACACUUGAAGUCACGGAUGCGCUCCCAGCUGUUUGGCCAUCUUUACCUCUCUUAAAAUUAAUUAUCUGCUACUUUUCAACCAACUCCUUUGCAGCAAUUGGGCCCCAUGUCUGCUGCCAUGCUUAGCAGUUGUAGAUAAAAAAUCUUGUUGAUCGUUGCACGUUGCCAGACGAAAAUACCUCCUUUAUUGAAAUGAACUCCAAAUUAUUCCCCAUUCAUGACAUGUGACCUUCUUUUUUCCAUAAGUCUUGAACUCUGCUCAUCUCCACUUAACUCCGCGUGGCCAACACUGACCUCAGAUGCUGGACCAUAGAAGCUACAAUUGAAGACAUCCACUUCUGCAUAUAAACGUAUGGCAUCCAUAGCAGCCUAACUUGUGCCCGAUCCACUGUUCGGAGCUCCCGUUCUGCCAUUGUCCCGUAAAGUCGCCCACCAAUUCCUCGACAUAGACUCAUAGGCUGAUUCCUUUCUAUGCCUUUUGGACCCACAAGUCAGGGCCACACGGCAAGGACAACGACAGCUCGCAUUGGGGCUACUAUCCACAAAGCAUGGUAAGCUUCUUACCGAAUUCACGAGAUUCUAGCACAUCAAAAAUCACUUUUUGUGGCAAGUUGGUGACUGACAACCGUUUCUUUUUCAAAGCUACAUGACCUAGUUAAUUGACCCGGUGCUAGUUGUAUCUCUUCCUCGACGCUCCGGCACGAGGUCAAAGACCCAAAAGUGUGCGAAGUAGGAUCCUCGGGAAUACCAGAUUUUUAUCUCUAUGGCAGAGCACGUGACUGCUGAGGGCAUUGUCGGGGUAAGUUUUUUUCGACUACUUGCUGGGAGCACAUCCGUGAUCUGUUGAACAAGAAGGCUAGGAAGGAUUGGACGAUCGCUCAGCUCAAAAACCACUAGCAAGUUAUGCGAACGGAGCACGAGCUUUUUAUGAAUUGCUCUAAUGCUCUGGAAUUCAGUAUAGGUUGAACAAUGGGGGCAGAAUCAAAGUGGCGGACUGGUGGUAGAAGCAGAAAUUGAAGGUAAUAAUGAACUGCCCGUAAUCAUAAUCUCCCUGUUUGUCUUGCCAUAUGAUUGUCCACUUUACACUUGUUGAACAUGAUUAUACUUUACCUAUUUCCGACUACCCUCACUACAUAAUGCGAAUCUUCAUAAUGUGUUGUGCUGCUUUUGUAAAAAUACAAUUGGAAUGCAUAAUUUAUAGUUGUCGUUACCUUUGUUGUUGCCAACUUCAUAGGAUGCAGUACAAGCUGCCUUGUCAUUUCGAAAACUGAAAUGCAAUCUACUAGGAACCAUGUACGUUUAGGACUUAUUCCAAACCCAUGUCCGCUGCUUGCACUAUGUUUUUGCAAAUUUCUAGUUAUGCUUUAGUUGAAUGUGGAAUUGCAUGAUCUCGUUGUUCUCUUUUUUUUUUUUUUUUUUUUUUUUUUUUACGCCAUACUAUGUCCCACUGUGAUAUGCACAUGGAAUUGAUAUCAUUAACCUAGUGCAGGAGAAUCCAAAGUAUGGAAAGUUUAAGGACAGUGACAACAGAGAAAUUUACCACACUUACAGCAAACUAUUCGAUGACAGUAAUGACUCUACAAAGUAUGUUUUAACACCAACAAAACUUUCACAAUCCGAUUUAGAUUUUAUCUUGGACAAUGACACCGAAGAUCCAAACGAUAGGCUACCGGUCAAUGCCAAGACGACAGACUCGAGUGACGAGCCAACGGAGGGCAGAGCCAACUCUUUAAUGAAUAUUUCCCUCAGGCGAGGCAGGGAAAAGUGUAAUGGUAAGGAGGUGAGGGAAAAGGGAAAGAAAAGAACUUCGGGGCCAGGGAAGUGUCGAAGUCUGCUAACAACUUGGUGACUACGUCAAGAGAAUUCACCUUGAUCCUUCGUUCCAAGGACAAGGGCCUAAUGACCAUUCUAGAGUGUGUGAACGACUUGCUUUUCAUGGGCCUCGUUGUUAGUGGUGACAAGCUCCAUUUGAUCACUCGGUAGUUCUUUAGGCAGAGUGACAAUUGAAUUGCAUACAAGUCUGCCCAAACAUGGGAGCUCAGGUUCGUGUGGAUUGAGUACUGCUUCAAACGCGACGAGGAAUCAAACCAAGACAAGUUGUCGAAGGCAUGGCACAAACUUUAAUUUUACUUUGCCAUUGUCGAUUUCAUAUUUAUGUCAUUAAUGCUGUUUGUAUUCAUAUGUGUUGAUGUACUUUGGACAACUUAAUUUCCCAUUUGUUGAGCAUGUAUGUAAUUAUUGUACUUGAGAGCGAUAAAAUGUUUAAUGGCAACAGUUGUAUGUGUAUGUCGAACAUAUUUGUUUCUACUGUGACAUGUUUUAAGUUGACGUGUUGAUGGAAUAUAUUCAUUGCCAUAUGUAGAGAAUGUAUUCCCAUUUAAAGUGCUCGUCACUUACCAUCAAGGCAGGCUAAAGUAAACAUUGUGUGUAUGGCAAGUAUAAUCAUGACAUUGGUAUGUCUAUAAAGGGCCUCAUCCAUUUCCACAUAGUGAUGGCUCGGCUCGGCCUGGCUUGUUUUCAACGAGCCGAGCUUGAGCUCGGAGCUUGUAGCUCGUUCGAGCUCGUGGGCCGAGUCGAGCUUUGGCUCACGAGUUUAUCAUCCUUUUUUUUAAAUAGAAAAAACACAAAUAAUGUAAUGAAAACACUUUUUAAAAAAAUAAAAAGUAUUAAAAAAUACAAAUAAUUUAAUGAAGACAUUUUUUUUAUUUCUAUCAUAUUGUAAUAUUUUUUAUAAAGUAUAAAAUAUUUAUGUAAUGAAGACGAAUUAUUUUUUGAAAUACAUUUACACAAAAUAUAUUUUUUCGAUUUCUUUUUAAAGUAGAUAAAAUAUAAAACCUCCUCCUUUAUCCGGAUUUGGGACCGACUACAUCAAUUUUGAGUAGGCGGAGUUAAAAAUUGUACACGAACCACUUGGUGUAAUGUAUACAACUUUUUUAAAGAAAAUUAAAUUUAACGAUUAAAAAAUAAUAAAAUUUUGAUUAAUAUAAUUAAAUCAAAUAUCACUUACCUGACGACAUGCAAUUUCAGUGUAUUUAUCUUGUAGUCGAAAAUGAGAGUCAGGAGCCAAUCCUUCACGCACAUUAACGCUUCCAAAAUAUCUUCUUUCAAUCGACUCCUGACAUCAGUCAAAACCCUUUCACCUGCACUAAAAGUAGACUCCGAAGCGGAGGUGUCAGCAGAUCUUUCGCAAUUGCAGAAACAAUUGGCUAACAUCUUUCAUAUUUUCGCUAGAAUUCAAUUACUUUUCCUGAACUUUUUUUAAUUGUUCUAUCUGUUGGCAUAGUAGAUAACGAAGUAAUCAAUUAAUUCGACAGGCAUCACAUUUUGAAUUGCAGCAGAUGUUUGAUGAGAUGUAAAUGUAGACGACAUGACACUAGAUGAACACAUUGUAGUUGCAUCAUAUCUAAAUGCAUUAAUGUCUUGAAAUAAAUUCAUUAUUUCGGCAUCAGUUUCUUCAAUUUCAGCUGAAGGAGUAGGUGCAGAGGGUAUCCGACUAACAUUCGCACUCAUUCUUUCCGCUUAUAAAUCAUACAUUUCACAUAAUUUUUGCUCUAAAUUCUUAUAGGUGAUAGGUAUAUCAAGUAUUAAGGCUUUAUUGAUUUGAUCAAUUACGUAUUUAGUUCCCGAAAUAUUAUAUCGGCGGUCCAUUGUGCAUGUUAGAGGAAAUAACAUAUGCAGUUCUUCCUAAUAUUUUCUAAACUUUAAUUCCACAGCAAUUAUAAUUUCACUAAAAGUAGGAUUAUUUUUAUAUUUAUGAAAUAUACUUGCAAUUAUAUAAAGACGUUCAAGCACCAUACAACUUGUGGGAUAAUAAAUGUCGGAUAAAAUUUUUGUGGUCUCAUAAAAAUAUGUUAAAAAUCGUUUAACUUUCAAAGCUAAAACCCAAUCGGAUUUAUUCAACAUACCAUCGUCAUCACUUGUAACGUGUCUAUUGUUAUAAAAGUCAGUUAUUAAAUAUUCAAAAAAUUCACAUGACUUUAAUAGCAAGUAAGUAGAGUUUUAUCUAUGGCCUACGUCGCUAACAAAUAUUUUAGCAGUCGUCACCCCUAGUUCGACACAAAAAUCUUCAAAUAUUUGUUUUUUAUUAGGAGAGAUCGUAAUAUAUACUAAUACAUUUCUAAUCUUUUGAAGUUCAUCAUUUUUAUGUUUUAAGCCAUCUUACACAAUUAAAUUCAAGAUAUGGCACACACAACGAAUAUGAAACAAAUAUCCACCAAAAUCAGAUUGAAGUGUCCUAUACAAUUUAUCGGCGACUACCUUAUUAACACUAGCAUUAUCAAAAGUAAAAGAUCGAAUUUUAGUCUCGCAAUUAUAUUUCUAAUAAUACUGAUAAUAGAUUAUAUAUAUUAUUAGCAUUGUGAGGAAAUUCAAUAAUUCUAAAAGCAAUAAUUUUUUUAUGCACGCACCAAAGUGAAGAUAUAACACCCCUUUAUAUGCUCUUUUACUAAAACUAUAGUGUGCGGUUGUAACUAUAUAUGCUCUUUUAUUAACCCCUUCCCAUAUAUCAGAAGUUAAAGAUAACACCCCAUAUUGUUACAAAUUUAUAAUUAAUUAUUGUUUUGAAUGAUUGAAAUAUUGUAUUGUAUCGGCAUGAAGAAUGUUUUGACUUACCACAACGUAUAUUGGUUGCAGAUAUUCUUUCACGAAUGAGACGAAGUGUAGAUCGUCUGCAAUAGCGAGAGGCAACUCAGUGAUGGCAACAAAUUUCACCAUUCCGGUUCGAGUAUUGUCCCCCGAACACACCCACGUGGAUAGGAGUGAACUCGUAGAACCGGUGCCUGGACUGUCAAAUUGUAAUUGUGUUUGACCAGCUGGAAGAAAUCCAUAUCUGGCCGCACAUGCUUUGUAGUGGGGGUUGAGAUGGGUGGUACCAAUUCCUUUUUGCCAUGCCAACUUUUGUUGGCAGUAUGUAUAUUUUGCAAGGCCAUCGAUGACUUUUUUCGUUGAAAUCAACUUAAAGUGAUUCUAAUAUUUUGCUUAUUUUUUGCCCUUUCACUUUUCCCUUGUAUCUGGGAUAUAUAAUUCGACAUCUUCGUCCUCUUGUUCCGCUUCGGGAACAUUAAUAUCAUCCAAAUCAAUUGGAUUAUGACUUCCAUGACUGUUAAUGUGAACAUCUUUAGGUAUUGGUACGUCAUUUAGACCGGCAAAUUCAUUUGGAAAAUAUUCUUGUGCCAUCCUAGGCGAUUCGCCAUGUGACCCACAUCCUGUAUCGAAUAAGUUCUCAACAAAUGAGCAUUGAUCCAUUUGUUUGAUUGUUUAUAAUGAAAUUCAAAUAUAAUAACUAGUAAAAAUAUAAAUGUAGUGAGAAUUGAGAAUUGGAUGAAUUGAAAUUGUAACUGAGUAAACUGUAAAAAAAUGAACCGAUAUUGUAUAUUUUGCACAACAGCACAAGAGAGUAAAAACUCGAUAAUUGAUAUAAUAAAAGAGAGUUGAGAAAUGAGAAGUGAGAAUGAAGAGAUAAUUGAUAUGAAAAAAAUGGAGAGUUAAGGGGGUAUUAAUAAUUGAAGGAAAAAAAAUAAAUCAGUGACUAUUUCGGUUACUGAAAAAGUAACCUUUUUGGUCACUCAACUUAACGAGCUACAAGCCGCUCGUGGGCGAGCUACAAGGUGAGGCCCGCUAGGCUCGCAUUCGGGCUCGUGAUUUUAAGAGCCCGAGCCGUCCACGGGCCCUAUUUCGUCGACUCGGCCCUUUUAACAUCCAUAUUUCCACAAACCAAGUGAAGUUGGGAGAAAAUGCAGAGUUAGAAAAAUUUUAGACUUCCGUAGGGUUAAGGUAGGAAAUUGUCCCACAUUUUCUUUAUAGUACAUACAUCUUGUUACAUAAUGAUGUUUCCCAAAGUCCGAUUAAUUGGGUGUGUCGUGUUUUACUCAUGCAGAUGAGCGACGAGUCCUCUGCGAUUGCCUCCUUUGGUAUAGAUUGCAACUUCAUUUUAGUGUUCAACUUUGACUAAGGAUAGGACGAUGAAGUACUGCAACAGAUGGAAGAUGACACUCUUGCAUGGUUGUAAUAUUUAUGAAGAGCGGAAGGCAUAGUCCUCGAAACUUGUCACCGAAUAGAGGCAACAGAUACUUGUUUUCCAUGUCACGCAGCGGUCAUUUUUUCAUACUUCAGAAUAUGCACGUGUACUCACAAACUUGUUUCCAAGAGUUCCGCAUGUAUCCCCCUACGUUCUAGCUUUUUAUGCGUAUUCUUCGAGAUCAGCAAGGAUUAGUGAGCAUCACAAACAUCGAUAUAUACGAACAAGUUGGCAUAUUCUUUAGCACACAGAAAAUGAUAUCUUCAUGUGCAAAUGCUCUUUGAGCAUUCCUUGUAGACCAUUUCCCAUUACUUCAAAUGCGUGCUGUGAGUCGUCGUUGUGCUAGCUGCUGAUAGGAUUAGAUCACAUCACCAGUACAAUGAAGAAGGCAGACAUCACCAACCCAAUACCACCGUUUCAGGUUAGGAUGGCCGAACACUAAAUGGGAACCAAUGCGUUUGUACAACAUUUAUUGAUUCGUUAGAAGUGCCCACUAAUAAUUUGGAUUCCUGUAACAGGAGUGUAUUGGCUCGAUUGACAGAAUGCAUGUUUGAGUUGUGCUACCGCGAUAGAGGAGACAGACUUUUUUGGAAGGAAAGGAUAUCCAACUUAGAACUUGUUGGCAACGUGUGAUUUCAAUUUGUGUUUUACGUUUGUAAUGCCCGGAACUACUGGGAACAGGUACGACAGUCGUAUUUUGGCACGAUGUGUCCAUAGUCUGGAUGUAAACUUUUUGAAACUAAGGAACGAGAAAUACUACUUUGUGAACUCGGGUUUCACACAGCUGUCGUGAUACAUAGCUCCAUACAAGGGAUUUAAUGUACGAUAUUACUUUCAAGAAUUUCGGAACAGCAAUGGCAGUCGAUGGUAGGUCCUAAAUGCGUGGAAGAGGUUCAAUUUUCAUCACUCAUCUUGCCGUAACGUUAUUGAGCGAGCAUUCGGUGUUUGGAAUUAGAGAUGAAAAAUCAUCGAUCGAAUGUCUAGGUACUCGUUCAGAUCACAAACAUUUGUUGUCAUUGCAAGGAUGACUGUUCAUAAUUUCUUAAAACGACACGGAAGGUUGAACGAAGGCUUUCGCAGAGCGGAGAAAGCUGAUGACAACAAAGUUGAGGUCAAUCUACCAGACCUUGAGGACGAAAUUACGGCCGAUGACGACGCGAUUGGGGUCGAGAAUAUACCAUGGCAACAACUUUGUGAUUAUAUGGCCCAAGCACUUUGUUAAGUGUUAGGAAUAGUAGUCCCUUCAAUUUAUGUAAUCCAUUACUUGUUCAAAUAAACUACAUCGCAGAGUGAAAAAAUGUGGAAAAAACGUUUGUGUCGUGUGCGAAUGAAGCGAUAUGAAAGUGUAAAAUCAGGAAAUGAUUCACGUGAUGAAUGUAGGGGCAUUAUGGUCUUUCGAUCAUGUGUUCCGGUGUUUUUCAUGCAAAGGCAUGUGCAGUGACUUGUAACGGUACAUGCACUGCCAUUGUGGACUGAUGUAUGGGUCCCACAAUUGUUUGAAAAAUUUGGCAAAUAAAGAGAGGUAAAGGGGACCAAACGGGGAUUGAUUUCUCCCAAUACGAGAAGUAAGCAUCCGUCCAUGGUAACCAACAAUUAAACCCUUAUUUGAGCCGUAUUUUGGGGAAAAAUCUGUUUUGGAAUAGUUUUUUUAUUCCUUAGAGAAUGCGUGGUUAAAAAACAAAAGUUAAAAAAUAAAAAAAGUUUCCAAUUUACGUGUAAAAUUAUUUUAUUGUAAAACGUGUGGUUGAAAAUAAAUUUUGAAAAAAAUGAGUUUUUGAUAAAAUGAGCUCAAACAAGGACUAAGUGCUUCACCAUUACGUUGUGUCUACUUGCGUUUACUUUUUGGAAAAAUUCAUAUAUGCCUCAAUAUUAAAUAAAAUUUCACACUUUCCAGUGUGAUGGUAAAUAUAAUUAGAAAUACUAAUCAAAAUGAUAAUUACCUUUAGAAAUACUACCUUCCAUAAUUAUAUCUCACACCAUAUUCUGUAACUGAUAAAUUAUGAAUUCAACAAAUAUCACGCUUUCAAUUAAUGCACCUUCCAAAUCAGAGAUAAAUUUAAAAUUAAAGUGGGAGAGAUGCAGAUAUAUGUGGCAGACAACGUAAGGCGAAUCCUCAUCUUCCAAUUGUAUCGUUCAAGAUAUACUUCUUCGAUGGCAGUCGUUGAAGAAAUUUUUAUAUUUCGACGAAGAUAAAUUGUGUGAUGUAUAGAAUAAAAAAAGAAUGUGUGAUGUAAAUAAAUAAAAUGACUAAAUGUAUUAAUGUCUUAUAUGUGAAAUGUAGGAGAACAUUGGUUUCCACAAGUGGUUGAGAUGUCACGUGCUUAAAAAUCGCUACUUAGCAAUGACGUCGAAUAUAGUGAAGUUGGUGAAUUUUGUGAUUAAACCUUUUAAGCAUUGUGUGACAGAUUGCAUGUUCAAAUUGCAGAGGCACAUAUUACAAAGGUGAUUUUAUAAGAACCUAAGUAAUGCAAGUGAAACAUUUACGCGAUUAGCAGGCGGACAUGAAAUAUUCUAAGGUUGAAUGCUAAAUGGUCAAUGAGACUAAACGUAAAUGAACUAAAUAUAGUUUCUCGGUUUCUCGAUCUAAUAUUUUUAUCAUAUAUGUAUAUUUCAUUCCAGUUCUUUGCAGGUUUCUGCUUCUACUCAAUUCCAGUAUGAAGUCACUCACCAAUGAUGGAACAAGCACAUUGUAGACUUGACUUGUAUGAGAUGCAUAUGUAACCGUUUUCAAAUAGAUGGCGUUCCAUUUUAUUACAGUUUAGCAGUAAUGGAUGAGAAGGGAGAGCAGCCUUACAACUAAUGCUCACAUAAUAAUACGAAGGACACCUACGUGGACAUUUACUGUUACAAUCCAACUUUUAUAGUCAAAAAUUCAAAUAUUGACUAGUCAAAGUCAAAGUCAAUCAAGGACUAAAAUGAAAUUAAAUAUUUUAUUUGGGUUAUUUUGCAAUUGGCAAAAUGUAAAGGUUGAAUUGGAUAUAUUUAAAAGUUUGGAAUUUAUAUAUAUACUUUUGGAAGCUAAAGGAUUAAAUAUUACUAAAAAGUGAAGCUAAGGGAUUUAUUGUGCAAUUUUGGGUUAGUGGACCAAUUAAUUCAAACCUUUGACCCAUUUUCUCUCAUUUCACCCUAUUUCACACACACACACACACAGUAACUUACGGGAAGCAGAGACCGAGAAAGAAGAGAAAAAGAGGAAAAGAAGAAGGGAAAAAGGAAAAGAAAAAGGAAAAGAAGAAGGGAAAAAGAAGAGGAAAGGAGGUAAGGUUGAUAUCUUCAAGUUGGGUUGAAAUUUUCCAUUUGUUUUAGGUGAUAAAGUAUGAAUUAUGUUAAAAUUUUUAGGGUUUUAACUUGUUGAAUAAUAUGUCGAAUUUUAGGGAUAUUUGCACGAAUUGGAGCUCAAGUGUGGGGAUUUAUUCAUUUCAAAUUUUCAGCAAGGUAUGGAGAUGUCAAAUUUUUGGGAAAACCCUAGAAUCCGAUUUUGGGGAUUUUAAUUAAUUAAUUGUGAAGUGAUUAUGUAAAUGAAAUAUUUCACUUGGGAAUUGAUUUUAUGGAACAAAUGUAUAUUAUGUGGGUGGAAUUGUGGUUACUAGUUUCAUUAGAUUGGAGAGAAAAAUUAGUUUUAAAUUUGAAACGAUGGUUAUGUUGAUAAAUUAGUGAUUAACCAAGGGAUUAUAAGGUGUGAUUAGCUCCAAUUAAUAAAGGAAAAUUUGAGAAUUUAUUUAAGUACCAAGAGCAUUUAAAUUAUGUUCUAUUAUUAAAUAUUAAGGUUUCUUGAUUUGAUAGUGGAUAAACUGGUUAUCAUUAUCGUAUUUCAGGAGGUAACGAGGCGAUUGGAAACGUCUAUCAGCCUAUCUAGUUUGUAGCUCAUACCUUGUGAGUGGAAAAAACUUAUUUUUCAGAAAUAAGUCUUCAUUAUAUUUUAAAGUUAUUUAUUGUAUAAAGUUGACUUCAUAGCAUGAUUUUUAGAAUAACUUGGAUUUUAUUAACAAUUGCUUUUAAAAUUAAAUUCAGUUCAAUUAAAUCAUUUGACUAGCAUGUUAUAUGAAUAUAAAUGUUUCAGUAUAGCUAAAGUUAUUUUAAAACCAUUAGAAAGUACCCAGGUGAUUUUACCCCAGUUUGCACUGAUGUGAAUGUGUUUCCACAGUGUAUAACUAGUUAUAGUGAUUUUACCCUCUCUGCACUAUCGUGAAUGUGUUUCCAUAGUGUAUGACCAGAUUAUCAGAGGUCUUUGGGACCUACUCUCGUACACACAUAGGCUUUGGGCUGUGUACUAGGACGAUUAGCCUUUGGGGCAGCUCUGCGUACGUAUGACCAGAUUAUCAGAUUAUCAGCUAUCAGAUUAUCAUAUUUGAAUGGCUUUGCCUUGUACAUCGAGAUUACUCUGUACAUGAGUAAGGCUAUUCAUUGGGUACUCUUUUUGGUGUGAUUUUUCAGUAUUUAUUCUAUUAUCAGAUUUCAGAUUAUGGAAUUCAGUUAAUUUAGUUUUCAGAAUAAAGCUUUCAACUUAUGGUAUUAAGGCAGCAAUAUUUCAUAAUUUUUCAUGGAUAUCAGAGUAUUUAUAGUCAUUAUGUUAUACAGUUGCCUUUCUAGAAUUAUGUCCAAGAAAUUAUGAUAUGAUCAUGUAUAGUUUUUUUUUUAAAAGUGUUACUAUUUUUUUCAAAAGUUCUUAACGUUAAAUAGUGCACGAAUUUUCAGAAAAUAGCAUAAAUGGAAAAGUUUAUUUAUUUUCAACUAUCCACUCACUGAGUUAUAAACUCAUAUCUUUUUACCAUGUUUUCCUAUCAGGAGAAGGUCGAUUUUGAGAUAUUUGGGAAAGCCCGCUGAAGCAAAAAGAGACCGUUUUAUAAGUAUGUAAUGAAUAGUUGGGAAACUUAUGUUUAUUAAGUAAUUGUCUAAUUUUGGGUGACAAGCAUAUUCGUAGAAGGGUUUGUAAGUGAUUUAAUACUUGCAUGUUGACAAGAUGAUGUUGUAGAAGCACUCAGUCGAAUUUUGUUAUAUUUUGUAGUAGUUGUGGUGGUAUUAGAGGAAGUUGUGGUUUCCAAAACUUUUGGUUUAAAUGCCUAUUUGAGAUUUUGAUGAUUUUUCAGGUUGGUUUUAUCCAUGUUACAAGGGAAACUCUGUCAAAAUUUUCAUAGAAAUUAGCACAGUCAAAAUAGGUCAAAUUUACCUUGGUGGCGGGUCCGACAUUUAGUUGGCAUCUACUACCGGCGCACGACACGUGUCGAGUCAAUUAGGUUGAGUCGGGACGGGCCGUGUCAUUUACGUUGGUGGGAUCAUUCCAUUAGGGGGUCACAAACACUGGACGAAUCUUAAGAAUGGACACAUCCUCCCACCUAAAUCAAAGAGACCAACGGUCGAUCAAAGAAUUCUAGGAGUACAAAGCUCGAGUCCAUCAAUCCGAUCACAUGUGACAUGCGGAUGCUGCGAAGGGAAAUGUCAUAUUAAAAGAACUAAUAAGCAACCUCUGUUGUUGUGCCACGUGAGAAAACGAAAGCAUGGAUAAGAUAUCAAUUAUGUUUUUUUCUAAUCCAUUUAUGUAUUUGAUCUUUAUGCUACUACGAAAUAUAUGUAAUCAUUUUAAAUUAUGAUUUAUAUGUAAUCCUUUUACAUAUUCCCUAUAUCUGCUUGUAUAUUAAUUCGAAAUAGAGUAAUUAAAUAUGAAAUAAAUAAAACACAUGAUUAACGAAAUAUUAAAAGAAUAAAUUAAAUUGAAUAAUAUUUUUUUACCUAACCAAUUAAGAUAAUUAAUUAAAGAAAUAGUGAAAUGAAAAAUCGAAUAAAUAUUAUUAUUUUUAUUCAAAUAAAUAAUCGAAAUAAAUAAUAUACAUAAUUAACGAAAUAUUUAAAAAAUAAAUUAAAAAACAAUAAUUUUUUUACUUAACGAACUAAAAUAAUGAAUUAAAAAAAUAGUAAAAGGAAAAAUCGAAUAAAUAUUAUUGAAAUAAAUAAUCGAAAUAGAAUAAUUAAAUAUAAAAUAGAUAAAACACAUGAUUAACGAAAUAUUUAAAGAAUAAAUUAAAUUGAAUAAUAUUUUUUUUACCUAACCAAUGAAGAUAAUUAAUUAAAGAAAUAGUGAAACGAAAAAUCGAAUAAAUAUUAUUAUUUUUAUUCAAAUAAAUAAUCGAAAUAAAUAAUAUACAUAAUUAACGAAAUAUUUAAAGAAUAAAUUAAAAAGCAAUAAUUUUUUUACUUAACGAACUAAAAUAAUGAAUUAAAAAAAUAGUAAAAGGAAAAAUCGAAUAAAUAUUAUUGAAAUAAAUCGAAAUAGAAUAAUUAAAUAUGAAAUAUAUAAAACACAUGAUUAACGAAAUAUUUAAAGAAUAAAUUAAAUUGAAUAAUAUUUUUUUUACCUAACCAAUUAAGAUAAUUAAUUAAAGAAAUUGUGAAACGAAAAAUCGAAUAAAUUUGUAAAUAAUAUAUAUAUAUAUAGUCAGAUAAUUAACGAAAUAUAAUUUUUAAAUAAAUAUUAAAUAGUCAAAUAUGUGGAAAUUUUUUUGUUUAACUGUUUUAAUAUGUGAUUAGAUGAAUUUAUUUAUUGGUUUAUUAAUAUGAAAUUUGAUUGGUUAAAUUUGAAGGUACGAUAUUUUAUUUAAAAUUUCUUUUAUAUGGUUUUAACAUGUAUUAAUUUUGUAGGAUGGAAUAUCAUAUCGACAACGAUCUGAGGGCUCAUUCGGGAAAAGUUACGACGUAUUGUAACUUUUCCAGCUAUGCGACGGUACUUGAGGGGCUGGACGAGGAGGAUAUUGACUUACUCCGUCGAUCGUUUUUAUGGUCGUUCUAUCCGUUGAAGGACGUGCAGUUCUCUGGACAAAUUGUUGAUUCUUUAUUACUCCGGCUGCUUAAACCAGUCGAUGGCGAUCAGUUAUAUUUUGCUAUUGGGGACGGGAAGGUAUGUAGAUUCUCGAUCCUUGAAUUUGCCCUGAUUACGGGCUUGAGAUAUAUCGGGGAAGAAGAAGUUAGAGCCCGUAUUAUACGAAAUAAAAGGUUAUUGGAUUUAUAUUUUGGAGGUAAAGGGCCAGUUACACCACCACAGUUAGAGGACGCAUUUAGGAAAUGCGAUCACCUGUUAGACAAGUUGAAGUUAGGGUUGGUGUAUAUACUGGAGAAUAUAUUGAGGUGUCGACAUCGUAGGACGUCGAUUGAUCUUUUUUCAUUGGAUGUUGUUGAUGAUAUCGAUGCUUUCAACAGCUUUCCAUGGGGUCAGAGAUGUUACACCGAUACUCUCCAUGUAUUCAGAAGGGUACACACUAUGCCGAAAUCGGAGAGGGGCGAUCGCAAAUAUGAUGUAUAUGGCUUUUGCAUGGCUUUGCAGGUAAAUAUUCAGUGUAACGUAAUGCGUGUUGAACUUUUUUAUUAAAUGUAUAUGUAAAGUUUUAUUUUGUAAUUGUUGCAGUUGUGGGCAUAUGAGGCUAUCCCUGCUUUGGGUAGCAAAUGGGCGAUCAAAAGGGAGACCAGCUGCCCACGAAUGCUUCAUUGGCGAGCACAUGAAAAGCCAUCGGCUAAAGAUUUGAUAGUUAUCCUCGACGAUCCUCAGGUGAGUAUUAUAUAUUUGCAAUUUAUAUUGUACAUACAUUUACUCGGGUCGAUACAUGUUCGUUAACACGUUGAAAUAUGGUAUGUCAGCUCGAAGUUCAUGCUGAGUUGGUUGUCUCGGUGGAAAAGGAGGAUGCAAUAUAUGUACGUGAAUUACUUGUUCCCCCUACUGAAGACGAUCCAGUAUUUGAGUCCGUUCCGAAUAGAAAUAUAAUACGUUUAUUUAAGUUCAUUAUUUAUUUUGAUUUAUAAAUUCAUGUGUGGAUUAUUAAUAUUAAUUGUCUUCUCUGUGUAGGAGCGCCAUCCGGAACUUCCACUUAGCAGAUCUCCUUCGCCUCCACCGAUGAGAUCUCCGUCACCUCCACCGAUGAGAUCGCCUCUACCGCCAUUAUCUCAUUCUCCGAGGAUAUCUUCGUCUCCCAUACCCACCCACCUCCCACAUGGAUCGCCUACACCCAGUCAGACCCGUCAUUCAAAUGAUUUCUUUGCACGCAUGACUGGCAUUAUUAGAGAAGAGCUGGGAACGAUGCGACGUGAUUUUAUGACAGAGGUAGUCGCAUUACGAGAGGAGAUAGGGGUAUUACGACGGGAUUUUACGACAGAGAUCGUCGCAGUACGAGAGGAGAUAGGGGUGCUGCGACGAGAUUUUACGACAGAUGUAGUAGCUUUGCGAGAUGAGAUUGGAGUGCUGCGACAAGAUAUAGGAGACCUUCAUACUGAGGUUGCAGCACUUCGAGACGAUGUAGCAGGCGUCCGAGGGAAUGUCGGGGAGACUGGUGUCCCUCGAGAUUGGUGGGCAACGGCCGGGAGAAUCGAUGAGUUUUUUGGUUCGGUGCUGGAGGCCGAGAGGGAAGGGGUGGAGGUCGGGCAGGAGGAGGCCGGGAUGCUCGGGAUGGAGGUCGGGCCGGAGGUGCCGGAGGAGGCAGAGAUAGAGGGGGUGGAGGGAGGGACAGGGGUGGCCGAGGAGGUAGCGGAGGGGACAUCAGAGGUGGUAGUAGAGGGGGAUGAUCAGGUUGCGGAGGAUGAGAGGACGCCGGAGAUGACGGAUGACGAGGUAGUAUUCGUGUCUGAGGGGGCGACGGAGGUCUCGAAGGGUAAGAAGUGUGCUGCUGACGCGCCAGAGCUGAUGGUCGGUAAGAGAUCAAGAUUGCCGUCACAGUACGUCGUUUCUCCCUACACGGUCGAGGCGAAGAGAAGGGGAUUUGUGGAUGGGGCGUACCCCAAUCUUUUUCGCGACGUCGACCCAGUCAGACAGAAGGCGUUCGAUGAUUGGUUCAAAUCCCUUAAGUUCGAGUAAGUAUUUUAUGAUGUUGCUACUAUUUUUUUGUAUCUUUGAUAACUGUUUUUUCAUUUUUCAGAGAUAGUUAUACCAUCGGCUGUAUGACCGUGCACAAUGCUAAAAAGUGGUUUGAAGAUGUACUGACGACCUCAGUUUGGCUCGCUGAUGAUGUAAGUUUUUUGAGUUUUCGUUUAUUAUAUUUAUACAAGUUGUUGGUUCAUUUACUUAAAUGACUCUAUCUUUUUUGUUGGUGUUUUUUUGUUUCAGCAUAUCGACUUGGCUAUGGAAUUGUUACGUGAUCGGGCGCAGAGAUACCCGAGAUCUUAUGACAGUCCUACUCGAGUUAUCUUGAGCGCUGAGUUCGUUCGUGUCGUAGAUAUUGAGCAUCAGGAGCUCCUAAGCAAGGGGAAUGAUUAUGUUCUGUCUGAGUACAUGCUGGAGUGGGUGAUUGGACUACAGUUGAGGUGCGGAAAGCCGUGGACGGAUUGUACACAUAUGUACAUUCCAGUGAUCACGAACUCACACUGUUUUUCGGUGGAGAUCGUAUUUGCUGAUUCCACCAUAUAUGUGUAAGAUUCUGAUCAUAGCUGUCUGACACAAGGUCAAUUGGAGCAAAUACUGGAGCCAUUGACUGUGAUCGUGCCCAUGAUGGCUAGUCAUGAGAUGAUUCGAGUAAAUGAUAGAUUAGCCAUUGUGCGGAACACGACGACGGCGAGACAAGAAAGAUCGUAAGGAUUUACAACUUUUAAAUUUUCAGAUUUAAUUUUCAAUUAUAUGUUAUGGAACUAAUAUCUUCUACUUCGGUUGCAGGGGUGACUGUGGCUUAUUUGCAAUCAAGUACAUAGAGUUCUUGAGCAUUGGUCGCAAUGUUGAUACAAUAAAUUAGUCUUGGAUUGAUAUGUGGAGACAUAAAUUAGCUUGCGACUUGUAUGAAUAUAACUGUGAUCCUUAGUACAUUGUAAAUUAUUUUAUUAAAAUGUAAAUGUUGUUUACUUCAGUAGGAUUCGUGUUGUACUGAAAGAAAUAAAUAAUCGAAAUAGAGUAUAUUGUAUGAUAUUAUUUUAAAAAUUUAAAUGAUAAUCGGGAAUUAAAUGGACUAAAUCGGAUGCAAUUGGAAAAAAGUAAAAGGAAAAAUCGAAUAAAUAUUAUUCAAAUAUGAAAUAAAUAAUAUACAUAAUUAACGAAAUAUUUAACGAAUAAAUUAAAAAANNNNNNNNNNNNNNNNNNNNNNNNNNNNNNNNNNNNNNNNNNNNNNNNNNNNNNNNNNNNNNNNNNNNNNNNNNNNNNNNNNNNNNNNNNNNNNNNNNNNNNNNNNNNNNNNNNNNNNNNNNNNNNNNNNNNNNNNNNNNNNNNNNNNNNNNNNNNNNNNNNNNNNNNNNNNNNNNNNNNNNNNNNNNNNNNNNNNNNNNNNNNNNNNNNNNNNNNNNNNNNNNNNNNNNNNNNNNNNNNNNNNNNNNNNNNNNNNNNNNNNNNNNNNNNNNNNNNNNNNNNNNNNNNNNNNNNNNNNNNNNNNNNNNNNNNNNNNNNNNNNNNNNNNNNNNNNNNNNNNNNNNNNNNNNNNNNNNNNNNNNNNNNNNNNNNNNNNNNNNNNNNNNNNNNNNNNNNNNNNNNNNNNNNNNNNNNNNNNNNNNNNNNNNNNNNNNNNNNNNNNNNNNNNNNNNNNNNNNNNNNNNNNNNNNNNNNNNNNNNNNNNNNNNNNNNNNNNNNNNNNNNNNNNNNNNNNNNNNNNNNNNNNNNNNNNNNNNNNNNNNNNNNNNNNNNNNNNNNNNNNNNNNNNNNNNNNNNNNNNNNNNNNNNNNNNNNNNNNNNNNNNNNNNNNNNNNNNNNNNNNNNNNNNNNNNNNNNNNNNNNNNNNNNNNNNNNNNNNNNNNNNNNNNNNNNNNNNNNNNNNNNNNNNNNNNNNNNNNNNNNNNNNNNNNNNNNNNNNNNNNNNNNNNNNNNNNNNNNNNNNNNNNNNNNNNNNNNNNNNNNNNNNNNNNNNNNNNNNNNNNNNNNNNNNNNNNNNNNNNNNNNNNNNNNNNNNNNNNNNNNNNNNNNNNNNNNNNNNNNNNNNNNNNNNNNNNNNNNNNNNNNNNNNNNNNNNNNNNNNNNNNNNNNNNNNNNNNNNNNNNNNNNNNNNNNNNNNNNNNNNAUUAACGAAAUAUGUAAUGAAUAAAUUAAAUUGAAUAAUAUUUUUUUUACUUAAACAAUUAAAAUAAUUACUUAAAGAAAUAGUAAAAGGAAAAAUCGAAUAAAUAUUAUUCAAAUAAAUAAUGGAAAUAGAGUAAUUAAAUAUGAAAUAAAUAAUAUACAUAAUUAACGAAAUAUGUAACGAAUAAAUUAAAUUGAAUAACAUUUUUUUUACUUAAACAAUUAAAAUAAUUACUUAAAGAAAUAGUAAAAGGAAAAAUCGAAUAAAUAUUAUUCAAAUAAAUAAUGGAAAUAGAGUAAUUAAAUAUGAAAUAAAUAAUAUACAUAAUUAACGAAAUAUGUAACGAAUAAAUUAAAUUGAAUAAUAUAUUUUUUAAUUAACCAAUUAAAAUAAUUACUUAAAGAAAUAGUAAAAGGAAAAAUCGAAUAAAUAUUAUUCAAAUAUGAAAUAAAUAAAAUACAUGAUUAACGAAAUAUUUUUUUUACUUCACCAAUUAAGAUAAUUAAUUAAAGAAAUAGUAAUCUCUCCAUAUUGUUAGUUAAUAUAUAUAUCGUUGUCUCACUUAUUUUAAAAGAAAACAAACAAAUACAUGACACAUAGAAAAUACAUAUGACAAAUGUGAUAAAAAUAAAAAGAGUAAUUAAACAAUGUGAUAAAGAUUACAUCCGAUUUCAAUUCAGAAAAUCACAAACACAUGACAAAUAGAGAAUACAUAUGAUUUAUAUAGAUACUACACAUCCGUCGAGUCAUUGUUUAGUGGAAUCUGGCUUGUACAAAAUCGACGUGUAUGUCCUGUAGCACCGCACCUCCCGCACUUACACGGUUGUGGAAACUCUCCUGUAGAUGGUAUUCUAGACGUCCGUCUACGACCAGGAGUAUGCGGUGGAGCUUCAGGUGGCAAUAAAUUAUUAAGUGCUACAAUAUAAUCAGGAACUUCCCACUCGGCUUCAUUUGGUAGAGGAAAUAUAGUUUCGGCAUACGCUGCUCUCCAAAAAUCAGUCAUAUAAUAAUGACUGCACAAGCUGUGUGGUGGAAAUCCUCUAUACAUAGCCACUGCGACAGCAUGUGCACAUGGAAAACUUUCCAACUGAAAUUUUCUGCACGUGCAGGUAUUGUCAUUCAAGUCUACAAUGUAUCCAACAUUGCGCCCGCAUCUCACGAAGAAGCGAAAUUGAUCUAGUGGUUCCACAAAUAGAGCUUUUGCCACUUCCAGAGUUUUGAAUAGUCGAUCUUCCUGUGCCGGAGCUAUCACACUCGUGCAAUUUUGGGAUUCUUCACGUCGGUCAUAAAACCACUGUUGCAACUUGCUGCAAAUAUGUUCAAUCAUUGCGAGAAUCAGUAACUCUCAAUCCUUCUUGAAUAAUGCAUUCAGCGACUCUGCAUUAUUCGACGUCAUCAUGUUGUAUCGACGUCCUAGAAAAUGUGACCGUGCCCAAUGUUCAACCCCCAUUUCUGAUAGAUAUUCCCAUGCACUUUCUGAUUUAUGUUCUAUUUCGCCCAUGAACUUUGUAAACUCUUCAAAGCUGUAAGCUUCUGCAGCUCUCCUAAACAAUGCAACGAUGCCACUGCCCCGGUACCUAGUCUUCAGAUUGCCCUGAAUGUGGUACAUGCAAUAACCAUGAUGUGCUUCUGGAAAAACUUCGGCUAUACCAUUUAUUAUUGACUGCCCCCGGUCAGUCACAAAUGCAAGGUUCUCGAUGUUCCCAAUUACUUCUCUCAACUUCGUGAAGAACCAACGCAUUGCUAGAUCAUUCUCUCCAUCGACUUUGCCAAAUGCAAAAGGGUAAAUUUGGAAAUUGGCAUCUUGACAAGUAGCAAUAAUCAACUUUCCUUCAUAUUUAGCUCUUAAGGUUGUACCAUCAACUAGAAUUAGAGGUCGCAUAGCAUUUCGAAAACCUCUAAUGCAUUGUCCAAGAGCCAUAAAAAAAUACUUGAAGCGAUUCUGCCCAUCGGUUUCAAUAAAAAACGUCGAGUCAGAAUUAGUUCUCACCAUGUUGUGGCAAUACCUGGCCAAUUUGGCAUAACUCUCCUCUGUCGAACCCAUUAAAUCUUCCAAUGCACAUUCUUUAGCCUUCCAGGCCUUCUGGUAACUCAUAACCACCCCAUACUCUCGACGGAUGUCGUUGAUGAUAUCUGUAGGUCUGUAAAUCGUCCGUGGAUCAUGAAACUUGUGCAUUAUCUGUCGACCAAUAAACCAUGAUCGAGCUUGCCUGUGAUCAUUUUGACGAAUACCCACUUCACAAGUAUAUUCCCGCGCAUACUUACGAAUAACAAAGAACUCAUUUGUGUCCAUCUUUGUCGCACUCAAAUGCCAACUGCAAUUGUUGUCCACACAAAUAAUUGUGUAUGUAGACUUAUUUAAUUUUUUUACCUUAAACUCAAAAUUAUGUUUCAUAGCAAUUCGGUGCACCGCUUCUUGCAAAUCUCUUUUCGUGUCAAACAAUUGAUCGACAUGUAAAUCUUCAUCAUCAGGAACUACACGCGAACAAUUAGAAGACCGUGUACUCGGCCCAGCAUGUGAGCUCCCACCAGACUCAUGUCUCUGUCUGGAUAAAGCAAUCAAAUCCUGAUUUGUAAAUGGCCUUUCAUCCUCGUUGUCUUGAACUUCCUCGUAAAUCCUUCGUGUAACGGUGACAUCAUGGUGAGUAGCAACUGCCCCAGGAAUAACCACAUCAUCCUCCCGAGCAAUCUCAACAGUAUCCCAAAAAUCAUUCUCAUUACGAUCCUCUCCAUCAAAAACUUCGUGUUCACCCUCGAUGACAUUUUUCUUCAACAAACUUACGCAAAUAGGAGUCGUCUUUCGACCUUGGUUCAAUUGAAUUAGAUGCUUUAUUUGCGCUUCAGAAGUAACUUUCAAAGGUGGAAUCGAAAUUGUUGAAUGCUUUUGAAAUAAAAAUCCCAAUUCCAUAUCGUACUGAGAGGAAUCGACGUUAAGCAUGUUUAGUAUUUCACUGUACAUUUCUGUAAACGAAGUAUUUUUUGUUAUCGAAAUAGCAGCAACCCCUUCUCCUUCACUCGUCCAUUUCCAUUCCCAUUGACCAUUUUCUUUCCUUUGAAAUUCGCCGAAAUAACAGAUUGGGACACACGCUUUUGCCAUAUCUGCAUUACGAAUUAAAAAUAUCAGAACAAAUUAUCAGAAAUAAAAUUAUCAGAAUCGAGGGGCGGGGGAGUCUGCAAACAGACGGUCCGGUCCGUCUGUAACGGACGGUCCGGAUGUAAAAUCCGGCGUUCCGGCGUCUGAUCGGUGCCGGCCUGAACUUUGGUUCUAAUAUUAUUUUUUCUACCAUUUAAAAUAAAUAUACGAUUUGAAUAAAAAUAAAAUUAAAUACUACGGAAAGAUACUUACCGAAUUGAAGUGCUGAAAUUUAAUUAAAUUUUUCUGUUGAGGUUGAUAACUGAUAAGUUUAUGAAAUUUUGAGGUUGAAGUGGAUGAAAAAUGGAAGAGUUUUUAUCGUGUUAGAGUAAACUGAUGAAAAGACUGACUUCGUUUUCAAAUUUCAAUUGAGCCUUGUUUGGAUUUUUAUUUGUAACUUAAGGAUAUUUUUAUCUUUUUACCAUAUUUCUAUUUUUGUAAUUAUAUAACUCAUUUAAGGGCGUUUUUAUCUUUUACACAAGAAAUGGCUAUUGUAAUGAAUGUUAGAUUUUUAUGAUUAAAAUGAAAAAUGAUUAAUUUGACAAAGUCAAACUUAAAAGUAGCCCGUUAUAUUAUUUUGUUGUAGUAAUGGCUGUAGAUUAGUUAGGGUGAGAAGGGAGGAGAACUCAUCAAUUGAAGGCAAAAUUAAUUUUUUCCCCUACUAUUUUCUCUUUCUUUGUAGCAUUGGCUUCCUCUCAAAUACCAUAACGCAAGGAGUGACAUUGCAGAUAGAUAUCUACAAAAGAUAGAUGGUGGCACAAGAAGGCUUGCCUAUUAAUUUUUCCAUGAGCUCGUACGCAUUAAGAUGCCGAUACCUGCUAUUUUCAUCAAUUUUCUACAAAGAUUACGGAAGCUCCUUUAAAUUUUCUGUGUUGGAAUCUAUAUGUUGGUAAUAAUUCAUUUGUUUUCUUUUAUUUCAAUUUGAAGGCGUGAUUAUCUGAAUAGAUUGUGUCCGGGCAACUCUAAUGAGAAAUUCAGAUCUAAAGUUCCUACAAGAAGGUAUCUCGCUACCUGUUUAAUAGAAUUUAUCUGCUGGUGAUGAAUACUGUUUGUACACUAAUGAGGCACAUUUUCAAUCAAAAGAUUUUUUUUUUGAAUUGUUUCAGAUACACUAGAAAAUUCGAUUUGUUGUUGUUCAUCUUGUUUCUAGAAAUUUCCUUGCUACAUUCUUGAAUGUUUCCGUUGAUUGAUAUAUUACUAUUCACAAGCAUUCCAAAGUAGACCUGUUUGUGAAUGUAUGGAUGAGAAGAAAGUUGGAAAGUUCUCCGGGCACUUGAGUUGACUUUAUAUUCAGUUUCUCAUGAAUAGUGUUUUCACAUGUCUAUCUUUUGCUCUCAACAGAUUAUUGACAUUUAGAAUCAUAAUUUGGCACUGAUAAUAUCACUAGAUGGUAGUUUUGUUGCGUCUAUGGUAGUAUUUCUCAGCGCUUCAUGGACAUUUUCAUUUUAUUGCUUCACCUCAUUUCUUGAAUUACCCUUUUAGUUGAACUUGUAUCCUCGUGAAUUCAAUUUCUCUUAUCAUCCAUUUGCUACAGCCAUAACAAUGACUAAUCUGGAUAAUUGUUAACGUGCCUUUGCUUUUCCAUAGGAAAACAUUGCAUGAUACUUGCAAUUGUCUUUACACCUGUAUAUGAGUUAAAAAAUCUUCAUUUUGUAUGUGAUGUUUCAGGUUUUUGGAGACUUUGCCAUUGAAAGAACGGUGCAAAACUUGGCGUCUUGAGGUCUGUUCCUACUAACUUUGAUCUCAAAGCCGUAUUCUAUCCUUCUGGUCACUCCUUACAUGUAUAACAUGGAUUAAACAGCAAUUUCAGUUUGAUUAUUUCUUUCUUUUUUUUCCUUUUUUUUUUUUUGCGCGAUUGAUGUAUGAAGUUGAUGGAACAUGGUUCUCCAAAUCAUGGAUUUGACGCUCUAAAGCACCUAGCUCUAGAUGAUUCUGUUGAAGAAGUUUUGGAAGUCCUGCAGGAAUAUGCUCGAUUAGUCCAAGGACUGUGGGUUCCAAAGAGUUCGCUGGUACAUGGAACAGAUUCAGGAAUUGAAGUUUGAGCCAGGGUCUAUAUUCUUCUAUUGUUUAGAAAGAAUCCACUAGUUAACGAUUGACAAAUACCUCAACGUCCUCAACUUCCUAAAGCAAUGAAAGACUUCCUAAAUGUAUUGGCUGUUGAGAGACCCAUCCUCCUUCAGUGAUUGGCAACUCAGAGAGCUUCCCGAUCGAAGAUUCAUAAAACUCAAUCCUACUGUUGCAAAGAAACAAGAAGAAGAAUGGGAAUCCUUGGAAAAGAAGACAAAUGAUCCUCUGUUUGGAGGAAGAAACGAACCUAGUACAAAGACUUCUUCAAAGUCUAAUGUCAUAAACAAUCCGGCCACGUCAAUGAGUUCCAGUAAAUUAGCUCUCAAAACUCCAAAUGAGGAAUCCUCGAGGACGCCAAUGCCAGAGACUUGAGAAGCUUUAAUGAAGGCCCUUUAGAACCUUUUAAAAGGCAUCAAGGUUUGCAGGUGAGAUCACUUUAUUACAUCAAGCCCUUAGUUUCAAAUAGUAGUUAUAUGUGGUCAUAGUUUCAAAUAGUAGUUAUAUGUGGUCAUAUUUUUUAUUGAAGAUAGUUUUCGUCACUGCAUUGACGUUUUGUAUUCUAAAUCACUAGGUCACAGUUAUAUUGCAUUUUAUUUGAUUAGUAUUUGUCGAUUUUCUUUGCAUGCAGUAAGUGCUGAUGUGACCUUGACAUUCAUGGCCUUUUCUGGCCCUAGCUCAUUAAAAAAAUUGAGACAUGGUAUAGUAACUAGAAGAGAUGAGGAAGACGAGUGGUCUUGUGAAUUAUUUCUCUGCUUGCACUUAGGACACUAGUAGGAUUACAUUUUUGCAUUAACUGGGCUGGAGCAAUUGACACUGUUUAACAAAAUGCCAAUGGACCAUAUUUAAACAUUUUUUUGUUAUUAUUACUUUUGUAUUACUUAUAUUCUUAAUGCAGAGGCAAAGAAACUAGUUUGAAUUUUCUUAUUUAAUUAAAAUUUAUUUAAGCUAAUGUGCCCUUUAAUCUAGGAAACAUAGGAGUGUUAUGGUUUUCCUGUGGCAGUUUAGUUUGAUUGUCAAUAGAUGGAAUUUACUUGGCGCUAUGUAUGCCAGUUUUCAACAAAUUUGCCAGCGUUUGAAGGACUUGGCAGAUUCUGAGUCCGCCCGUUCCAGGGGAUUUGCCAAAGAGACAGUUGCUGCAGCAAACAGCAUUUGUGCUUUUCCUGAUGAGCUUCAGGCAAUCAUUAGUCGAUUUGCAUUUGAUAUUCAUGGUGUCUAUGUUCCGAAAUCAUUUCCAGAUCAUCCACAAUAUGAUCCAUUCAGGUUACACCUGCCUUCAUUUAUUUUGGUUCUAGAACAUUGAUAUUUUUCUUUUAUUAAGUUCUCUUUAUAAGAAAGGAUCACCAUUUUAUAUCGUUCAUUAUUGAUUUGUGGUUCUUUCUCUUCCAGGAAGGUUGUCAUUGAUCUUCUUAUUGCUGAAGGACCAAAAGCAAAACUCAAAGAGGUUCCCAUAGUCGAGGCUGCUAAGAUGGAACUUAAAAGGGAUAUACCUCAGAUUGGAUAUCAGAAGGUCAGAGUCAAGCUUACAGAUUAAUUAUGAUGAAAUUGUAAUUAGGUGUUGAGAUCAAAUACGCUGUCUCCUUGACACCAUUCAGGCGAACUUACUAUUUCCUGAAAUUUUUUUAAUUAGGUUUUGAUUAAUUUUUGAGGCCUUACGAAAGCACAAACAAGAUUGAGAAUCUGAGGAGAUUGUCACAGGAGAUAUAGGAGAUUACCACUCUCAUUGUGUGGGGGUUUGUGGUUGGGAGGGAGGUAGCCCUAUUUGCCUUGCCCUUAAUCUAGCAUCUAUCUUACCUGCCUAUCAUGACAGCUCCCAAUGUUUUUCCUUCCUAUGAAAGAUUCUUAAGCGUCGCUCAACCUUUGUCACUCACUUCUUUUAAAUGAGCACUUAAUCUAGCAUUAUUCUCAUGAGAGGAAGCUAAGCAAUGGAAUUAUAAAGCAGAGAAAUGUGUAGUGAAUAUACUUUUGAGAGCUGGUGAUAUGUGAUGUGAGGAAAGAUAUAUUAUGCUUGCUCCUAGAAGUUUCCCCAUGCAUAUGCUCUUAGAAUUCCCUCAAUAAUUUAGAAUACUCUUAGUGACCACUGAGCUAAUUUUCUGAUUCUCGUGUGACUGUCUCAAGUCAGACCUCCUUGUGGGAAAAAUAUAUAUACACAUGGUUUCCUAAGCACACAGUCUUAUAGUUUCUUAUAAGCUUCCUAUGCAGAACCUUAGUUACUAGGAAGAGAACAGAGAUAUUUUACUGGUCAUGUCCCCUUCACUGUCACCCUUGAUAUGUUCCAGCACUACAAGAUAAAUAUUAAUUGACCUACUGAGCCUCUUGUCCUCUUCCCUAUUAUCGUCGAUGGAAGCCUCAAUGACUUAUUUGUGAUAAAUUGCUUGCUAAUUUAGGUUAUGUAUUCCCUUAUGUGCUGCAGGUUUUACAGGAACUAUGUCUAUCACAAGGUUUUGAAUGGGUCCUUAAAAGUGGCGAUGGAAAUCCACAAAAGUAAAGUUCAUGCAACCAAAUUCUACGUUAGUCUACGAGGUAAGAAUUAGCAUAUUUACUAUGUAUUACGAUAAGUAAUAAAGUAGACACAUCUCACCACAAGACUUAAUGGAAAAUUUCUAAAUUGCAUGAAAUUCUUGAGCUUUGUGUUCAAGAAAGAAAAUCUCUGCUUAUUCUGUUUACAUGGAUCAUUGUGAUCUGUUGUUGUUUGUCUGAAUUUACCCUUAAGUGCCUUGGUAAUCGAGUUGAUGUGAUGUCUGAGUUUUGCAUUUUGAAAAGAGGAUUUACAUCGUUCCUUGAAGUUAUAUCAGUGCAUAGCAUCAGUUUAAAUCAUCCUUGAAUAUUGCCUAAUUGAUUCUCAUCACAUAUUGGAAUUUGAAAAGUUAAUAGGUCUGUUUAAUGUAAACGCAGAAGUACAUAUACACAGAACAAGGAAUGUGUGUUUACAUAUACGUAUUUGUGUUUAAACUACUAUUAAGAUGGCUGAGGUACAAAAGUCAUUUGUUGAAAAUGGUAAGGAACCUGUUUCUUUGGAAGCAGCAAGGGAUGUAUUCUUGAUAUCUCGAGUGGCUCUUUGAACAUUCAACCUUCAGUGCAGCUAUGAUGAUUUAAAAUAUACAAAGGAUACCAAAUACACUGGGGAUGAGUCUUCCAUGUAAUUAAACACAUUAAUAUAUACCAUCAGAAAUAAUAUUUUGUUAAAUAUAUAUGAUUUCAUGCUGCUACAAUAUUGUAUCCUUCUGUUAGCAUUAAUUCUUUUUCCCUUUAAAAUGUUCGGCCUUAUUGUCACUUGUCAAUACCGUGGUUCAUCCAAACAAUUCAUAUUUGAUAUUGACGAAAACGAAAAAUUAUAAUGACUUGCAAAUGUAUUAAUUCUCUUAAAUGAAUUAAAGAACCUUAGUGCUACAACCUGACUCGUGGUCGUGGUUGUCGUAUUCAAUUUAAUUUUGUGCUCCCAACCCUUGUACCUAAGUCGAAGUGAUGCAGUAGACACCUCGUGCUAUCAGAAUUUUCUUACGAGUGCCUUUGGAAAUUAAAAAAUUCCCUCAAUAAUUUAGAAUACUCUUAGUGACCACUGAGCUAAUUUUCUGAUUCUCGUGUGACUGUCUCAAGUCAGACCUCCUUGUGGGAAAAAUAUAUAUACACAUGGUUUCCUAAGCACACAGUCUUAUAGUUUCUUAUAAGCUUCCUAUGCAGAACCUUAGUUACUAGGAAGAGAACAGAGAUAUUUUACUGGUCAUGUCCCCUUCACUGUCACCCUUGAUAUGUUCCAGCACUACAAGAUAAAUAUUAAUUGACCUACUGAGCCUCUUGUCCUCUUCCCUAUUAUCGUCGAUGGAAGCCUCAAUGACUUAUUUGUGAUAAAUUGCUUGCUAAUUUAGGUUAUGUAUUCCCUUAUGUGCUGCAGGUUUUACAGGAACUAUGUCUAUCACAAGGUUUUGAAUGGGUCCUUAAAAGUGGCGAUGGAAAUCCACAAAAGUAAAGUUCAUGCAACCAAAUUCUACGUUAGUCUACGAGGUAAGAAUUAGCAUAUUUACUAUGUAUUACGAUAAGUAAUAAAGUAGACACAUCUCACCACAAGACUUAAUGGAAAAUUUCUAAAUUGCAUGAAAUUCUUGAGCUUUGUGUUCAAGAAAGAAAAUCUCUGCUUAUUCUGUUUACAUGGAUCAUUGUGAUCUGUUGUUGUUUGUCUGAAUUUACCCUUAAGUGCCUUGGUAAUCGAGUUGAUGUGAUGUCUGAGUUUUGCAUUUUGAAAAGAGGAUUUACAUCGUUCCUUGAAGUUAUAUCAGUGCAUAGCAUCAGUUUAAAUCAUCCUUGAAUAUUGCCUAAUUGAUUCUCAUCACAUAUUGGAAUUUGAAAAGUUAAUAGGUCUGUUUAAUGUAAACGCAGAAGUACAUAUACACAGAACAAGGAAUGUGUGUUUACAUAUACGUAUUUGUGUUUAAACUACUAUUAAGAUGGCUGAGGUACAAAAGUCAUUUGUUGAAAAUGGUAAGGAACCUGUUUCUUUGGAAGCAGCAAGGGAUGUAUUCUUGAUAUCUCGAGUGGCUCUUUGAACAUUCAACCUUCAGUGCAGCUAUGAUGAUUUAAAAUAUACAAAGGAUACCAAAUACACUGGGGAUGAGUGUUCCAUGUAAUUAAACACAUUAAUAUAUACCAUCAGAAAUAAUAUUUUGUUAAAUAUAUAUGAUUUCAUGCUGCUACAAUAUUGUAUCCUUCUGUUAGCAUUAAUUCUUUUUCCCUUUAAAAUGUUCGGCCUUAUUGUCACUUGUCAAUACCGUGGUUCAUCCAAACAAUUCAUAUUUGAUAUUGACGAAAACGAAAAAUUAUAAUGACUUGCAAAUGUAUUAAUUCUCUUAAAUGAAUUAAAGAACCUUAGUGCUACAACCUGACUCGUGGUCGUGGUUGUCGUAUUCAAUUUAAUUUUGUGCUCCCAACCCUUGUACCUAAGUCGAAGUGAUGCAGUAGACACCUCGUGCUAUCAGAAUUUUCUUACGAGUGCCUUUGGAAAUUAAACCUUAUAUGUGGUAUCGUGUUUGCAGGUGCUACACCAUUAUUAUACUUCUCUGCCAACUUUAUUUAUUCACUAUCUGGAAUUCUAUUUGGCCGGAUUAGGUCACCAGAGUAUGAUUUGCUAUCUAGCAUGAUCUUGUAUGCAGUGAUGAUCUCAGACCAUAGGAAGGCAGGCAAGAUAAAGAAAAAGACAAUAGAUCUCGAAAUUUAACUUCGUUUACAUAUAUGGUUAUUCAUUGUAAAGCUAAAUUAGUCUCUAAGCCAAGGAUCGAUGAGUCUUUUCCUUGUGUUCGUAUUUGUUGACUGGGCAUUGUAAGAAUCUUUUUAGAGGGUAAUUUUUCAUGUCCAUUGCUUCUAAUGGGCUCUUCUCUCAACAUUGAUAUAGGGUAUAAUAUUGAAAUGUUGUGAACUCUUUAAGUCCCUCAAAGAAACCCAAAUGUCGAGUUGUUUAAUGGCUUGUUUGGUUGGACUUUGAAAAAGUCAAAGCUGUUUAUAAGAUUAUCGAUGUUUUUGGAUAAUUUUUAGAAAAUGAUUUGACUGGUUUGAUGAGCUUUUUAAAAUUGAUAACUUUUUACAAGUAAAAGUCUUGUCAAACAGGUGUUAAAGUAUAAGUCCUGUUAAUUGAGUUGAGUGAGGAUUAGUUUGUUCUACUAAAAUGUGCUUUUUACAAUAAAAAGUGGACUAAAGUAGAUCAUGAUAAAUUGAUCUAUAAAUAGCCCAUCUAACUUUAAAAAAAUCGAGUCAUUUUUACAUUGACAUUCAGUGCUUGUUUGGGAAAGUUAAACGGUUGAUUUUGUUAAAAGAAGUGGAAGGUCUUUUGAAAUGAGUGGUGGAAAAGAGAGUAAUACUGGUGAAUUUUGUGUAAUGUAAGAUUACUAUUAAGGGUGGUUAUAUUAUCAUCACAAUAAGUGUUUGGUGCCCUAUAAUUUUCUUAUUUAUUUUAAAAAAUCACUAGUAAAAUGACAUAAGUACCCUAUCUUUUAUUCACUAAUAUAUUUAUUCAUAUGAUCACUAUCAUCCGCACACAAAAAAAUACCUAAAGUCCUAUUUAAAGAUACAAAUGCCAAGAUCAAAAGAUCCAAGAUUGAGGAAAAGAGCAAGAAAUUUUAGGAUAUGGUAUAGGCAUUUUAUAAUAUUGAAUCUAUUAUUUUAAAAGUUCGCUAUAUUUUUCUGAAGAAACUCGUCAUUAUUGUAGAAUAUGCCAUUAUACAACCUGCAAGAGGCAUUGGAUUUGGAGGCUAAAUGUUAUAACCCACUCACUCAUAGUCAAAGUCAAGAAAAUUAUUUAGUCAAAGUCCGAAAUUCAAUUGGUUAAAGUCAAUUUCAAAUAGGGAUUUAAAUGAAAUAAAUUAUUUUAUUGGGGUUUAAUUUAUUAUGAAAAAUAGUUAAAGGUUUAAAAUGGAUAAAACUUAAUUUUAGGGAUCUACUUAUAUAUUAUUGGAAGUAAAGGACUAGAUGCUAUAUUAAAUUGAAGAAUAAGGACUUCCUAUGCAAAAAUGGGUUGUGGAGUGCAUGUGACAAGUAAUUAACCCAUUACUAUUUUCAUAUAAUAAAUACAUACCGAGAGAUGAGGCUGGAGAUGGGCAGAAGCAAGAAAAACCAAGAAAGAGAGAAGGAAAAGGAGAAAAAGAAAAGGGAGAGAGAGAGAGAGAGAGAGAGAGAGAGAGAGAAGGAGAAGAAAAGGAAGCGGGUCUUCAAGCUUGGAUUCUCCAUUUCUUCAUUGAUUUAGAGAGGUAGGUGUAAGUAGGAUGAGUUAUCUUUUUGAGUUUAUGAAAAUUUUCUAAAAUUUAAGGUUUAGCAAAAUUAAUGAUUGUUGAUAUAUGUUUGAGGCAUUAAAAACAACAAUAAUAUUAGUGUUGAAAGGAAGGAAAUUGAAAUGGGUUUGUAAAUUAGAGUUCCAAUCUUUGAAUUAUUGUGUUUACACUUGAUUUAUGAUGAAUUAGAGUGGUAAAAAAAAAUUUAGGUUAGAUUUUGGUAUUUAUAAUAAAUUUUCGAGCAAAAUUCAUGUGCAGGUGCUAUUCAUGAAAUUCUGCCCAGAAAAGUGCCAUUUCUGUCAAUGGUUUUGAUGCCAGAUCUUAAUAUGCAGAAAUUGGUGCCAGGUUUCAAUUUUUUGGGAUUUUAGUGCUGUUUUUGACAAAACACUUAUUUUUCAGAUUUUUAAAGGCUUCAAUGAAGUUAUAUGAUAAGUAUUGAGGUUUAUGUAUUGGAAUAAAUUAUGUAUAGUGCUUGUAUAUGUAUAAGUUAAUGAUUUUAAGGAAGUGUGGGUAAUUUAAUAGAUUUGAUAAUACAUGGUGUUUAGUCGAUGAAUUAAUAAAGAGAAUAAAAGUUGGGGAUUGGAGAUGUAAGAGUAAAUAUAGAAGUUGAGGAGUUAAGUGGUGGAAUUGUAUUGAUUUAAAUAUGAAGUUUCAAUUUGAGUAAUUAUUAUACCGUUAUUUCAGGUAGUGACGUGAAAACUUGAAAAUACUUGUCAAUUUAGCCAGAUUUCUAUCCAUAAAUAUGUGAAUGGAAAAAAUAUAAAUAUUUUUAAAGUAUUUAUAAAUUAAGUAUAUUGUUAAAGUAUGUGCAAUUAUGUUCUCGAAUUAUAUGGUUAUUAUGAAAAUAUAUUUUAUUAUGAUACAUGUGAUAUUUUAAAGAUUGUAUACGGUACAUUGUGAAUUGGAAUAUGAGACAUGAUUUUGAAAUCGACCAAAAUAAUACCCGUGAUUAUAUAUUUCUUCUAGUUCACUGAGGAGUCUUGGCCAUGUUCUAUACAACACUGAAGGGUCUUGGACCGGGGAUGAAGGGGUCUCGACCGUAUACAUAGGGCUGCACAAAAAAAUCAUGAAACCGCAAAUCGAACCGAAACCGUUGAGUUGAAACCAUUGGUUCGGGUCCACAUGGACCCAUAGUUUCUUUUUCGUCAAACCGAACCAAACCGUUUCAAAAUAGUUUGAUUUAGGUUUUGAUUUUCAAAAACUGUACAAAUUGAACGGAACCCUUUUUAAAUUUUUUAAUUAAAACAUUAAUUUUAUUAACUUAAAAAUUUUAGGGUUUUUUCUAUUUCUUUUUAAAUAUCAAUUUAGUAAUACAAAUUAUAACCAACUUAUUGAAAUAAUCAUAAAAAGUAAAUUAUGUUCAUUAUUAUUGACCUAUGAUUUAACAGGUUCACAACAAAUGUCUUACCCGAUAUCUAAACUAAACUAAAAUUAUUCCAAAAUCAUAUGAAAUGAAGAAAAAACACAUAUUUUCACAAUCCAAAUCAUGAUUCAACAAAAUUACGUAAGUAAAUCACGUCCAAAACUUUAGAAGCCCUAACAUAAACUCUCAUUUUCCUAACAUUUGAUGCUUUUCUGCCACUGUUGAACGAUUACUAAUUGCAUUUGUCUGUUUUUGUUAGUCUACUAAUCUCUUCCCGAGUCGUCUCUUUCUCUCUUCUCGUCUUAGAUUCUUAUUCAAUCCAUUUUUCCAUUGUUCUUUCUUUUAUUUUAUUUUUUUGAACUUAUUAUACAUUUGUGAGUUCUGGUUUGGAUAGAAAAAUGAUUAUUCGUGUGCCUAGUUGAUUAAUGAACUUGUUUGUGAUUUGGAAAAAACAAAGGACGGAAUGUAUUGAUUAUAUGAAAAUGUUAAAGUUCCCUAACUAGUGUUAUUACCUUCUACUUUCAUAAAGUAGUUAGAUGAUAAAAUUCGUCAAUUUUCAAUAAGUCAAAAAUCUAUUAAUCUUUGUACAUCUAAAUAUAUCACGUUUAAUUCUUAUUUUACAUCUCACUAGCAAGACGAAAGGAAUUUUAACCAAACUAUAAUAACAAAAUGUAACUCUACCUUUACCAAUAGUUAUAUGACAAUGCGAAUGUCAAAUAAGAAAAGAUAAAUAAAAAUGAAGAAAGAUGUAUUUGUUCUAUUAACAUCUUUUAGAAAACAACUUUGAAAAUAAUUUAUUCACGGGUUUCAUAGUAAUUAUGAAUGUAAUUUAACAUUUAACAUAAUUAGUUAUUGUUUAAACUUAUAUUUAAUUUAUGUUAAAUACAUUACUAUAAUGUCGAAAAGUAAACCGCAGAUUAAAACCGAACCAAACCGCAAAUUAUGGUUUGGUUUGAUUUGAAAAAAUUUCAAACCGCAUAAAAUGGUUUGAGUUGAAGAUAUAGCACAAACCGCCCAAAUCGAACCGCGAUCACCCCUACGUGUACAUAUAGUUCACUGAGAGGUCUUGACCGUACUCUAGAAUUGAUUAUGAGAGGUAUUUGAGAUCAUCGUUCAUUCAUGGAGGGAGUCAAACGCCCGUGGUAAAAGUUCUUAGCCCGAGGGGUGGAUUACAUAUUUCAGUCAGAGGGUACAUUUUUGGUGAAUUUUUUAGCAUGCUUGAUGUGAUGAGAUUAUAGCGUGGUUAUCAGCUGAUAUUUAUAUCAUGAUUUUGAGAUGAUAUUUUACAACGUUAUGUGAAUGUUUCACUUUUGGUUAUAAUUACAUAAUGUUAUCUUGUGAAGUAUUAAAUGAUAUGAACUCGAUUUUUGAUAGAAAUGUAAAAUUGAAAAGGUAUAAUUAUUUUCGAACUUCUUCACUCACUGAACUAUCAACUCAUAUAUUUUCCCACGAUUUUUCCUACAGGUAGCAAUUGAUUCUUUUUAGCUGAAGAGCCUAAUGAUUUUGGAAUGAAAGCCACACAGUAUGUUGAAUAUUAUAACUCAUAUUGAUGAAAUAUGAAGUAAAUAUUUUGGGCCCAUCGCAUUAUGUUUUACAUAAGCAUUUGAUUUUGUUGUAUUUUUUUGAAGUAACUCAUAGUCAGCCUUGAUGAUAGAUUUGACAUCUAGUCAGCAUCUAUCUUCGGUGCACGUCUCGUCUCGGGUUCACUAAGGUGAUUCGGGAUGUGUUGUGUCAGAGUGGUAUCUAAGCAUGGUUUUGAAAAUUUUUAUGGUUUAUGCAUGCUCAGUGGGUAUGAUCACAUGUCGUGGUGAUAGAAAUCAUAAGCUCUCUAACUCGAAUGUAUGAAACCAAAAAUAAUAGAAAAAUAUUUUUUUAACUGAUUUAGAAGCGACUCGUAUGUAAGUAUGGUAGUUGUAAUGAUCUAAUGGUUGGAAAUGAUAUUAGUUGUUGGGUUGAAACUAUGUGUGUAUGUAACCUAUUAAGAUUUGAACAGAUUGUGAUGAUUUUGUAGGGCAUUUGAAGUUACAGAUAUUACAACCACUUAAUUAUCAAUUUAUUUGUAGAACUACAUGAUUUUUUUUAUGAGUACAUAGGAAAUUUUUUAGCUAUAGCUUGCACGAUAAAUACAAGGAAAUGAUAUGAUGUGUAAUCGGUGACAAUUAGUGGGGAAUUUUAAUUAUUCUUGAAGCCAAAUGGUUAUUAGUGUUAUCAAAUUUUGUGGUGAUUUAAGGCCACUUUAAUGGGAUGAUAAUAGAAAUCAUGAUGAUGUAUAUUUAUGCUAUAUGAUAAGGUGGAAGACAAAAUGAUAAUUUGUUGAUUGAUAGAAGACAAUGUGUUAUUGUGUACUUUAAGCAUCAAGGAAAUUAACGAUAAUUUCAAUUAUUUAUGAGUAGUUUGAUUACAAGGAAUGUUAGAAUAAUAGGGAUGAACUUCACAAUGUUUACCUAUUAGGGAGUGAUUUGUUUAUUUAAAAACAGAAUUAAUUGGAUAUGUGCAUUUAGGUAUGUUUAUGCGAAAAAAAAAAUUGAAAUUGAGAAUGGUAGAAUCGAAGUUUGUUGAGAUUGGGAAAUUAACAUGCGGUAUAUUGAUAUGUGAAAUGUUCAAGUGAUAAAUAUGAAGGUUAUCAUCUUGUGAUAUUAAGGGAAAUUUAUAUAAUUAAAUGUUUUAGGUCAUACAAUAUGACGAUAAAUGCUAAGGUUACAAGAUCAUAACAUGAUAUGGUGAAUAGCAUGAAAAUGAAUGUAAUGGUUGUCCUAUAGCAAAGUAAUAUGAUGAUUUAUUUGGGUUAUUUAAGUUAACGAAUUUUGUUAGGGCCAUUUGUUGAUUAUUGUGUUACAUUUCAUACAAUUUGGAAGCGUUGAGUUAAAUUUUGAAGUUAAGAUGAAUUUAUUGAAAUGUUAGUUAUGUAAAUUUUGGGCUAUUUUUAAUUGUAUUUUGGAUCAUGAACAAAGUAUUCAAUUUUUGUCAAAAUAAAUUUGUUAAGGAAUAUAAGUAAGACAUGUUAGCUAUGUCUAAAGUUUAAGAUGAUCAUCAAAUAUAGAUUUUACUCAUUGUGAAAUAGUAUCUUUUGGUUACAUUAUCUUAAUUAAAGGUCUUUAUGUGAUAUACAAAAAAGAUUAUGCAUUGACGAUAGAUCAACAAUCUAUUUAUGAAAUAAGAGUAUAGAUUUUCAUGGAUCAAAUGUUAUUAUUGUCUCUUUAUAAAAAGAAAGAACAAAAUUUGUAUGUGUAUAGAAAUGUCAAAAGUUUUGCUAUCAGGAAAUAUUGAAAAAAUAUUUGCUCUUAUAUUUAAAGAUGAUAAGCGAUUGAUUCACGAUAAUGAUUUAUGUUAUGGUUUAGAAAUUGUUUUCUAAGUGGAACGAUAAAAUAUGGAUUAUGUUGUAGAUUGAUAAAGAGAUAUAAUUAAAUCAUGAUAUAUGGUUGAUUAUAUUGGGAUUGACAUUUAGGAAUUGUGGCAUUAUCACAUGGUGGGAAGACCAAUACUUACGGACCACAUGAGUUUAAGGAAUAUUUAUAUUCAAAAAGGAGCUGAACUUAAAGCUAUGUAUAUAUUAUCGUUAGGUGAUAAAAUGAAAAGUUAAAAAUAUCACAUAUUUAUAUUAGGAUGAUAUUUAAGGUAUCGGUUCAACAUGUAUUUCAUAUGUUCGGUGGUUAGUAAAUGGACGUCAGAUUUAACUAAUGCUAUAAGAUCAUCAGUGGAGUUGGUUGAAAAUCUUACAUAUGAAGAAAAAUCAAUUCGGAUCUUGGAUAGGAAAUGAAUAGAUUUUGUGCAGAAAGUCUAUUCCACUAGUUAAAGUUUGUUUGGAAAAAAAAAAAAUAGAGGCUUCAUGGGGCAAGUAUUCAAAUAUAUGCUCUAUAUCUUUGUGUUCGAAUCCUAAUUGAUUGAAUUUCGAGGAUGAAAUUUUUUGAAGGGGGUAAGAUUGUUAUAACCCACUCACUCAUAGUCAAAGUCAAGAAAAUUAUUUAGUCAAAGUCUAAAAUUCAAUUGGUCAAAGUCAAUGUCAAAUAGGGACUUAAAUGAAAUAAAUUAUUUUAUUGGGGUUUAAUUUAUUAUGAAAAAUAGUUAAAGGUUUAAAAUGGAUAAAACUUAAUUUUAGGGAUCUACUUAUAUAUUAUUGGAAGUAAAGGACUAGAUGUUAUAUUAAAUUGAAGAAUAAGGACUUUCCAUGCAAAAAUGGGUUGUGGAGUACAUGUGGCAAGUAAUUAACCCAUUACUAUUUUCAUAUGAUAUAUACAUACAGAGAGGUAAGGCUGGAGAUGGGCAGAAGCAAGAAAAACCGAGAAAGAGAGAAGGAAAAGGGGGGAGAGAGAGAGAGAGAGAGAGAGAGAAGAAGAAGAAGAAGAAGAAGAAGAAGAAGAAGAAGUGGGUCUUCAAGCUUGGAUUCUCCAUUUCUUCAUUGAUUUAGAGAGGUGGGUGUAAGUAGGAUGAGUUAUCUUUUUGAGUUUAUGGAAAUUUUCUAAAAUUUAAGGUUUAGCAAAAUUAAUGAUUGUUGAUAUAUGUUUGAGACAUUAAAAACAACAAUAAUAUUAGUGUUUAAAGGAAGGAAAAGUGAAAUGGGUUUGUAAAUUAGAGUUCCAAUCUUUGAAUUAUUGUCUUUACACUUAAUUUAUGAUGAAUUAGAGUGGUAAAAAAAAAAAAAAAAAAAUUAGGUUAGAUUUUGGUAUUUAUAAUAAAUUAUCGAGCAAAAUUCAUGUGCAGGUGCUAUUCAUGAAAUUCUGCCCAGAGAAGUGUCAUUUCUGUCAAUGGUUUUGAUGCCAAAUUUCAAUAUGCAGAAAUUGGUGCCAGGUUUCAAUAUUUUGGGAUUUUAGUGCUGUUUUUGACAAAACUCUUAUUUUUCAGAUUUUUAAAGGCUUCAAUGAAGUUAUAUGACAAGUAUUGAGGUUCAUGUAUUGGAAUAAAUUAUGUAUAGGGCUUGUAUAUGUAUAAGUUAAUGAUUUUAAGGAAGUGUGGGUAAUUUAAUAGAUUUGAUAAUGCAUGGUGUUUAGUCGAUGAAUUAAUAAAGAGAAUAAAAGUUGGGGAUUGGAGAUGUAAGAGUAAAUAUAGAAGCUGAGGAGUUAAGUGGUGGAAUUGUAUUGAUUUAAUUGUUAAGUUUCAAUUUGAGUAAUUAUUAUUCCGUUAUUCAGGUAGUGACGUGAAAACUUGAAAAGACUCGUCAAUUUAGUCAGAUUUCUAUCCAUAAAUUUGUGAAUGGAAAAAAUAUAAAUAUUUUUAAAGUAUCUAUAAAUUAAGUAUAUUGUUAAAGUAUGUGCAAUUAUGUUCUCGAAUUAUAUGUUUAUUAUGGAAAUAUCUUUUAUUAUGAUAUAUGUGAGAUUUUAAAGAUUGUAUACGGUACAUUGUGAAUUGGAAUAUGAGACAUGAUUUUGAGAUCGAUCAAAAAAUUACCCGUGAUUAUAUAUUUCUUCUAGUUCACUAAAAGGUCUUGGCCGUGUUCUAUACUACAUCGAGGGGUCUUGAACCGAGGAUGAAGGGGUCUCGACCGUGUACAUAUAGUUCACUGAAGGGCCUUGACCGUGUUCUAAAAUUGAUUAUGAGAUGUCUUUGAAACCAGCUUUCUUUCACGGAGGGGGCCAAAGGCCCGUGGUGAAAGUUCUUAACCUGAGGGGCGGAUUACAUAUUUCAGUCAGAGGGUACAUUUUUGGUGGAUUUUUCAGUAUGUUUGAUGUGAUGAGAUUAUAGCGUGGUUAUCAGCUGAUAUUUAUAUCAUGAUUUUGAGAUGAUAUUUUACGACCUUAUGUGAAUAUUUCACCUUUGGUUAUAAUUACAUGAUGUUAUCUUGUGAAAUAUUAAAUGAUAUAAACUCGAUUUUCGAUAGAAAUGUAAAAUUGAAAAAGUAUAAUUAUUUUCGAACUUCUCCACUCACUGAACUAUCAACUCAUAUAUUUUUCCACGAUUUUUUCUACAGGUAGCAAUUGAUUCUUUUUAGCUGGAAGAGCCUAAUAAUUUCGGAAUGAGAGCCACACGGCAUGUUGAAUAUUAUAACUCAUAUUGAUGAAACAUGAAGUAAAUAUUUUGAGCCCAUCGCAUUAUAUUUUACAUAAGUAUUUUAUUUUGUUGCAUUUUUUGAAGUAACUCAUGUUAGCCUUGGUGAUAGAUUUGACAUCUAGUCAGCAUCUAUCAUCGGUGCACGUCUCAUCUCGGGUCCACUAGGGUGAUUCGGGACGGGUCAUGUCACUAAAGGACAGUAUUUAGAAAUGGAUCAUUGCAUGGAUCGUGAUAUCCCAUUUGCUGAAGAUUGGAUAAAAGUUAGAGAUAUUUGUAAACUUGUUCAAAAUGUAUAUGAUGUUGCUGAAGUUCUUUUCAAGACAAAACAUGAUAGUGCAGGCAUCUAUGUUCACAAAUUUCAAGAAUUACAAGCAAGUUUUAUAGAAGAAUCCAGAAAUUCAGAUAAAUUUGUUAGAAUCAUAGCUCGGAAGACGCUAAAGAAGUUUGAGAAGUACUGGAAGAACAUGUUCCUUGUACUAACCGUUGUUACGGUUUUGAAGCCUCAAUAUAAAAUUAAGUAUAUUGAAUUUUCUUCCUUGAAGUAUGAUACUAGUUCUAGUAUAUCAGAAGUGACAACCAUUUCAAAGUCCAUUCACUCACCUUAUGAUGAUUAUGUUACUAGCAAAACCAGAUAAGAAUAUACAUCAAAGAAAGAUGCAUACACCCAAAUGUUGGUUUUAAUUGUUGAGAUGAGUAUAACCAGUUUAUCCAAUCUAAUAGUCAAUCUCGAUCCCUAGGUAAGAGCUUGAAUGCUACUUGGAAGAACCUGUCGUGCCUUGGAGCAAAAAUUUCAGAGUGCUGUCAUGGUGGCAAUCUGUGAGCCCCAAAUAUCCUACCAUGUCCAAAAUGGCUCGUGAAUCUCUGCACAUAAAAUGUUGAUAUUUCAUGUCCAAAAGAACAAAAGAUCCAAAGAUUAUUGAGCCAAUGCAUGGAGGAAAUGUUGAUAUUCCAUGUCCAAAAGAACAAAAGAUUCAAAAAUUAUUGAGCCAAUGGAUGGACGAAGAAUGGUUGGGGAAAAAUGAGGAGUAAUUUUGGGACGGAGAAUACAUUAUUAUUAUUAUUAUUAUUAUUAUUAUUAUUAUUAUUAUUAUUAUUAUUAUUAUUUUCAUUUUUAGUUCUUUUUGGGGUUAAGACUAUAAUUGUAAAUUUGUUAUGGCAUUUUUAUUGGAAACGUGUUAUUAUUGUGGUGGUGUUAUAAUGUGUGUAGCAAGUAAAAUUUGUGGUGGCAAUAUAAUUACCCUAAUGUUAAUUGUUACUUUUGAUCCCAUCUUUUUAAUCUUUUUCAAACAAGCAUUUGCCUAAUUUUUUUAAUUAAUUAGACAAAUAGUCAAGUUGAAUAUGGUCUUUACUAUUAAAAAAAUGUAAAUAAACAAUAAUUAUUUUUCAUAAGACUAAAUUCUCCAACUCAUAAAAGGAAUGGCAAUACGACAGGUGAUUUUCCUUGUCUUUUGUCGCGUUGGAUAUUCUUGGGUAGAGGAUAGGAAAUUAGGAAUAGGGAAUUUGCUACUCUAUUUACUCAAUUUUCUAAUAUCAAAUUUCAAAUAUGAUUUAAGUUUAAAAAUAUACAUAUACAUAUAAAACUAAGAGUCUGAACAAGUAUGAAGUGAGUAAAAUGUUCUCAGUCCCUAUAUCGAUUUUCUAUUCGGUGGGACGUAACAAGACAUUUGCUGUCUUUGCCUAUAAAGAGCUUUUUAUAUUCUAAAAAAAAAAGUCAUUUCCUCAUUGACAUUUAAAAGUAAAUAAGAUUAUUCAUAGUUGCUUACUAUUAGUAAUUGCUUUACGUGAAAGUUUGUUAUUUGAGACAUUAAUUUUCUAUAAUUUUAUUUCGUAAAACCAACCUUUCAUUCUUUAGCAGAGCUCUCUCUCUCCACCAUUUCAUUCAAUUUGAUAAUAAACUCAUCCUUGGAGGGGGUUAAAAUUAAAUUUUUAGUUUAAUUUUGAUAAAAAUUGAUGUUUUGAGCUCAUUUUCAUCUUAUUUAUGGACAAUUUUUAAACGUUGCACAGUACAAAACCUUUAUCGUGGGGGAUCUAUACCCUAGGCUGGCAGCUUUGUUUCUUUAUUUCUUAUUUCUGAUACCCAAUUGACGAUGAUUAGUUAAAGUGAACUUGGAAAAGUAAAGAAACAAUGCAUGGCUUUUGUUUGGAGCAAUUCGCGUUCACAUUUCAAGAUAGGGGUAAAAUUGGAAGUUGGCCAUAUAUAUGCAUAACACCAUUUGGACUAGCUUUCACAUGGUGGGCCACGUGAUGUGAUAGAAGAAUGCAUUUUUUUCACAAUAAUGGCGUCCAAACGUUAGCUUUCACAUGGUGGGCCACGUGAUGUGAUAGAAGAAUGCAUUUUAAUGAUGCCCACACGUCAAUAAUGGCGCCCAAACGUCCAUUAUUGUAGAAAAAAAUGGAUUCUUCUAUCACAUCACAUGGUCCACCAUGUGAAAGCUAACGUUUGGGCGCCAUUAUUGUGGAAAAAAUGCACGUUUGGGUGCCAUUAUUGUGGAAAAAAUGCAUUCUUCUAUCACAUCAUGUGGCCCACCAUGUGAAAGCUAGUCUAAAUGGUGUUAUGCAUAUAUAUGGUCAACUUCCAAGUUUAAAAAAAGGUUAAACCUCAACCUUGAGGGGCUUCACUGCCUCGCCCUUGGAGUAUCGUGAGGAAGGUAAAUUGCGGGAUGUGCCCCAACAGGUCAGGGAACAAGAGCUUGUCCGUACACUGGUGCUCACAAGGAAUCCGAUUCCACAUAUCAGGAAUCGACCCCUUACACUGCGGCUGCCAACAAAGUUGAGACUAUCUCACUUCUAUCUUUUGCACCACUGAGUUAUGCCCCGGGGGCGUCAACUUCCAAGUUUACCCCUAUCUUGAAAUGUGAACACGUAUUGUUCCAAACAAAAGCUAUGCAUUUUUUACUUUUCCAAUGAACCAAGUUUCCAUUAUUGAGGAUAGAGUGUUGUAAAGCUCAUAUAAAGCAAAUGUCGAUAAGAGGGAAUUAAAAUUUUAGAGGGUAUUUGGUGGGGAUAAAAAUUAGAUUUUUUAGUAGAUUGUGAUAGAAGUUGUUAAAAUGUGUAGUUGAAAAUUUGUGGAACCUAUAAAAGAUGUGAUUAGUGUUGAUUGUUUGACUUUAACUUAGAUUAAAAUCAGAUUUUAAUCCAAAUCAAAUAGUCUGUUAAAUCCUUGUCAAAGUCAAAGUCAAUAAUUCAUUUAAAUCACGUAUUUUAAGACAUUCAUAAGUUUUUAAUCAUAUACUGUAUCAAUUUUUAUCAAAAUUUAUUAAAAAUUUAAUUUUAACUUGUAACAUCACAUUUCUCUUUUCCUAAUUUUUGCGAAUAUGAUAUUGCCUAAUGAUAUAUUUAAUGCUUAUUAUUAAUUUAUUGUCAAUGAGACUACUAAUAUAUUGUAGUGGAUUAUACCUUGAACGUCCUAGGUGAUUGACAUGACAAUUAAAGUUAAUUAUAUGAAAAUCUAGGAAAGGAAAGCAAAUGUAAAUAGAUGAAGAAAGAGGACUAGUAAUUAUUGAGGAGAGUGUGCUAUACAGCUCAUAUAAAGCAAAUGUCAGUAAUGGGGAAUUAAAAUUUAAAUAUUUACCAAAGUCGGAGUCAAUAAUUGAUUUAAAUCAAGUACUUUAUGAUAUUCAUAACUUUUCAAAUAUGUUAUUGAGUUGUGAAUAUCACAGAAGAAUGCAUUUUUGGAAAAAGUUUUGUCUGAUUUGAUGAGCUUUUUUGAAGGAAAAUGAUAACUUUUUUACAAGGAGUAGAAGUCUUGUCAAACCGGCGUUAAGUAUAAGAUCUACUAAUUAAGUUGAGUGAGGAUUAGUUUGUUCUACUCAAAUGUGCUUUUUACAAUAAAAAAUGAACCAAAGUAGAUCAAGAUAAAUUGAUCUAUAAACAGCUUCUCUAAUCUUAAAAAAAUCGAGUCAUUUUUACAUUGACAUUCAGUGCUUGUUUGGGAAAGUUAAACAGUUGAUUUUGUUAAAAGAAGUGGAAGAUCUUUUGAAAUUAGUGGUGGAAAAGCGAGUAAUACUAGUGGAUUUUAUGUAAUGUAAGAUUAAUAUAAAGGGUGGUUAUAUUAUCACCACAAUAAGUGUUUGGUACCCUAUAAUUUUCUUAUUUAUUUUAAAAAAUUACUAGUAAAAUGACAUAAGUACCCUAUCUUUUAUUCACUAAUAUAUUUAUUCAUACGAUCACUACCAUCCGUACACAAAAAAUACAUAACUCUACUUAAAGAUACAAAUGCCAAGAUCAAAAGAUCCAAGACUCACUAAUAUAUUUAUUCAUACGAUCACUACCAUCAGUACACAAAAAAUACAUAACUCCUACUUAAAGAUACAAAUGCCAAGAUCAAAAGAUCCAAGAUUGAAGAAAAGAACAAGAAAUUUUAGGAUAUGACAUAGGCAUUUUGGAAUAUUGAAUGUAUUAUUUUAAAAGUUCGCUAUAUUCUUCUUGGAAACUCGUCGUUAUUGUGGAAUAUGCCAUUAUACAACCUGCAAAAGGUAUUGGAUUUGGAGGCUAAAGGACGGUAUUUAGAAAUGGAUCAAUGCAAGGAUCGUGAUAUCUCAUUUGCUGAAGACUGGAAAAAAGUAAGAGAUAUUUGUAAACUUGUCCAAAAUGUAUAUGAUGUUGCUGAUUUUUUUUCGAGACAAAACAUGCUAGUGCGGGCAUCUAUGUUCAUAAAUUUCAAGAAUUACAAGCAAGUUUGAUAGAAGAAUCUAGAAAUUCAGAUAAAUUUGUUAGAAUCAUAGCUCGGAGGACGCUAAAGAAGUUUGAGAAGUACUGGAAGAACAUGUUCCUUGUACUAACCGUUGUUACAGUUUUGGAUCCGCAAUAUAAAAUGAAGUAUAUUGAAUUUUCUUCCUUGAAGUAUGAUACUAGUUAUAGUAUCUCGGAAGUGACAGCCAUUUCAAAGUCCAUUCACUAGCCUUAUGAUGAUUAUGUUACUAGUAAAACUAGAGAAGAAUAUUCUAUGAGUGAUUCGAAUUCUGAGUUUGAAGAAGAGAUUCCUACAAACAUCAAAGAAAGAUGCCAACUCCCAAACUUUGGUUUUAAUUGCUUAGAUGAGUAUAAACAGUUUAUCCAAUCUGAUAGUCGAUCUCGACCAUUAGAUAAAAGCUUGAAUGCUACUUGGAAGAACCUGUCGUGCCUUGGAGCAAAAAUUUCAGCGUGCUAUCUUGAUGGCAAUAUGUGAGCCCCAAAUAUCCUACCUUGUCCAAAAUGGCUCGUGGAUCUUUGCACAUAAAAUGUUGAUAUUUCAUGUCCAAAAAAUAAUUGAGCCAAUGGAUGAAGGAAAUUGAUGAGGAAGAAUGGAUGGGGGAAAAUGAGGAGUAAUUUUGGGAAGGAGAGUACAUUGUUAUUAUUAUUAUUUUUUUUUUUUUUCAUUUUCAGUUUUUAUUGGGUUAAGGCUAUAAUUAUAAAUUUGUUAUGGUAUUUUUAUUAGAAACAUGUUGUUUUGAUGUGUGUAGCAAGUAAAAUUUGUGGUGGCAAUAGAAUUGCCUUAGCAUUAAUUGUUACUUUUGAUCCCGACUUUUUAAUCUUUUUCAAACAAGCAUUUGCUCAAUUUUUUGAAGAACUAGACAAAUAGUCAAGUUGAAUAUGGUCUUUACAAUUGAAAAAAUGUAAAUAAAUAAUAAUUAUUUUUAUAAGAUUAAAUUCUCCAACUCAUAAAAUGAUUUCAAUACGGCAGGCGGUUUUCAUUGUCUUUUGUCGCGUUGAAUUUUCUUUGGUAGAGGGUAGGAAAUUAGGAAUAGGGAAUUCGUUACUCUAUUUACCCAAUUUUCUAAUAUAAUUUUUAAAUACAAUUAAAGUUUAAAAACAUAUAUAUGCAUAUAAAAAUAAAAGCCUGAACAAGUAUGAAGUAAUAACUUGUUCUCAAUUCCUAUAUCGAUUUUCUAUUCGCAUGGAACAAAACAUUUGCUGUCUUUGCCCAUAAAGAGCUUUAUACUCUAAAAAAAAUCUCAUUUCCACAUUGACAUUUAAAAGUAAAUAAUAUUAUUCAUAGUUGUUCACUAUCAAUUAAUUUUCUAUAAUUUUAUUUCUUAAAACCAACAGUUCAUUCUUUAGCAAAGUUUUUUCUCUUUCGACCAUUUCAUGCAAUUUGACAAUAAACUCAUACUUGGAGGGGUUAAAAUUAAUUUUUUUUAGCAAAUUUUGGUAAAAAUGGACUUUUGGAGCUCACUUUCAUCUUAUUUAUAGACAACUUUUGACAUUGCACAGUACAAAACUCUUUCUUUAUUCCUGCUCGACACUAAAUUGAGAAAAAAAAAUACAAUACUUUUGUUAGAGAUGCUACUGUGACGGUGACAGUGACAGUGGCCAAUUUGACGCCCUCCUAUGGCCCUCGGCCAGAAUUAUUCUUACAGCGUUUGUGAUAGAAUUCACUUUUUCCACAAUAAUUCGCCUGACAUAAUAUUAAUAUGUUAUUAAAAAGUAUAAAAUAUCAUAAAAAAAUUUAGGCCCUGUUUAUGGUCUUUUUUUAAUUUAAAAAAUUAAAUUAUAGAAUAGUGAUUGAUGUUGAAAUGUGUGGUUAAAAAAAAGAAAUUUUUUUUAACUUUUGAGUAAUACUAUUUUAAUAAAAAAUGUGUGAUUAAAAAUAAGUAAAAAAUAUAAUAUGAUAAAAUAUGAAAGAAUAAUUGACAAACAAUGGCUUAAUCGAACAUUUGCUUUAUAUGAGCAGUACAACACACAUCUCAAUAAUUACUAGUCUUCUUCUUCAUACGUUUGCAUUUCCUUCCCUUUUCUGGGUUUUCAUUUGAUUUUCAGAUCUACAACCUCCAUUUCCAUGGCUUCAAAGCUAUGAGCUAAUCUAAAUUUUCUGUUUUUGCUUCAGUGGUAGCGUCUAUUAUGCUUUGAACAAAAAAUUUAGAGGGUAGACAACGUUCACUUUCACCAUCUUUCUCUUUCCCUGAAAUUCGACCAUCUUUUCCUUUUUUUGCAAUGGAUGUCUUACACACUGAUCUGUUUACUGCUCCUAUAGAUCUCCUUCAAAUUGUGAUCGAACACAUAUCAUCUGUCUCCUCCCCAGAUGGACAUAGAAUUGAUUUGUUACGUCUGCUUCAAUCUUUACGAGACAGCAGAGACUAUGAAAAUAUUGAAGGAAUCAGAAAUUUUUUCCGAGAAUUUGUGUCGCUUCAGCAAGAGCUUAAGGUGUCCUUUACAGUUCCUAACCGGCAAAUCUUGUCCAAUUUAACUCCUACUCCCAAUUCUAAUGAAGUUGUUGCGGCCUUCAUCAACUUUCUCCUCCUAAUGGUCCAAGUCAUCCUACAUUUUAAGGAAGAUUGGAUUGCUCGUGUAAAGGGUUCGUUCCAAAAUCUCCGGACAGAGCUUGGAUUUCUUAUCAGCUUUCUUGGGGAUACAACAAUGCAUUUGCAGCCCACCAAGACUCUAUUGAUAGAUGUUGAAGAAGUGGUCAACGGGGUAGGAAGUUUCUUGUCUUCCUUCUUUUUGACCAUUGUUGUAUUUAUUCUGAUCAAUAAAGUGAAAAAAGCCCAUACUAGAAUGCCGGAUUUGGGAGUUGUGGUUAAUGAGGUAAGAAGUCUCAUUCUUGAGGAUAUACCAUUGCUAACCACUAAGUUGAAAGCAACGAUAGAUAUUAAAGACCUGCUCCGUGAGAUAGGAAGUUUAUUAGAUUUCUUCAUUUUCACAAAGAAUGAUCAAGUUGUGGAGACAGGAAUCUUGGAUCUUGCUCUUUCUGAUUUGUUAGCAAAUUUUGAGACCUUGAAAACAAAGAUCAAGGAGCACUGCAUCGCAGUCUCAAAGAUGCCAAGUGAUAUGGCUCCAAAGACUGGUGUGGUUUCACUCUUCAUUGUUGAUUCCGUCCUCGACGAUCUCAUGGAUCUGAUAAAUAACAAGUCUGACUCAAUUGUUGUUGUGAAUGAUCAAAUUGUAACGCUCCACGAGGAGCUAAUGUUAUUGGGAUCAUCCAUCACAGAUAUAGCAUUGCAGCACGAAGCAGAACAUGAAGAACUUGUGAUACGGAGCAGAGACAUAGCAUAUGAAAUUGAAUAUGUUAUCAACUCAUUACCUCAUGUUUGGUAUCUUUCUCUCCGACUCCCUCAACUCAUUGUCAAGAUUCGGCUUAUUAUGAUAGCUGUCAAAGAAACGAAGAACAAUGUUGAUGUAGUUAGAAUGUCAAUUGUUUCAAAACAUCCGCAUGAGCUGGUAGAGUCAGAGUCAAAAGAACCUCCCAUUUUGGAAGACGUUGUUGUGGGAUUUGACAAUGUACAAACUGAAAUUGUAGAACAACUUGUUCGAGGAACAGACAAGCGACAAAUUAUUUCCAUCUUUGGGAUGCCUGGACUUGGUAAGACGACCUUGGCAACUAAAUUAUAUAAUCAUCACCAUGUUUUAUACCGUUUUCACAAUCGUGCCUGGUGUACUGUUUCUCAAAUAUAUAAUAAGAAAAAUGUGUUGAUUGAAAUUUUGAGCUCAAUGAGUAACAGUAAGGGGGAUACAUACA